CCAUGAUCAAUGAUCAUAUCACGUAUUUGACCAAAAAUAUUUUCGAUAAACAAUUAUAUUGUUUAUGUUGUCUUCACUGUGAGCUAAAGCUUCAUCAAGUACCCUUCCCAACCCUUUUAAUCUUUCAUCUUGAUGUUGGAAUCUUGUUGGCCUUUGCGGCCUUGUUGAAUUUAACCUCGCUUGUUUAAUUUGGGUUUUCUGACUUUGGUUGAGCCUUGUUGAUUCUUUUCUGCGGAGUUGGAAUAUUGCCCACCCCCAAUCUUUUCAUUAAACUUUUUUUUUUCAAACCCAACUUCUACAUUCGAAUUUUAAAAAGUAUGUGUUAAUAAAAAAACAUUAUGUUAUUUUAUUAUUGUUAAAAUUCAAAGUAAUAGUCUUUUUUUUCAACUACACAUAAAUUAAAAAAUUGUCUGCGUUCACUUGAAUGACAGAUAUUUUAAAUUAUAAUUUGAGUUAAAUUGUACAGAUUUGAUAAAAUGUUCUUGAGGAAUAAUUGUAUGAUUCCCAUGCUCUCAACAUGUUUGAUAAAAUGCCCAAGUAGGAACCAUGCCAUCCCAAUUCCGAGCUGAAGUGUUGAACAACGAGAUGAUGAUGAUACAUCUGCGGCGUCACCUCUACGAUUUCCCGCCCAAAAGCAAUCAAUCAACAAGGUCAAUUUCCUAAGCUGUUGAGUAUGAUUCAAUAAUAUAAAUUUAGAGUUGUGUGUAAUCAUAAAUUCUAUAACUUCUCAGGGGUGUGUUUUGGUCAGGAUCGGAGGUGAGAGGUGUGACAUCCAUCCAGUUUAUAUGGAGGAGUUUGACAAAACUACAAUCAAAUGGAAUCGCUUUACCACUUGUAAUCUGAAUGGAUCCCUCAAUUUUUUUUUUUUUUUUUUUUUGGCAUCAAAGAUGGUUGUAGCAACAAUUUCAAGGCGAAGCCUUAUUGCAUAUGUUGAGGUGAUGAGGAACCACAACCUCAAGGAUCCAUUUAGUGAACUCAAAUAAAGGGAGAAGCCUGCUUACUAUUCUCUGUAUAUUUCAGUAAGCAUGCAUCUUCAAUUUCAGUUGGCAAUUUUUAUUUUAUACAUGUUAAAUUACCACAAAACCAAAAUAUCAUCUCCAAAGUUGUUACCUUCCAUGAAUUGAAAAUGCUUUCAUGCUUGAUCAGAUUGUUUAAGUAUGCGUUCCUAAAAUAUACAAAAGUGCUCAGGAAAAUGGCACAGAAUAAUUAGUGUAUAAUAAAGUUUAUUUUUGGUAAUUUUUGAGAUGCAUAUGGUUUUAAAGUUCUCUUCAAAUAGCUGGACUUGCCGUAUACUAUAAUAUUGUUUACUAAGGCAUAACUAUCUUAUCCUUUUUUUUUUAUCUAUCAUUAAUAUUUACAUUUUUAUUAUUUCAUUAAUCUUAUUUAAAUUUACUUUGUAUUUGUAGAUAUAAUUUAAGAAUAUAAUAUUACUGUACUUACAUUUCCGUUUCGUAUAUAAUUUCCUGGAAGAUGCUCCAACAUCAGUUUUGUCGUUAUUAAAUAAACAAAAUAGGAAAAAAAAAAAGAUACAACAACUGAUGCUCCCAUUCACAAAGAACCAGAUAAUGUACAAGAGGCACUAGAUGACUCCAGACGGCUGCAAGCUAUGAAAGAAGAAUAUGAUGCUUUGAUUAAGAAUAAUACAUGGACAUUAGUUCCAAGACAGACAAGCUGGUCAUCACAUUGCUAACAAUAAAUGGGUGUGAAGGAUCAAGUAUAACAAAGUUGGAAGUGUAGCUAAGUAUAAAUUCAAGCUUAUUGCUAAAGAAUUUUAGCAAGUGGUAGGGGUGAAUUACUUUAAAACAUUUAGUCCAAGGGUUAAAUUAGCUAAUAUUAGAGUGGUGCUGAGCCUAGGAGUGAUGAACUAAUGGAAAAUAAGGCAAGUUAAUGUUAACAAUUCCUUUUUUAAUGGAGAGUUAACUGAGGAGGUACUCAUGUGUCAGCCGGAAGGCUUUAUUAAUGCUGAGAAACCUGAAUUUGUGUGCAAAUUGCACAAAUGUCUAUAUAGACUCAAACAAGUUCCUAGAGCUUAGUUUGAUAAGCUGAAAAGUUGUUUAUUGCAUUGGGGUUUUAUUACUACUAAUUUGGAUACCUCUCUUUUCAUCAGAAGAAACACUCAUUACAAGUCCAAGUACUAUAAAGUUAAAAAAGUUUUAUAACUCAGUUCAGUAAAGCAUUUGCCUUAAAAGACCUAGGAAUAUUAUCUUAUUUCCUUGGAAUUAAAGUGUUGUAAGAAGCACAUUGUGUGUAUUUGUCACAAAGAAAAUACAUCAGAGAUCUGUUGUUGAUGGGUGUCGAAGCCAACAAAAAUAAAUUCCUACUCUAAAUAAAUUGUGUAUAGUGAUUGAGCAGGGUCGUAUCCACAGAGAUCGGUAAUUAUUUAAAUCCUUUUGAAACGUAAAACGUAAAAUGGGGGAAUUGUUGACAAUAAUAAAAAUCAAAUUAAAAAUAACAAGAAUGCAAAUUAAAGUCGUAAUUCAAAUUGGAGAAAGCUCUGGUUGAAGGAAUUAACUCAGCUUGAUUCGAGUACUGAUCAUUGAUUCAAAUAUAGAUUAUUAUUACUCAUGAAUAGACCGGUUAUAGCUACUGAGACCCUCUAAUAGCCAAUCUCUCCUUAACUAGUCGAUAACCAAGGUACGACCGUUGGUUAUUUCCCUAAUCAAUAGACAACCCUAGAUACGAUCAUAGGAUUUAAUCAAUUGACAGCCUGAAAAACCAGAGAGACCCAAAUCCUAAUCAACACAUAUGAUGAUUCAUUUAAAUUAGAUUGUUUAUUCUCACAACACAACUCUCUGCUAUGUUAUUUGUCACAAACAUUAAAUUCUUCAUACGAUGAAUCCUUUAAUUGACAAUAGAUUAAGUUGAUAAUUAAAUAGUGGCCAAUUACCUAAUUAACAAACACAAUCAUGAAAAUAAUUCAGAGAAUAAACAAAUACCCAAAAAGUAAUAAAACAAUUAAAGCACAAGAAAGAUCUCACAGUAGUGAUGAAUCAAAGCUUUAUUAACCUUCAACCAGAAAAAUGGGUUUAGUUCCUCAUAGAGAGAAGAGAAAAAUUAGAUCUAGGGUUUCUUUUUCUCCAAUCUAAAUCCCCCCUUUUUCACAAUAGAUUCCUCCCUUAAAUACUCUCUCUCUCUUCUCUUUUAGAGUUCUAUUUAAAAUAAAAUACUAAUAUCUAAAAUAUUAAAUUCGUAAUUACAAAAAUAACCAAAAAUACAAAACACGUUAAACUAAAAACUGCAGGUCCGCAGUUGACAGCACGCGCCCACGCCUUAUCAAUAAAGUUCUUCUGCCGCUCAUAAUUUCUCCAAGAGAACAAUCAUCCUUAAAAAUCAUCUUGUAGCUCAAUUUUAUCACCAAUCAAUAGAAUUGCACCUACAAAAGUAAAACACAAGUAAAUCAUUAUUAUUAAGUGCAAAACAUUGAUAUUAAGGGAAGUAAAUAAUGCAAAACUAGUGCAUAAAUUGCACUCUAACAAAUUCCCCCACACCAAGAUGAUGCUUGUCCUCAAGCAUAUAACUCAAGAUUAAUCUCAAAUCUCCACUCAAUUCUCAUCUCAACUCAUCCAAAAACAAUUUUAAGCAAGCAUACCUCAAGAAAUUAAGUCGUUCAUCAUUCGAGAGACAAGGAUUUUAAAGCAUAGAAUUUCAUAAGAUAGAUUAAGAGCAUUCAACCACCAAGAAGAUCCAUUCAAAAUUCAAGUGCAACAAGAUUUAAUAACCCUCUCAUUGACUUCACUCCAUGCACUCAAAGUGUUUAGGGUGUCAUUUAUGCACUCAAAUCAAAUCAAAGAAUGCUAUUACCAUAAGCUUGCUUAUAUAUCACAUCUCAAUCCACAAAACAUGAAUAAAAUACAAAAAUCUAAGGGUCUUAAAAGGGUUGUAAUGGGGUUAAAUGAAAAAGAAAGGUUUACGAAAGAAAAAGAGAUCAAAACGAGAAGAAUGAACUCAUUGAAUGAACUUAUGAUAUCAAAAUGCUUAUUUCUACUCAAGUCACCAAGAAUGUAAACAUUUUUUUUUUUCGAUUUUUUUUUCUUUUUCUUUUUCUUUUUUUUUUCUUUUUUUUUCUUUUUUUUUUGUUUGUUUUUUUUUUCGAAUCAAACAAAAGAAACGAACCUUGCACAAUUGAAUUCAAGCAUAAUGCUUGUUGAUCUAAUUGAGAAACUUCAAUACAAGGUAGAAAAAGCAACAAAAUAUAUCCACACAAUGAGUCCAAAAAUCUCCUUAAAUUGAGGCUAAAAAAGAAGAAAAGUUGUUAAGUAGACGGAGAGAAUUAGAUGGGUAAUGGUUAAGGCUCAAACAAAGGUAGCAAAUAAAGGUCUUCGGGUAGAGAAAAAGGAAAAUGCGAGAAUAGAAAAAUGGUAAAUGGUUUGCCCUUAUCAUUUUAAUGCCUAAAAUCCCGUAAUGUGGCUUCAACAUGCAUAACAAAGCAAGUUCUAGAAUAAACAAACUAGGAUUGAUAUUCACAUAACAAAAAUAAUUAGAGCAAAAUGGUUGCUCAUAGGCUCAAAUCCUCACAAAGUUGGUAAAUUUGUCAUCAAAUCAUGUACACUCUUCAAAUGAAUCAACCAUCAAUAGUGGUGUAGAAUGAGAAGAAGGUAUGAGUGAGAUAUAAAAGGAAAGGUAAAAAAGGAUAAUAAGCGAGAAAGAUGUAUGUAGUAAAAAAAUGAAAGAUAAAAUGUGAGUGAUGAAAGAGUAUGAUAGGAAAAAAAAAUAGAUGUAAAUAAUUUGAGAUAGAUGGGAAAAAGGUAGUGAGAAAGAAAAGAAAAGAUAAAAUAAUAAUAUAUAAAGCAUACUAACUCCAAAAUCAUUUAAGGAUGAGUAGAGUGAAAAUAAAUGAGUAGAGUGAAAAUACUACUUCCAGACAUCAAUAAUGCAAAAAUCCCUCCCCCACACCAAGAACUUACAUUGUCCCCAAUGUAAGAUAAUCAAAGCUCACAUAAAAAUUAAAGCGUAAGGAUAAAAGUUUAAGGGCAAAAAGAAACUUCCCUGAAUUGUGAGUUUUGGUCCACAUAACGUCUAUGGGCUUGGCGGAAAUGGUGGGGUAAAUCCCACACUCUCGAAGUAUGCGGCCAAAUUCUGCUCCAUUUUGUUCAACUUGUGCUCCAUUUUCUCUAACUGAAUGCUCAAAGGUGGUGCGGAUGUAGAAGGAAUAGUUGGCGGGGCAACAGUGUCGUCGUCAAACUCGUCAUCAGAGGUAGCACCACUCCUAGCAUAAAGCUUCUUCGGAAGUUGAGUGGGUCCUGGUUCAGUAAACUGAAAUCUCCCCUCCUUGAAUUCGACCACACCUGUUCUUUCAAACACAGACAUAUCCAAAAAUUCCUUUUUGCAAGCAGGAUGCAAAUCAUUAUUGUCAGGAUCAAGCACACAUAGGUUUAUAGCUAACAGAGUAAUGUAUGGACCAAGAAAUAAAGUCCUAUACCGUUUAAGCACACUUUGAAAUUGAUCCGCUAACCAAAAACCUAAAUUAGGCCUCACAUCAUUUAACAUGCACCAGAUAAAAUAAAAUUCAGUUUUAGAGAAAAUUCCUGAGUGAUCUUUCUUGCCUAAAAAAUUAUAUGCUAAGAAUCGAUGCACACAUUUCAAAACAGGAUCACGUAAGAAAGAACUCUUUGAUUUACUCGGGUCAUAGGCAUUGUGAUCAACAGAUAAAUUACGCCAAAGACCAUAAGGCUCAAAAUUUUCACCAAAGUCACAAGUUGUUCCUAAAUAUUCAUCACUAGUAGAAUGAUCAUCAUCAAUGAAUCCUAAAGCUAGGUUAAAAUCCGUGAUAGAGUGUGAAAAAUUUCGUCCCAUUAACCUAAACUUAAUGACAUCCGGGGUAUGCAAAGUAAAAUCAUUCGGCAUAGUGAAUUGAAAAGUAGCAUAAAACUCCCUAAUCAACUCAACAUAACCCAAGCAAUCAACAUCAACAAACUUACGCAACCCAAUCUUAUCUAUCAAAGAAUCAAAAUUAUCUUUAACAUUUAAUUUUUCAAGAGUCGGGUAAUGAAUAUACUUAGCUGGAAGUAUUUUGCGCGUGGAAAUAUCUUUGUACCUCUCUUUCUCUUGUUGAGUCGCGAAUGCGAGGCACCCUCCGAGAUUGGAUUCCGCAAGUGGCAAAACACUCAUGCCUUUUCCAUGCUUCGAUCUUUGUCUCACGGCUUGGCGUGAAUCUGAAAUUAUGUUCCAUGGAACCGUAGUGGGAGCGGCAAUCUUAGAUUUCUUUGCGACGGGUGUCUUUUUCGACGACUUGGAAGUAGAUGCUUUCCUCUUCGGCAUUGUUACAAUAAUUGCACUCACGGAUUUCGAUUUACCCGGCUGGAAUACAGGGCGUAGGCUGGUUGUGUUGCGCUUGCUGCUCGGCUGGAGCUUGUUGCGCGAGUUGGGGCUGGUUGUGCGCGCUGCUGAGGCUUGCUUUGCGGGUGAUGGCUCAUUGCUGUGCGGGGCUGUUGCGCGAGUUUGGGCUGGUUGUGCGCGCUGCUGAGGCUUGCUUUGCGGGUGCUGGCUCGUUGCUGUGCGGGGCUGUUGCGCGCGAGAGCCAGUUCGCGUUGCGGGUCUGCGUUGCGGAUCUGUUGCGCUGCGCGCGCGGGACUGAUGUGCUGCGCUGAGGCUGAUUCGCGCUGCUGCUGGUUGCGGUGCGCGAUGCUGUGCGCGGCGGCUGGGGCUGAUUCGCGCUGCUCGCGCGGGCUGGGGAUGCUGGAGCUUGCUGCUGGUUCUGGGCGUACUCGUCUGCUGCUGCUGGUUGCGCGGUGAAGGCUGGAGCUGAUGCUGCUGUAAAACGAUAAUCAACAGUAAUUUUUGAAUUAGGGAUUUGUGAACAGUGAUUUUCGAUUUUUGGUUUUUUUUUUUUUUUUUUUUUUUUUUUUUUUUUUUUUUUUUUUAGUGAUGAAUCACUUUGAGACACUAAAAAUUUCAGAAGUACUUUUCUAAUAAGUACGUGGGCACGCCUUAUCAAAAAUUUUCUUCUGACCAAAAUAAGCAAACACAUUAAAUUUCAGAAGUACUUUUCUAAUAAGUAUGUGGGCACGCCUUAAAACUUUGAGACAUUAAAAAUUACAGAAGUACUUAUUAGCUAAGACGUGGGCACGCCUUAUCAACAAAGUUCUUCUGACCAAAAUAAGCAAACUCAUUUUUUUCAUUUUUUUUUUUAAAGAAGAUAAAACAAAAACCAAAAUAAACAAAUCAUUUGGGUUGCCUCCCAAAAAGCGCCUUUGUUUUAUGUCUUUGGCUAGACACAUUUAUGCAUCAAUCUCCAUAAUUGGGACUCUCGAGAGCCACAUCCUCCACAAUAUUCACCGAAAAACCUUCAUAAAAAGGUUUUAAGCGAUGACCAUUAACUUUAAAAACUUUGUCAGAGGUCGGACUCCGAAUCUCAACUGCACCAUGAGGAAAAACAUUAGUAACAAUAAAAGGUCCAACCCAGCAAGAACGUAAUUUACCCGGAAAAAGUUUAAGCUUAGAAUGAAAAAGAAGAACUUUUUGACCAACAGAGAACUCAUUUCUCAAAAUCAUUCUAUCAUGAAAUGUCUUCGUCUUUUCCUUGUAAAAAACUUCCUACGCUAUAGGGUUAAUAACAUCUACAGAAAAUACCGAAUGUUCCUCACUAGGAUAUUUCAUGGCAUCAUUCAUAUUGAAUUCUAUAACCUCUCCAUCAAACUCCAUAGUGAGAGUCCCUUUAUGUACAUCCAUUUUAGUCCUAGCAGUCUUAAGAAAAGGUCUUCUUAGCAAAAUUGGGACAGAAUUAGAGGAGUUAUCAUCUUCCAUAUCAAGUACAUAAAAAUCAGCAGGAAAAACCAACUCAUUAACUUGUACUAAGACAUCUUCUAAUACCCCAUCAGGAUAUGCAUUAGACCUAUCAGCUAGUUGAAUUAUCACGCCAGUUUCUUUUAAUGGACCAACAUUCAAAGAUGAAUAAAUGGAACGAGGCAUGACAUUAAUAGAAGCUCCUAGAUCUAACAAAGCCUUUUCAAUUCUAACACUACCAAUUUUACAAGGGAUAGUAAACAUACCUGGAUCCUUGCACUUAGGAGGUAGUUUCUUUUGGAGAACUGCUGAAACAUUCUCCCCCAUGUGAACUUUUUCAUCUCCUCUUAAUUUUCUCUUGGAGGUGCACAGUUCCUUAAGGACUUUAGCAUAUCGAGGUAUUUGUUUUAUAGCAUCUAAUAAAGGAAUAUUUACCUCAACCUUGCGAAAUGUCUCAAGGAUGUCUUUCUCUUGUUCCUCCUUCUUGGAUUUUGCAAACCGGCUUGGAAAAGGAGGAGGUAUCACAAUAGGUAGGGGUUUCGCUCUGGUGGGUUUUGCAUCUUGAGAUUGAGGCAUCAAUUCAUUCUUCUCAAGCUCAUCUUCUACAUGCUCUGUCACUUUCUUACUAGGCUCUUGCAACUCCUUCCCACUUCUAAGGAUGACAGCACUAACGUUUUGCUUUGGAUUCACCUCAGAUUGUGAAGGCAAUCUCCCUAGUACUUGAGACUCCAGACGGCUCACUGUAGUCGCCAAUUGACUCAUUUGGUUCUCCAAGUUCUGAAUGCUUGCUGUAGUUGCCUGUUGAAAUUGUUGAGUGUUAGUCGCAAGUGAUUUAACAAUUUCUUCAAGAGAUAUACCUGACUUGGAAUUAGGUAUUAUAUGUAUAAUACAAGUAGAAAUCUGCUGAUAUUUAUAGUUAGAAAUCGCUGAAAGGUUCUUUGCCUGUUUCCGCUUGUAGGGGCUGUGUUCAGAAACUGUGAGGGAGAAUAUUUGGGGAUUUCUCUUGUCCAUUACAUGUUGAGACGACUUUUGUUGCUGAACUGUUGGUUGUUAUCUUGGCUAUAGAGCAUGCUUCUGUUGGAGGUUGGACUAUGUUGUGGAUCAACUUAUUUUUGUUUGUUCUGCAAGAAUCAUAACGAGUGAGAAGAUGUCUGGAUUUCUUCACUAUUAAAAAACUACCAGUAUUUAUUUAAUAUGUUUAGACAAGUCACCAAGGUUACUAGUUUCCUGUCUUCAGUGUGUGCAUGUGUAUGUGUAUAUUUGUAUCAACAAUAAGAUUUUUACCAAAAUAGCGUUCAUAUUCAUCUCGUUAUUGCAACAACCAACUUGCCUACGAUUUUCCAAUAAAAUUUACAUGAAAAGAUUUUAUAGUAUAUUGUUUUGUGAAUGAUGUAGUAGAGCAGUGGAGAUCUAGAACUUGACAGGGAGAGGCGGUAGAAUCUGAUCAAUGAAUAUCUACAUACGAAGAGUUACAGACGAAUAUAGAGAAGAGUUACAAACAAUGUAGAUAUAUACAUGAAGAAUAUUAGCCUAGAGAUUAAUCAAACACAUGUUAUGACUUGAUCACUUCCAUUUUGUAGAUAUAUAUAAUGUAAUUUUUUGACACUACGUUACGUUCACGCCAACUUUAACUCACCAACACAAAUCUUUUCUUGUUCUGUUCAACCUGCAGGAUUGAAUCAGACUUUAUUAUGGAGAUUGUCAAUGGGAUAUCAAGUAAAAUUCCUAUAAAAUCAUAGACUCUUAAGGAGGUAGUAGGAAUAGAUUCACACUUGGAGAAGCUUAUCUAUCUUAUGGAUAAAGGGCCUAAUGAUGUUUGUAUGAUAGGGAUCUGUGGUGUGGGAGGUAUAGGUAAGGGGACUCUUGCAAGGGUUGUUUAUGACUUGAUCUUUCAUGAAUUUGUAGUAAGUAGUUUUCUGGCCAUUGUUAGAUAAACCUCAUACAAAGGCGGUCUGAUUUCCUAACAAAAUGGAAUGUAUAUAAUGUUAUCAACAUAACAGGAAGUAGGCUACGACACAAAAAGGUUCUUCGUGUUAUGGCUUACGGCAUUUACAAAGUUUAGCUAGAAAGUUCAGGCAGCAGGAUCAUCAUAACAUCAAGAGAUAAGCAUUGUUGACAACACAUGGAGUGGAUGAAUUGUAGGUCCUGAAGCAAAUACAUUGUGAUGAAGCUCUUAGACUCCCUUGUAUGACAACACAUCUGUGGCAUGAGAGGUAUAGGUAAGUGCAAUGCAUGUAUUUUGAGUUCAUUAUUCUAAAAGUCAAGAAAUGAAAUAUAAAAUUGCUAUCACUAUAUAAUGCAAAGUAAAACAUUUUAUGUAAUGCAGCCUACAUUUUAUUCAUUUUUUUAUGGUACACACAAAAUGUUUUCCUUUGCCCAAGCUAUCAAUUGUACAAUGUAAGCUUUCAAGGAGAUCCUUUGGUCAUAGUUACAGUGAUCCGAAGGGCAUGACUUUGAGCCCUGAGAAAGGUCUGCCCACAUUUGCUCAAUUCAACCUUUGAUCUUAUCUUCAAGACUAUUCCAGAUUAUUCUCAUCUCUUGCUGAAUCACUCUUAUGAGUCAUCUGACAUGCUUGACUCACAGAGGUGUUUCAUUGAGCAUUUUGCUCAUUUUAUCGAACGUUAGUUUUGCUCAACAUUCUAUGCUUUAAAUCUAUGCAUAAAUAAUUUUAUGGACAUCUUCACAUCCUAUUCUUCACUUCUCAUCUGCUUUUAUGAUUUUUAGGGAACUGAAAUAGUCGAAUGCAUGGUACAUGGCUUUUCAGAACUUAAGGUUCAUUCUAGCGCAGAUGCUAAUGCCUUCCGGAUGAUGAACAAGUUAAGAUUGAGCAGAAUUCAGAAUUCGCAACUUCCUCAAGGCCUAGAUUACCUCUCUAAUGAGUUAAGAUUACUUAAAUGGUAUAGGCAUCCACUUAAAAUCCUUUCCACCAAAUUUCCAACUGGAUAAAACUUUCAAGCUUAAGUUGUGUGAAUGCCGCAUUGAAGAAUUGUGGAAGGGAAUCAAAGUAAGAUCACUUACUUUUGUGUUUAUUAGUGAAUAAUUGUUUUAUUUUUUCCCUUUAAAUUUUGAAAUUACUUUCUAAGUUUAUACGAGAAGUAUCGUUGUAAAUUAAGAAAAAUUUCUUCUUGGUCCUUUAUGUUUCCAACAGCCUUUGAACAUGUUGAAAGUCAUGAAACUCGUGCAUUUGGGGCAGCUGUGAAGCCGCUCUCCACCCUAUAUUUUAGGGGAAUAUCCCCUAUAAUAAAACGUGAGCUGCCCCAAACGGAAGCUCAACCAUUCACAGAACCUGAUUAAAACACCAGACUUCACAGGGGUCCCAAAUUUAUAGAAGUUCAUUCUCGAAGGAUGCACAAGGUUGCACGAAAUUCACCCAUCUUUGCUGCUUCACAAUAAGCUCAUUGUAUUGAAUCUUAAGGAUUGUACAAGUCUCAAACUCUUCCAGGCAAAUUUUUUAUGAAAUCUUUAAAAACACUUAGUACUUUCUGGUUGCUCAAAGUCGAAGAAAUUUCCAGAGAUUGUGGGAAAUAUGAAGUUUCUGCGGGAGCUUCUUUUGGAUGGAACUGAUAUUAAGGGACUACCAUUAUCAAUUGUACUUUUAUCUGGAAUUGUUCAGUUGGAUUUGAAAGGCUGCAAAAAUAUUAGUUGUCUUUCAAAUUUCAUAAGUGCUUUAAAAUUUCUUUCCACUUUCAAUCUCUCUGGCCUUUUGAAAUUCAGAUUGCCUCUAGAGAUCAUGGGACGUAUGGAACAUUUGUUGGGCGCUUCGGUUGUUGGGAACCACUAUAAGAGGAUUGCUAGUGUCAACUGAAUAUCUCUCUGUCAUUGUUUUGCUAAAUUAAAAAGGUUGCAAACAUCUCUCAAGUCUUCCAGUUACUAUAAGUAGUUUAAAAUGUAUAAGAACUCUUAACGCUCUCUGGUUGCUCGAAGCUGGAAAAGUUUCCGGGAAGUAUGAAAUCUCUGACUAUGCUUAUUUUAGAUGGAACUGCUAUUCGAGAAUUGUCGUUGUCAGUUGAACUUCUAACUGGCCUUGUUGUGUUGAAUUUGAAAGAUUGGCAAUAUCUCUCGAGUCUUCCAAGUACAAUCAAUGGUUUGAAAUCUCUUAAAAUUCUGAAUGUCUCUAGUUGCUCGAAACUUGAAAUUGUGCCAGAGAACUUGGGUAAAGUAGAAAGCUUGGAAGAGCUUGACAUUAGUGGAACAGCAAUUAGGCAACUUCCGACCUUUAUUUUUCUCUUAAAGAAUCUUAAAGCAGUGGACCACUAUCAUCUACAUCAUGGGAUUUGUGCUUCCUUCCCAAUAUGAUGUGAAGGAGUUUAGAUCCCAUGACUAAUUUGAUAUUACCUUCUCUAUCAGGCUUAUGUUCUUUAACAAAAUGGGAUCUCAGCAACUGUAAUCUACCAAUGGAAGGAGGAGAAAUCCCAAGUGUUAUUUACCACUAAUGCCUAUUGUUCAAGAAUGAACUAGAAUCUAAUUCCAAGACUAGACGCAAUGUCGGCUGAAUAAUAAAUGAUAGUAUGAACUGCUCUCGGUUACCCCUAGAGGACUCAUGUACGACGUCUAGCUCAGGUCGUCUAAAUUUAGUAAGUGAGUGCACGCUUUGGUCACGUGCACUAACUUAUACAUAAUGAUCAAACGACCCGAAAAGACUGCCGUUUUGAUGAGCAUUACUAUCAUUAUAUGGCUGUUAAAUCGGUUAGAAAGGGUGGGAGAUUAUUACAAACCCAUAACAGGCUGAUGACCGAUGAGGUAUAUUGUAUGAUGUCCAUUCAGUAGCUUGUAAUUUUCUCUCUAAGUUUGUAAGUUGUUCUGAGAAAACAAAUAAAGCUUGCCAAAGAAAGCAUAGGCCAUUGUAGCUAAACAUCUUGGAUUUUUAAUUUCUUGAUAAACUAUAUAUUCAUUUGAAUUAUGUAAUAUGAAGAUUUUUGUAUCAUUAGUUUGUGCUUGUUGGUUUUUUAUUUCUUUCAUUCUAAUAUACAAUUAUAAUAGGAAAAAUGACAUUUACACCCCUUGAAUUUGAGGAAAUGGUCACCAACACCUCCAAUUUAAAAAAAAACAUUAAAACCCCUUUUUGACAAUUAACCCUUUAAAAAAUUAAAUUUAAAAUUUUUAGAAAAUAGAAAUAUUAUAUAAAUAAUGUAAUCUAUGCAAUAGACUAAUAAUAUUAAAAUAAUUUAAUAUUUUAAUAAAUUUAAAUAUAUAAAUUGUUAUAUUUAUUUAAUAAUAUAUUUUAUUUAUUUUAGAUAUUUUAAAUAAAUAUUUGCAUUAAAUAUAUUUUACAAUUAAAAAAAUCUCACAUACUAAUGUUAUUAUUAUUUUACAUAAUAUUCAAAAUAAUUUAAAUUUUAAUACACUUGUUUUAACAUUAUGAUUCUAUUUAUUAUCAAAUUUAAUUUUAUAUACUAAAAUAUAUCUAAUAGAUUGUAAAAUAUUAAAAUAUUUUUGAAGUAUUUCUAUUUAUUAUAAAACAUUAGAGUUGAUUCUUUUUUGGAUAAUAGAGGUUAAAGGGUAUUAUCAUUAAAAGAGGGUCUUGAUGUUCCAUUUUGAAAUUUUGGGAGUGUUGGUGAUUAUUUCCCUAAACCUUGGGGGUGUAGAUGUCCUUUUUCCCAUUAGAAUAUCUUUUUUUGGCUAUUAUACCUUUCAAUUAUAGUAAUAUUAAAAUUGAUUUUAAAUUUUAAAAUAAAUACAAAUAUAAUAUUAGAAUAAAUAAACAAAAAUUAAUAAUUUUUAUUUUGGAAUUCCAAAUAUAUUGUUUUCAACAUCAGAAAUUAUAGUAUUUCAACUGGAUGACAUCCUAAAAUAAAAAUUAUGGAAAAGAAAUCAGAUUGCUAUUAUUAGACUAAAUGAUAAAAAAUUAAUUUUAUUUUAGAAUUAUUUAAAAGAAAUUAAUCGCAAAUAAAAAAAAAUUUAAAACAAUUGACCCUGGGCCGGCCUCGUUCGUCUUUUUAUAUAGAAUUGCAGGUCAAGAGCAUGCCCAGAACAUGUUUGACGAAAUACCCAAGAAGGAAUGCAUCCAUCUGAUAUGUUGAAGAGCACCGACAUGAUGCAUCUGUUACGGUAACUUUGUGAUUUCCUAAGCAAUCAGAAUCAAACAGUCAACAAAGUCAACUUUAUGAUUUCCCAGUUAAUCAACAAAGUCAAUUAUGCUACAACUUUAUGAUACAUCUAUUGCCACAAUUUUUUUUCACGUAGAAAAUUCAAUUAAAUUAAUUUAAUAUUGUCCUGGCUCAAACAUGCUGCCGCUUUGCUUGUAGUGCGGGUUUUCGGGUCCUUCAAUUUGCUGGUAGUGUACUUUUUCGUUUGCUGAUUAUGAUUAUUUCGGAGCCAAACUUAUAAAUUUAAUUCGAAAAGAAAAAUUUUAGGAACUUAAGUAAGAGGCUGUUGAAUCAAUUGCUUGCAACAGGAGCAUUCUGCAGGGAGUUUCUCCAUAUGUUCUGUCCCCCGCAAACAUUUCACAAACCAUUUGCGUGUUGCUUUGGAACAAAAGGGAGCCGUUUUAUUUAGGGACGACCAGGAACUCGAGAGAGGAAAAGUAAUUUCACCAGGACUACUUACAGUAAUUGAAGAAUCAAGAAUUUUAAUAAUUGUUUUCUCAAGAAACUAUGAGUCUUCCACUUGGUGUUUGAAGAACCAAGAAUUUCAAUAAUAUCUUUCAUAAAUUUGAAGUCAGAAAACAACUAAAUCAUCUUAAAAAGAAAAAAAAUUAUAAUUUACACUUUUAAAAACAAUUAGAUCAAAUCUCUUCAUUGGCAGCUAACAACAUCAAUUCCAUAUCCAAGUCAGCAAGUUUGGAAAGGUUCAUCCGCCGCUUGGAUUGCUGAAUCGCUCUUUUGGAUAAAUUUUCCGGCUUUUAAUAAAAGAAAAUUGGAAAAGGAAAUUAUAGAGAUUGAACAAUUAGCAACAUAAAAAAGUUAAAAUUACUAACAAAUGAGCAAUUAUACUUUUCCAGCAAGUGAUUUCUGCUUUCUUAGAUUGCUGAGACGAUUAACAUGAAACUAGUUUUUUCUUCUUUUUUUUUUUUGGCAACAGAUAAAAGAAACUGAGUGAUUGAACAAUUAGAGAGACACAAUGUCCAGCCUGGACUAGAUUUGAGUAUUUGACGAAUAAAAAGAACAAUAGGAAUUGAUUUUUUUAUUUUUUUUUUGGGGUAGUUUCAAGUGAUGGAUUAUAGAAAGGAUAGAAUGAAAAAUAAGGAUAAAUUGGGGAGUAAAUGGGGUACAGUAAUAAGAAAUAAGAAUAAUUUAUUUUUAAGAGAUGGGCCAGAUGAAAUAAAAUGAAGCGUUCAAAUAUCACUUUUUCUAUAGUGUUGGCCAAUUAGCACUUUUUUUUUUUUUUUUAGAAGAAAGGGAUUCAUUCAUUAACUGAGUUAAAAAGGUACAUAAUUUUUUAAGGGUAUGACCCUUUCCAAAUAGCAGUUUCACCACUUUCUAAAGCUCUCUUAGCUAAAGAAUGAGCAAUGGCAUUACAGGAUCUUAAAAUGUGCUGGACUUUGACAGCAUUAAACUCCUUCAUUUUGCUUUGCACCUCUAUUAUUUCCCAUUGGAUCUCUGUUCUGCUGCUCUUUUUGCUGUUAACCAAAUCAAUAGUCUCCUGAGAAUCUGAUUCCAUGAUGAUAUUUGGCAAUUUUGCAUGCUUUGCUAUGCUUAGACCCCAGCUCACAGCUUCUACUUCUGCAUGAGUUACAUCACCAUGAAACUUUGUGACCUUUAUUGCAGUUGCCACAAAAUUUUCCCCCGCAUCCCUUAUGACAACUCCCAGGCCAGCACAUUGGUUUUUCACGUUUAUGGCUGCAUCAACAUUGAUUUUACACUAAUCUAGUGGAGGGCGGCUCCAGCCUCUUGGAAUCUUUUCUUUCUGCUCAGCAAAAUCCUUUCGGGUUUGUGCUUUGACCUUUUAAACUCUUCCACUACUGAUUCAGCUUUCGCAGCUAGGAUUCUAGGGUCUUCUCUCUUCCCUUUGAAUGACACUUGAUUUCGGGCACUCCAUGCUACCCAAAACAUAGCCGCCACCAUCUCAGUAUCAGCCUUGCCAAUCCUUCUUUCCAGAUCUUGAAUUACACUGAGAAUGUCCUGAGUUGCAAUGCUUCUGAGCUCUACUGCAGCCUCAGUUACCUUCCAGAUUCUGCGGGCUGACCUGCACUCCACCAACGCAUGGAAAGUAUUCUCCAAAGCAUUUCAACAGAGCUGACAGAGCGGUUGGGCUAGAAUUUUCCUUUUCCACAGAUUUGCAGCUAUUGGGAGGAGAUUUUUGGCUGCUCUCCAAAUGAAAAUUUCGAUUUUCUUAGGCAAUGACAUAGUCUAUAUAAUAGGCCAUGGACUUGCUUUCUAAUUUGAGCAUCCUCGAGAGUCUUCUAGCGUAAUCCUCAAUGCAACUUGAUAUCUGCUUUUCACAUUAUAAUUUCCUUUUUUAUCAAAAUGCCACAGGACUUGAUCUGCUGUUGGUUGUCUAGGGAGUGGGAUUCUUGUAAUUGUAUCAGCAUCUUCUUUCACAAAGUGUUGGUAUAUCAGCCCAACCUUCCAUUGAUUAUCAUCAUCAAUAAGCUCCGAAACAGUCACAUCAAUUGGCAAAGAUGGAAGGGAAACUGGUUUGAAUGUCAAUGGCCUCGACAUCCAGUUUCCUCUAUAAAUUUCCACUUGAUCACCUCUUCCAAUCCUCCAUCUUAUCCCUCUAUUGAUAACUUCUCUCCCCCAUAAUAUACUUCUCCAAAUAAAUGAGGGUCUGAAGCCUAACUUUGCAUUAAGAAAAUGACAGUUCUUAAAGUAUCUUGCUUGUAAGAUCUUUGACACCAUAGAAUCUGGGAACUGCAAUAUUCUCCAGCCUUGUUUCGCUACCAGAGCCUGGUUAAAGCUUGCGAAAUCUCUAAAGCCUAAUCCUCCUUUUUGCUUUGCUUGGCUUAAGCUCUCCCACCUUGCCCAAUGGAUGCCUCUUUUUUCCGCAUUACUACUCCACCAAAAUCUAGAUAUCACCUUUUGGAUGUCAUCACAAAUGCCCAAAGGAAGCUUAAAGACACUCAUAGCAUAUGCUGGAACAGCCUGUGCUAAGAAUUUGUAUUGCCAGCUCGAAAUUUUACUCAUCACCCUCAGCUUUAUUUCAUUGAAGAAACCUUUCCUUUUUCUCCCCACUAUGGACGGCAGCCCCAGGUAUUUCUCAUGCCUUGAGACUACAUUUAACUGAAAAAUGUUUUUAAUUGCUGCAACGCUUCCACUAUCUGUGUUCUUGCUGAAAAACAUUGAAGAUUUGUUAUAGUUGAAGAGCUACCCUGAGGCUGUUGCGUAGCAAUAAAAAAUCCGCUUAAGGUGUUGGCAAUCUUCAGCCGAGGCUCUUGAGAAAAUCAGGCUAUCAUCCGCGAACAUGAGAUGUGAAACAUUGAUGCUGUUGCCAAACCUGAGGCCAUGAAUCAGCACUCUUCCUUUUGCCUUUUGCAGCAUAACAGAGAACACCUAUGCACACAUGAUAAACAAAUAAGGAGAGAGAGGGCAGCCUUGUCUUAGGCCCCUCUGAGGGUAGAUUAAGCCUUUUGCUGUGCCAUUUAUAAGGACUGAAAAGAAUGAAGUUGUGAUGCACCUCAUGAUUAGGUUUACCCAUGAUCGAGGAAAUCCUAAUUUAAUCAUUGUUUGUUCCAAAAACAACCACUCCACCCUAUCGUAGGCCUUACUUAUAUCAAGCUUUAGAGCCACAAGCCCAUUUCUCUUCCCUUCACUAUGCCUAACCUUAUGUAAGCAUUCAUAACCUAUGAUAAUGUUGUCAGUUAUGAGUCUAUUUGGAAUGAAAGCACUUUGGGUAGGGGAGAUGACUUGGUGGAGAAUGUGUUUAAGCCUAUUUGCAAUAGCUUUAGCCACAAUUCUAUAAAUGACAUUACAUAAGCUUAUAGGUCUAAAAUUGGUCACUUUCCUAGGCUUUUUAGUCUUAGGAACUAGAGCAAUAUAUGUGUGGUUAAGAGGGGUUAUUGUACCUUGCUCGUUCAGAAUAUGCAAACAUGUAGUCACCACUCCACUUUUUACCAUUUUCCAAUGCUUUUGGUAGAAGAACGCUGGAAAUCCAUCGGGUCCUGGUGCUUUGGUGGGGCACAUUUGGGAUAGGGCUUCAAGAAUCUCUUCUUCCGUAAUGGGUUGUUGCAGCUGAUCAUUCAUCUCCUCAGUGACUCUUGGAGUUAUUUCUUCUAGGGCAGCAUCUAACUGAUUCUGGUCUGGUCUAGUUGUUGAGAACAAGUUAGCGAAGUAUGCACAUAAUUCUCUUUCUACUUCCUCCCCCAUCACUAUCCAGUUCCUUUGGCUGUCUUGAAUGCCCCAAAUCCUAUUCUUCCUCUUUCUCGAUGAGGCUUUUGCAUGAAAAUAUUUAGUGUUCUUGUCCACUUCUUUAAGCCAAUCAACCCAGGAUCUUUGUUUCCAAUAAAUUUCUUCAUCUAUCAAAAUAUUUUGGAUAUGCCUUUUCACCCUUUUGAUCUCCUCUCCAUUGCUAUACUGCCUCCCACUGAACCUCAGCUCUUUUAGCCUAGCCACCGGCUUAUCCAACUUCUUUUUCCUCCCUUUGAAUUCUUCCCUGCUCCAACACUUCAGCUGGGCCAUGGAAUCUUUAGUUGUUUUUUUGAACAGUUAGACAGGAUCAGCAUGCUUCCAGUCACCAUGCUGGCUCCAUUCUCUUUGAAUUAUGUCUUUACAGCCCUUAUAACUACUCCACAUAUCUUCAUAAUGCACCCGCGAAGUACUUCGCUUUGUGUAGCUCAGUCUGCUUCCUCUUUCAUUCACCUCCAUCAAAACAGGACAAUGAUAUGAGGUCCAUGUUUCUAGGUUGAUGGCAGCACAAUCGUCAUAAAUCUCCCGCCAAUUCUUACUACACAAAAAUCUAUCCAAUCUUUCUUCUACAAAGCCAGGACCCUACCUACCAUUACCCCAUGUAAAACGGGUAACCUUUACAGCCCAUAUAAACUAGAUUACACUCUUGCAAUGCCUCUCUAAACUCACUUAUCAUGUUUGGAUUUCUCUCAUUACCACCUAUUUUCUCCCUAGGGUGUAAAAUUUCAUUGAAAUCACCAAAGCACAACCAGGGGUAUCAAACAAACCUGCAAGUCUCCUCAGUAUUGUCCAAGUAUGUUUCUUCUGCCCCGCUUCAGGGUGCCCAUAGAUUCCCGUGCAUCUCAUCCAACUUCCUUUGUCAUCUUGAACCUUGGCAUCAAUGUGGUGGCUGCUGAAUGAAGUAACAUCCACAUUGACAUUAUUGUCCUAAAGCAUUGCCAAUCCCCCUCCCUUCCCGUUUCUAUUGACUGCAAAACAAUUUUCCAAUCUCAACUUCCUGUUCACUAUAGACAUUUGCACAGGCAUUAAUUUCGUUUCACAUAAAAACAACAAAUGUGGCCUGUGUUGAUGGAGAAUUUUUUACAAAGCUAGGAAUGUCCGGGAAUUCCCCAAACCACAGACAUUCCAACUGAGGAUCUUCAUUGUUACCGGUAGGGCUGCCCACCAGCCUCCGCCGAUAUCUCUGUGAUGAUUGGCCUUGCCACCUCCAUGUCAUCUACUGACAUUAACUCCCAUUUUAGCUCAAGGUUUGCUGAAGAAGGGGAUUGCUGAGCUUGUCUCUGUAUUUGUUUAAUGGGACUAACCAACUUGACUCUUUUUUUUGUUUAGGUUGUUUUCUUUCAACAUGCAAUGUGGCCUCUUAGCUGGAUAUGUCUCCCGCUUGAUUCCUCCCAUCUCGCUUUGUUUUCGGGCCUAGCGUUUCUAGCUUUUUCUAUUGGGCUUAAUUUGAUUUAAUUCCGGUCCAUCAUCUACACCUUCCUCGUCUUCUUUACAAACUUGAGCCUUGGCUCUUUGAUCCAUUUCUUCGGUAGCCAAUUUUCCUUCUUUGCUAAAUUUUCCGCUUUCCCUCUCAUUUUCAUCAACUUUUCCCGCGUUGCUGCUCAUCUUGCUAGGGGCCUUUUCAUUGUCAGUGGCUGCAGGUUGCUUGUAGCAGUCCACUCUCUGAUCUCCUAAUUUUUUCCAGCUGAGCAUUAAAUGCGUUUCUUCUGCUUCCUCUUCAUUAUUUUCUUUAUUGGCUGCCACGUGUGUGUCUUCCUGGUCUGAGCUUGAUUCUGGUUCUGUUGCAUUGGUCCUAUGUGAUUGAAGGGGUUGCUGCGCCUGGGACAUUGGAUUUUCCUUGAAGUCUUUGUGCCUGUUAUUAGUUGGCUGGUUAACCAUUUUGCCACUAACUUUUGUUCCCCUUUCAUGGGGUCUGCUUAUUUUUUAUUUGCCAAAUACAGGGACCACUUGCAUCCAUACUCCAUAAGCCAGUUUCUCUUUUGGUUGCCCCUCGUAUUUGUUGCACUCCUUGUAUUGGUGCCUGACGAGACCACAACAAAAGCAAAAUUCGGGCAAUCUCUCGUAAACUACUGGAAUUGGGACAUCAUCUUCUCCUUCGAGUUCUAGAUAAAUUGUUCUGCUUUAUGCAUUUGUUACUUCAACUCUAUGAUUUCCCAAGAAAACAAUCAAUAUGUGAAUGUUUAGGUGCAGAAAACAUGGGCCAGCAGCUUGUAAGAACCAGGGAAAAAAGCAGAACAAUUUCAAUUCUUUGAAACCGAGUGCAGUUAAGUAAAUUCAUAAUUUCAUAACUUCUUUUAUAAUAUGCAAAUUGUAUUACUUCUAUAUGAAUUGCUUUUAGUGUGGUUAAACAGAGUGUUUCAGACUCAUGGAACAAGAAUGUUGAUAAGGUUAGCAAGCAAUGAACAGCAGAACUGAUUGAGGAAACUCAGGCUCAGAUUCUCACUAGUCCUGCAAUUAACAACUGGAAAGGUUAAAUCAAAUAAUAGCAAAUUCAAAUCUUAGGUGGCCACUUCUUUUGGCUCAGUCAAAAGUUCAGGUUUGAUAGCAGGUUCUAUAAUAUCUCCCCCGCCAUGCACACAUCAUUAUCUUAAUUUUAUCAUGCUUGUAUGCCUGGAUGGAUGCUUGUAUGCUUGACUUCUGCCACAUUUCCAUUUCCGUACACAUUCAAUAUACAGUAGUGGCUCGACCUCUAGGCAACUUAGGUGGUUGCCUAGGCCCCCUCUUUACAUGAGGGCCCCAUGAGAUGAUUAUUUUGUAAAUAAAAGAAAAACAUGAAUUUAAAAGUCAUUAUUAUUCAUUUAAUUUAUUAUUAUUUUAUAAUUAUCUUUUCCUAAAUAAACUAUCAAAUUCCUAUAAAGUUUAUUUAAUAUAAUACUUAGUAGUUUUAAUUCCUACAAAACCGAUAAAUUCCAGAUUCUAUCUUUUUACUAUUCUCUUAAUUAGCUGUGUUAUUUAUUUAUUUAUUCUUUUUUCUUUUUAAUAUAUUCUUGUAUUAAUCUACUAUUUUUUGUGUGUGCUUGUUUUAUCUAUUUUGAAAUAAAACUAUAUCGAAAAAAUUUAGAAAAUAGAAGAAUAGAAAAAUUAGUUUAAUCUAGAAAAGGAGCAGUAAAAAAGAUGUAAUUUGAAUUAAAAAAAAAAGUGAAAAUGUUAUAAUUGAAUUAAAAUUUCAUGGAUUAGCAAUAGUAGAAUAGAAUUUUAUUUAAUAAUUUUACAUUUUAGAGUAUUUAAAGAAUUAAUUUUCAAAAAAUAAUAUAUAACUAAUAUAUAUAUAUAUAUAUAUAUAUAUAUAUAUAUAUAUAUAUAUAUAUUUUGUCUUAAAUUUUAAGAAGAACUAAUUGAAAUCAUUUACCCAAGGCCUCAAAUAUGGUUGAGCCGGCCCUGUCAUUAUAAAAGUAUAAUAGCAAGUAUUAGUUAGCUGAGCUGACUUUGUUGACCAAAGCUUGUAUAGAAACUGAAUAACAGAACAACUUAUGAGGCUUGUAACCAAAAGGAUGCCUAAAGCUAAAGCCAACUAUUUUUAGUAGAAAUUGAGGGCACUAAACCUUUCUUCUCUUCCCAAACUUUAUGCAAUUUCAAAGAAAAAUGUGAAACCUUUAAUCUUUGUUUUCCAUUUUUUACUUAUUUUAAUGAGAAAAUUCUACAAUUUAAUUAAAAUUUUUUUAAAGAUUAUAGUGGAAUUACUCCAAAAGAAUAUUGUAUUCUUUUUCCCUAUAAAAUGCAAUUACAAUGAAGACGCCCUUAAUAAAAUACCUAAAGAAAUUUUUUCUUUUGGUGCGUAGAUUAUUGAAGCUGGCUUUGUCAACAUCGUGUCGAUCAAAAUCAUUCUUCAUUAAUAUAUAUAUAUAUAUUUAUUUAUUAAAACGGGCUCUUUAAGACGAGUUAGAUAUGAACAAGGCGGGGUUGACAAACCCCAAACAUAUCUUGCGAAAUAAUAGAAUAAAUACCCACAGGCGGGUUAGAGAAUAAAUGUAAACCAUGCGGAACUAAGUGAGCCAUAUUUGCCAUGAAAUCUGCAGUUGAGUUUGCUUCACGGUAGAUUUACGAGAUAGAAAUCUGCCAAUUCCUGCUUAAGAAAUCACGAAUUGCCACCACUAAAGCAUAGAAAACAUUAGGCACGACCACCUGCUGAGAUAUCAUUUGAGUUACACAGAGGCUGUCUACUUCCACCAAAAGAUGUCUGAUGCCAACAUUCUAGGCAAGGGAUAAUCCUUGAUACAGUCCCCAGAGUUCGGCCAUAAUCACUGAGCUUUCCCCAAUAUUCAUACUAAAACUUGAGAUCCAGUUACCAAAAGAAUCGCGAAUUACCCCACCCGCUCCAGCUUCUCCUGUAUUUCUAUAGGAACCAUCUGUGUUCAACUUACACCAUGGUCAUGGAGGAGGCAACCAACUAAUAAAAAUCUCCUUACACCUUGGUUGUUGGCUAAGAUGAGAGUUAUUAAUUCUAUGGAUCUCACUAGCUCUGCCAUUAUAUCCAAGUAUAUUGUCUUGCUAUCUACCAAAUUUCUAGCCAUAAUAAAAUGAUUCCGCCAAAACCAUAACCUCCAAAUAGCCACUCCAAAAAUAUAAUCCCAAGGAAGCUCAGAAUCAAUUUUCCAGUUGUUUUGCACGUUGGCAGCAAUCCAUGCACGUAAGUUAGAUUGGAAAAAAGAGAGAUGGUGACGGGCUGGAACAAGAUGAAGCCAUAGAUUCUUAAUGCAUCGACAAUCUCUCACAGCAUGAAGAAUGUCCUCAGCUGAAAUCCCGCACCUAGCACAAACAUCCGAAACGGGAAUAUUACGCCGACUGAGCUCACGGUAGGUCUUCAAUUUGCCAUGCAAAAUCUGCCAAAUAAAGAGCUUUAUAGAUUGGGGUCCUUUCCAAGACCAUGGCAAGUUCCAUACUUUAUCUUGAGCAUCCAUGUUGUGAUGGCAAAGAGAUUCAUAAGCGGAUCGAACAGUGAACAAUCCUCUUGGAUUAAAACACCAAUACAGUCUGUCAGGUCCAAGAUGCGGAGCAGGAGGCAUGAUCGAAGCAAUCUGCAGAAGAAUAAAAGGGGGCAGCAAGAGCUGAAAGUUCGACCAUCUCCAGCCACCAUGUUCAUUAGUAAAAUCGCUAACAGUUGCAUUGAGAGAGACUUGAGGGAUCGGUUGGAGAGCAAGGCCAAUCAAAGGUUCAUAUUUCGUCACCCAACAGUCCAGCCAGAACCGAAUGCGAGCACCAUUGCACAAUGCCCAGCGAGCUCCAUGCAUGGCUGCAUCCCACGUUUUCCUUAUAGCAGACCAGACGCGCGAUCCUUGCUUGUCAGGGAGGGAAGACGGCAAAUUGCAUGGGUCCAGUCCAUACUUAGAACAGAGAACCGUCACCCACAACGUAUCCAAGUUGGAAAUAAUGCCCUAACUAAUCUUCAUUAACAGGGCAUGAUUCAUCACCUCUAAAUUUUUAAAACCCAAGCCACCACGUGAUUUUGGCAAGCAGAUUUUGUCCCAGCCUACCAUGCAUAUCUUAGGACUCUUCGACUUCCCAUCCCAAAUAAAUCUACGGCAGCACUUAUCGAUUCUAUGGCACACCGAUGAAGGAAGCAUGGUCGUUUGCAUUGCAUAAAUCGGCAUGGCUUGAAUCACCGAUUGCGCCAAAGUAACACGACCAGCAAAGGAUAAGUGAGCCGCGUUCCAGCCACUGAGCCUCAUGUCUACCUUGUCCAAAAUAGAUUGGUACGUGGCUUUAUUCACCCUCGAAUGAAGUAAUGGCAUUCCAAGAUAGUUUCCCAGGUCAUGAGUAAUCGAAACCCCCAAGGCAGCACCAAUGAGCUUUGCCUCUCUUGAAGCAACAUUCUUCGAAAAGAAAAUUGUAGUUUUCACUUUAUUAACCUUUGCUUCAGAACUUCGACAGUAAUUUUCUAAGACCGCAUCAAUAAUAUGAGCUUGAUCUAUCGAAGCUUCUGUAAAUAAGAGCAAAUCAUCAGUAAAAAAAAGGUGGGUAAGAGGAGUGCCAUGUUUAACCAACCGAAUUGGCUUCCAGCUUCCAUCCACCAUAGCUUGGGUUAUUCCAUGGCUCAAACGCUCGAUACAGAGCACAAAGAUAUACGGAGAUAGAGGGUCACCCUACCGAAUUCCUCUUCCCGGAUAAAACUCUUCAGUUACCUCACCAUUCCACAGGAUGUUCAUGCUGGCUAAGGUAACACAUUCCAUGAUGAGCCGAGAUAAGUGAAUCGGGAGCCCCGUCUGUUGAAGAGUUUCAAAAAUAAAAGACCAGUUCAGCCGAUCAUAUGCCUUCUCGAGAUCCACCUUAAUAGCCAUGAGCCCUCUUUUACCCGUUUUCUUGCGCAUGGAAUGAACCACUUCCUGAGCAAUAACAAUGUUAUCCACAAUGUGCCGUCCGAGAACAAAACUUGUCUGUUGAGGCCCGAUCAGCUCAGGUAAUAAAGCUUGUAGACAAUUGGCAAUAAUUUUAGUCACUGUCUUAUAGGCAACAGUGCAUAAGCUUAUAGGCCGAAACAUCUUUAAACUAGUAGGAUGAUCCACUUUCGGAAUCAAAACCAACAGAGUUUUGUUUAUGUUUUGAGGGAUUUUACCAGUAUUAAAAAUGUCAAUGAUAAAAGUACAGAAAGAGGGUCCAAUAGUGUGCCACUGGGAUUGAUAAAAGAUAGCCUGCAGUCCAUCAAUACCCGGCGCUUUAAGGGGUUUCAUGCUAAAAAUAGCUCUUUUAAUUUCUUCCUCCACAACCGGAUCAUUAACACAAUCAAGAUAAUUAGCAUUCACGGCUGGAAAAAAAUUCGGAACAGAGUAUGUUUGAUAAGAAUGAGCUUCACUUUUGAAUAAAGAGGAGAAAUACUCAACUGCAUGGCUACGAAUAUCUUUCUCAUUGUAGAUCCAGUUCCCCAUACUAUUCUUAAUGGCCUCAAUUCGAUUUCUUCUGCGACGAGCAAUAGUUUUUUGGUGAAAGAAGGUAGUAUUUCUAUCCUCGUGUAGGAUCCAGUCUUUCCUAGAUUUCUGCCACCAAAAAAUCUCCUCCUGAGCCAUCACCAUCUCUAAUUCACUUCGUAAGUGAGCCUCUAACCGAAUCAGCCCUCUAGAAUUAUAUUGUUCUAAGGCUGCUUGAAUACCAUUAAUCCGAGCCAGUAAUCUGUGUUUACACUGAAAGAUGUUACCAAAAACAUCGUGAUUCCAACCUUGCACCACUUGAAUAAAACUAGUAGUUGCAGUACUGUAGUGAGAGGUGGAAUCCCACACCUGUUUGACAAAAGAAUUAAAAUGCUCAUGAGUUAACCAAGUAGCCAAAAAUCUGAAAGGCCUAAUAACCUGUUGUCGGUAAUCAGCUCCCUCAAAGCGGGCCAGGAUCGGUAUGUGAUCUGAGGCAACUUUCGGAAGGUGAAGAACAGUGUUAUCAGCAAACUUCAUCAGCCAAUCAUUAUUACACACAUCUCUGUCAAGCCGUUUAAACAGGGUGCCAUGAGACCAAGUAAAACGAGGGCCUUUAAACUUUAAAUCAAAAAUUUGGUGGCCAUCAAACCACUGCCAAAAUAAACCACACACUCCAAAGUGUCUGGUAACACCCCCCUGCUUCUCAGAAGCAAACAAAAUAGAAUUGAAAUCCCCUCCAAUCAACCAAGGACCUUGAAUUGAGCCGGCAAGAUUCUCCAUACGACUCCAGAAAUGUCUCCGCAACAUUGGAUUUGAGCUAGCAUAGAUAGCCGUUACCCAAGAGACAAAAAUAUUAUUUCUACAAACUUUGAAAUGAAUAAAUUGCCUAUGAUUAAUUACCACCUCCACCUUAACACAAUUCCGCCACAGGAUCCAGAUUCCUCUAGAAACGCCAACUGCUUCCACUCGAUGAGAGAACUCAAAACCAUUUUUCUUUAUAAACCCAUCUGCUUUCAUUCCACUUACACGAGGUUCCAUGACAACCACCAUAGACGGGUUAUAAUUUUUUACAACAGUCUUAAAAGAGCGCCGAAAAUUUCCGGAGGCCGCUCCUUGGACAUUCCAAAACAAUAUGCUAAUCGUCAUAAAAAUAAAUAAAAAAGAAAACCAAGGGCCCAACAUAUCAAAGCUACUGGUCAUGGAUAUCAUCUAUCAUCACCAAAGGUGAUUCCUGAACCAUCGAGACUUCUUCAUCUGACAUCUCCUUCCCAUCAUCUCCACUCAUUGGAACAACGGGGUGUGUAUAAGCAUGCUCAAAAGCAUUAACAGUAAAGACGUGAUGGUCAUCUGGGGGGUCAGCCAAAGGUUGUGGGUCCAGAUCCUCACAAUCUCUAUGAUCCGUGCCCACACCCUUCAUAUCUCCAUAAGGAAGAAUUUGUGAAGAACAAAAGACCACCGUGUGCUUUGUAGGAUCCAAAGUGGUAGCUACAUGAGGAGUUUGUUGCUUAUUAGGGGCAGCAUGUGUAAUGGGGCAAUGGAUUUGGCUAGGGUUGUCAUGGGGUGUGGAAAUAAUAGUUUUUUCUCUUAUGUGGAGGGCAGUAGUCUGGAAAGGAUUGCGGGUAGGGUUCAUUGGAGUGAAAGGUUUCCUAUUUGGUGGCUUCGAAGCAGCAGAUUUUGGAGUCUGCUGACGUCUAACAGGAGGCUUAAAUACUUUAUCAUUGUUAAAGGUAAAUAUCGGAUUUGAGCUUGAUGGACUAGGUGUUUUGAGGUUGAGGGGACGUCUGUGGAAGCGCCAUGCAGAGAGUUUUCAUGCAGAUCCGUCAUCUGAGCUAGAAUGUGAAACCUUGACUCACUCGCCCCAUUAGGUUCACAGUUUUGACCAUUGUUUGGCUUCCUUCCUUUCCUAGUUACAAUCAUCCAAGGGUCGAAGGGCUCAACCAUAGCAGCAUCUUCACGGUUAGCUUCUGGAGAGGUAGGAUCCUCCCGACUUUGCACACCAGCUGGAGGCUGUGCAACGUUGUCAGAAUUUCUCUCAGCAGCCGAGAUCUUGCAGUUACUGCUAUUAUGACUGUACCUCCCACAAGCAAAACAAAUUACAGGCAAUCCUUCGUACUCUACCUUUUGGAUCAUUCCAUCCAAUUCAAACUGAGAAACUAAAGGCUUGUCUAGGGAAACACUUACUGCAAGGCAAGCAAACCUUCCGCGAGCAGAAGAAGCAAUGUUCGAGUCUACUUUGAUCACCGUACCCACCAUCUGACCAAGUUUUUGCAGAACUUUAUGGUUGUAGAGAUGGACCGCAAGGCCAGGUAAGCGAAUCCAUACAAUGACUUGGUUAAGAACCGUUUUGGUGAAAUCAAAAGAAGGUGACCAUGGCUGGACUGUUAAGUAAUGCCCCAUUAUAAUCCAAGGGCCUUUAGUUAGGGCAUCAACCGCGUCCCCAUCAGAUCAAAAACGAAUCAGAAAAUAAUUAUUUUCUAAGUCAAUCACCGAGUAUGUCAUGGUUGUUCUCCACAACGCAUGUAGCCUAGUGCAUAAAGUUUUGUAGCCAAUAUUUCGGCCUAGCAACUUGACAACAACAGAGUGCUUCCACGGUUCACUUAGCUUCGCAUGAAUCCUAUCCAAAAAACUUAUUGACGGCAAGGUUCCAUCGUUACGCUCAAUCACAUCUCCUUCCUCAAAAUCCCAGUCCACUGCACCUCCUCCAAAUCCAUUCUCCAUUGUUUGUGAUGAAUUCACAAGCGUUUCUUUGUAGGAGACAUGUUUAGUAGUUUCACUAUCGUUUUCCUCAUCACGAAAGCGUGCCUUUUUGGUCGUUCUAGCUUCCCUAAACGGCAGCGGAAAAGCCUCGCCGAAGUUAGGGUUUCCGCCACCUCCGAGAUUUUCGGAGUUUUCAUUCAUCCCUUUUUUCCCUACUUACUUCAUUAAUAUAUAUUAUUACUGUACUUAUAUAUUCAUGCUUAGUAUUAUGUUCAUGUUUCGCUAUUACCUAAUUGAAAUUGCAUUCCAACUUGGAUUUUUAAUUUCUUGAUAAACUAUAUAUUCAUUUGAAUUAUGUAAUCUGAAGAUUUUCGUAUCAUUAGUAUGUGCUUGUUGGUUUUUUAUUUAUCUCAUUUUAAUAUAUCAAUUAUAAAAGGAAAAACGACAUCAACACCCCUAAAUUUGAGGAAAUGAUCACCAAGACCCCUUUUUGACCAUUAAUCCUUUAAAAAAUUAAAUUUAAAAUUUUUAAUAGAUAGAAAUAUUAUAUAAAUAAUGUAAUCUAUGCAACAGACUAAGAACAUUAAAAUAAUUUAAUAUUUUAAUAAAUUUAAAUAUAUAAAUUGUUAUAUUUAUUUAAUAAUAUAUUUUUAUUUUAGAUAUUUUAAAUAAAUAUUUGCAUUAAACAUAUUUUACAAUAAAAAAAUCUCACAUACUAAUGUUAUUACUAUUUUACAUAGUAUUCAAAAUAAUUUUAAUUUUAAUACACUUGUUUUAACAUUAUGAUUCUAUUUAUUAUAAAAUUUAAUUUUAUAUACUAAAAUAUAUCUAAUAGAUUGCAAAAUAUUAAAAUAUUUUUGCAGUAUUGAAAUUAUUUUACAAUGUAUAAAUUAUUACAUUUAUUUUAAUGUUAUAUUUCUAUUUAUUAUAAAACAUUAGAGUUGAUUAUUUUUUGGAUAAUAGAGGUUAAAGGGUAUUAUCGUUAAAAGAGGGUCUUGGUGUUCCAUUUUGAAAAUUUGUGGGUGUCGGUGAUUAUUUCCCUAAACUUUGGGGGUGUAUAUGUAAUUUUUCCAUUAUAAUAUCUUUUUUUGGCUAUUAUACCUUUUAAUUAUAGUAAUAUUAAAAUUGAUUUUAAAUUUUAAAAUAAGUACAAACAUAAUAAUAGAAUAAAUAAACAAAAAUAGUAAUUUUUAUUUUAGAAUUCCGAAUAUCUUGUUUUCAACAUAAGUAUAGUAUCUCAACUAGAUGGCCUCCUAAAAUAAAAAUUACAGAGAGGAAAUCAAAUUGCUAUUAUUAGACUAAAUAAUAAAAAAAUUAAUUUUUAUUUUGGAUUUAUUUAAAAGUAAUUGAUCACAAAAUAAAAAACUUUAAAACAAUUGACCAAGGGCCAGCCUCGUUCGUCCUUUUAUAUAGAAUUGCAGGUAAAAAUCAUGCCCAGAACAUGUUUGAUAAAAUACCCAAGGAGGAAUGCAUCCACAGGAUAUGUUGAAGAGCAACGACAUGAUGCAGCUGUUGCUGUAACUUUGUGAUUUCCUAAGCAAUUAGAAUCAAACAGUCAACAAAAUCAACUUUAUGAUUUCCCAGUUAAUCAACAAAGUCAAUUAUGAUGCAACUUUAUGAUACAUCUAUUGCCACAAUUUUUUUUUUCGCAUAGAAAAUUCAAUAAAAUUAAUUUAAUAUUGUCCAGGCUCAAACAUUUUCUCGCUUUGCUUGUAGUGGGGGUUUUCGGCUCCUUCAAUUUGCUGGUAGUGUACUUUUUCGUUUGCUGAUUAUGAUUAUUUAGGAGCCAAACUUAUAACAUUUAAUUCCAAAAAAAAAAUUAGGAACUUAAGUAAGAGGCUGUGGAAUCAAUUGCUUGCAACAUGAGCAUCCUACAGGGAGUUUCUCCAUAUGUUCUGUCCCCCGCAAACAUUUCACAAACCAUUUGUGUGUUGCUUUGGAUCAAAAGGGAGUCGUUGUAUUUAGGGACGACCAGGAACUCGAGAGAGGAAAAGUAAUUUCACCAGGACUGACUUACAGUAAUUGAAGAAUCAAGAAUUUUAAUAAUUGUUUUCUCAAGAAACUAUGCGCCUUCCACUUUGUGCUUGAAGAACCAAGAAUUUCAAUAAUAUUUUUUAUAAAUAUCAAAGUGAGGAAACAACUAAAUCAUCUUAAACAGAAAGAAAUCAUAAUUUAUACUUAUUAAAAACAAUUAGAUCAAAUCUCUUCGUUGGUAGCUAACAACAUCAAUUCCAUAUUCAAGUCAGCAGGUUUGGAAAGUGUUUGGGGGAUAUACUUCGACAAGACCAGCCGUGAUGAGCAGAGAUCUGGUAGCAGGGGUACGCGAAUAGGUAUAUCUUGCAAAAGUCUGGUAGCAUGGUAACAGGAGCAGGAAUAUUCUGCUCGUCCACGAAUACGCCAUCCGCGAGGCCGGUCUCCUGUCUGAAGCAUAAAACCAUUCCUGCUAGGGGUUGAGGCGAGGAGACCCGGUCAACGACAGUUGGCGAGAUGGGCUCUCAAACCCGAGAAUCAAGGCACGAAGGCCAUGCAACCACCCACGAUUACGGAAACGGAGCAUCCACCUUCGAGAGGUGGGAAGAUAACGGGCGUGAAUGGAGGGAAGGUCUGAACUCAGGAGAAGCCUAUAAAAGGGUGGCCAACGAAGGUAAAAGGGUUAGGAUUUUCGACAUCAAAACUGAGAUAAAGAGAGCAUUAAGCAAUCGAUACCAAAAAUAAGCCAUAAGAUUAGUGGCUAACGUUCCCAGGAACACGAAACCUUCAUUUCUGACUUGAGCGUCGGAGGGUUUACGCCGGGAAAACAACCGGCGUGCUCUGACUUGUUUCUAUGUACGUAGGCAUUUUUGGAGGAGUCAUACGAGGAGAGAUCCUGAUCGUGGUUGAGUUGAUCGAGCAGAGAUCCUGGUCGUAGUCAAGAGGGUAAUCAAAAUCUCGUAUCAACAUUUUGGGGCUGUCUGUGGGGAGCUGAUAAAAAAGCUUAUGUUGACAGCAAGAAGAGGAGUAAAGCAAGUGAAGAAAUAAUGGAGGUAGGAGGAAGUAGUGCGCAAGGAGGUGAUAUGAGGCUUAACGAUUCCGUGACGUUGAGGGAGAUAGCCAAUGAAGCACAGGAAAAGGCUAUGUAUGACCGGAUGGAACGGAUGGAAAAGCAGAUGGAGACCCUGACAACCAUCCUGCAUGAGUUGCGGAGUGAACGAAGAGGAAUCCAUGAGGAAGGGAUAAGAAGUGGCGGAAUGGCACCCGGGCACGAUGAUAUGAUGAGAAGUCGGACCACCAGAGGAUUUGGUGGUGGGGGAGUUAAUUUGUCUCUAUGGGGAGAAGUGCAUAGAGGAGAAAAUCAAUCCCCAGGAAGGCAGAUCCUUGAUAAUGAUGACGGGGUGGUGAAUGCAGAGGAGAGAGAACUCAGACAACACCUGCAUGAUGUAGAGCAAGAGCGGGAUCAAGUUGCAGCACGUGACUCUGGUCGUGCAGUACAGCUGGAGGAAGAAGUGCGCAAAUUAGCGCAGAUAAUUUUUGACAUGCAAGGAAGGAGCAGAGCACCCGGUUGGAGGAUAAUGCUGGAUAGAGAAUCUCCGCUCUCAGCAGAGAUCAUAAGGGCAGUUAUCCCGAGGGAUUUUCGCCUCCUAGACCUCAGAUAUGCGGGACGAACUGAUCCGUUGGUACACAUAAAGCGCUUUAACGACAUAACUGGAGUGCAAGGAUUAUCCCAAGCUCAAAGAUGCAGGGUAUUUCCACUGUUAGUAGAGGGGUGAGCACGCGAGUGGUACCGCAAACUUCCUCAAGGGAGCGUCAAAUCCUUUGAGCAGAUGUGCCAAGAAUUUGCAGAGCAGUUUCGUAGGGCAAUGGCACCAGAAGAUGACAUGAUGGAGUUGAAAAACAUGAAGCAGGGGGAACAAGAAACCCUUCGGAAAUUCAUCAAGAGAUUUCAUCGUGCUAUCCUCGACUUGGGAGCCUUCAACCAUCCUCAGGCAUUAAGGAGAUUGAAAGAAUGGGUGAAGAUAGGAAGGUUGUGGUACAACUUGAGGAGCCCAGUUAUUCAUAUGUAUGCAGCCGCUUACGAGCAGGCUAAGAGGGACAUAGAAAUUGAGGAGGAAAAGGCAGCAUGGAUAAAAACAAACCAGCUAAAAGGGUUGGGAAGGAAAGAGAAGAGAGCAUUACCAGGAAAUGAGCCAAUCAAGAGGAGGGACUACCAUACCUCAGGUAGUGGUACAGGAGGUCGGGUCACCGCUUACCAGCCUCAUCAGAGGCCAUCACAAUAUCAGUGCAGCAGGGCGCAACCUCCUCGUUCACCAGCUAGGGAACCUUGGAGAAGGCAUGACUCAGCAUAUGGUCAUCCUUAUCCACACCCCCAUGGUAGUAGAAGGAGCAGACUAGAAGCACUGCUGCCUCCUCCAGUUCAGAAUGGCACAAGCAAGGAAAGGGCAGUGCACAUGAUCGACCAGAACUAGGACUAUAGGCGGUAUACUUCCUUGAAGAUCGCCCUGGACGAGGUGUACGAGACCAUAAAGGACCGGAGAUUAUUGUACCUCCCUGCCCCAAUAACAAAACUACCCAACAGGAGGGAUAGGGGACGCUAUUGUAAGUUCCAUGGCACUCAUGGCCAUACCACAACAGAAUGCAAGGAGCCCAGUUAUUCAGACGUAUGCAGCCGCUUACGAGCAGGCUAAGAGGGACAUAGAAAUUGAGGAGGAAAAGGCAGCAUGGAUCAAAACAAACCAGCUAGAAGGGUUGGGAAGGAAAGAGAAGAGAGCAUUACCAGGAAAUGAGCCAAUCAAGAGGAGGGACUACCAUACCUCAGGUAGUGGUACAGGAGGUCGGGUCACCGCUUACCAGCCUCAUCAGAGGCCAUCACAGUAUCAGUGCAGCAGGGCGCAACCUCCUCGUUCACCAGCUAGGGAACCUUAGAGAAGGCAUGACUCAGCAUAUGGUCAUCCUUAUCCACACCCCCAUGGUAGUAGAAGGAGCAGACUAGAAGCACUGCUGCCUCCUCCAGUUCAGAAUGGCACAAGCAAGGAAAGGGCAGUGCACAUGAUCGACCAGAACUAGGACUAUAGGCGGUAUACUUCCUUGAAGAUCGCCCUGGACGAGGUGUACGAGACCAUAAAGGACCGGGGAUUAUUGUACCUCCCUGCCCCAAUAACAAAACUACCAAGCAGGAGGGAUAGGGGACGCUAUUGUAAGUUCCAUGGCACUCAUGGCCAUACCACAACAGAAUGCAGAGAUCUUAAGACCCAGGUAGAAUAUUUGGUGAGAAAUUGAUACCUGGACGAGUUUAUAGAUAGGACUUUUCCGAUGGUGGCCUCGACAUGUGAAGGGGAGCAGAGUAACAGGAACUUGAGCCACGAGUAGCCUAUAGUAAGAGUGAUUACUGGGGGCCAACGUUGGCCGGAGAUUUCAACAGAUCGGGGAAGAACUAUGCUAGAUAUGCCAUGACUAGUAAAGAGGUAUUCUUCAACACCCCAACAACCAAACGAGCAAGAGUCAGGCAAAUGCCAAUCAUGUGGACAGAAGAGGAUGAAGAAGGGAUUUUAUAUCCACAUGAGGAUGCCCUAGUCAUCAAGGCCACUGCUGCUAGCAAGAAGUUUGACCGGAUACUGGUUGACACAGGGAGCUCAGUUGAUAUGUUGUUUAAGUCAACUCUGAAAGAGAUUGGAAUAGCAGACUUGAGAUUGGAGCACACCAAUACCUCCUUGAAGGGAUUUGGAGGAGGAAAGCUGGUCCCUCUGGGCGUGGUCGAGCUACCUAUCACGAUCAGUAACCCCUCGACAGAAAGGACUAUGAUACUGGAUUUUGUGGUGGUCGAUGAAGAGGGUCCUUAUUAGAUGAUCCUAGGUCGCCCAUUUCUGAGGAUGAGCAAAGCGGUACUGUCCAACCAUUAUCUAGCUCUCAAGUACCGGGUGAAUGGGGUAGUUGGAGUGGUACGAGGAGACUAGAGAAUCGCCCGAAGUUGUUAUUCCUCGGCAGCAAGGGAAGCAAUGCAGAUAACAUCCCUUGAUACCCGAGUGGGAGCCAAGAAUGGCAGACAGGAACCUGUAGAGGAGCUGGAGAUAGUAAGCCUGGGACAAGGGGAUCCUGGAAAAACAAUCCGAAUUGGGAGGGGCCAUAUAGGGUCAAGCAGCUAGUUGGACAUGGAGAUUACAAGUUGGUUCGCACGGAUGGCCACGAGGUGAAACGCCAAUGGAACGUAGCACACCUCAGGAAAUAUUUCCAGUAAGACUUGUUCAUGUUUUAAAGUUAUUUCUGUUCGCGCUCGUUGUUAUUUAUUUUAUGUCAAAGCAAUCUCAUGUAAGCCGAAUUUAGCGAUAAAUGAAUCUAUGAGGAAUUUUAGUCAACUGUACUGUUACAAAAGUUUCGAAGGCAUGCAAAGGCUCACCAGGUCUCAAAGCCUGUUUUAUGGCGAGACCAGAAGCCAAGCGUGCCAGGAUCUGCUCGACCAAGCAAAGGCGAGCAGACUCCCAAGCGUUGUAAAAUUUCUAAGACAUUUAAAGCCUCACCAAGUCUCAAAGCCUGUUUUAUGGCGAGACCAGAAGCCAAGCGUACCAGGAUCUGCUCGACCAAGCGAAGGCGAGCAGACUUCCAAACAUCGAAAAAACUUCUAAGGCAUGUAAAGGCUCAUUAAGUCUCAAAGCGUGUUUACGACAAGACUAGAAGCCAAGCGUAUCAGGAUCUGCUCGACCACGAGAAGGCGACCAGAAUCCCAAACGUAAAACAAUUUACGACUACAAGACAAGAAAGCAAAUAAGAACAUUCUUAUUAAUUUUUCAACAAUCAUAAAAAGCUGCUAGCCAUAACAUACAGUGUUCCAAAAAGCAACUACAACACAAGAUACAUUCAGGAGGACGGCGGGUCAGUAAGUCGAGCAGCCUCGGUUGCCUGGUCCACCUCAGGUGCAGGGGGGUAUCACCAGUUGCAUCCGGGGGGGUACUCGCCUCAGCAACAUCAGCAGGGAUUGCACGAGGAGGAGAGUUUCCCUCCUCAACCGCAAUUGGCUCCACCUCUUCGACAUCCUCUUUUGCUGCCUCCUCGUCCAUUUGUUGAGCAACACCAGCAGCAAGGUCAUCCAUCUUCAGAUCAGGAUACUGCUUCCCUAAAACGGCCAUGAUGCAGUGAUAAGAAUGCCGCAGACCUUGGUCAUAUUGGUUGUCAGCUUCCUUCUCUAGAUUCUCGACCUGAACCUGGUAAGAGUCCUUGAGGGAUUCGAGCUGAGCCUCAUAGGUGGCCUUCUGCCUCUGCAGAUCCUCCUUGACCCUGAUCAACUCUUCCUCAAGAGUAAUGGCCUUUGCUUGAGCGAGAGAUUCUUGCUCUAUCAGCUUCAAGUUCUCAAGAUUCAGGUCUCCUGCUCUCUUCUCGGCAGCAUCAGCCUUGGUCAUCGCCGAUUGAAUGUCCUCCUUCAUCUUCCAGUCAUAGCGGCCAACCUUGGCCUUAUAGUAAGUGGCCAUGCAGCCGAGAUGGAAAGCACUAAACUGCAUGGCUCCCACCAGCUCGCCCAGAGUGCUAUCAUCAAAGUCCUCCAGGUCCCUCUUGCUCACGAGUUUAGAAAACUCGUUGAUAUAGGGGACCAAAUGUUCUGCUCGACUGUCAGAUAAACGAGAUCUCGGCCCGACUGGAGGAGAAGAGGAAGCGGGAUCACUAGCUGCUCCGCUAGUUUCUCCGACUUUGGCAGGAGGAGGUGGUAGAGUCUUCAAUGGAGGAACCUGCUGCACAAUGUUCACCCGCUUCACAGUGGGAGCGUCCUUAUUCUAGUCCUGCUUAGUAGUAUGAGGUCGAGAACAUUUCCGAUUCAGAGCCCCGAUCACAGCGUCCUCCAUCCCAAAGUCAGUGGACACCAAACGAGAUUCAAGCAAGUUUUAAGUGGUUAGCAACUCUCGGUGCAAACAGGAAUUGGCCAAUACAGCCUCGACCCGCUUGAGUGGCCCAGAUUUAAGCGAGUAGUGCACACUCCAAGAACUUGAAAUUUGAGCAGAUAUUGGAUUAGAGACAAAUCAGUAAAAUGAGAACGACUAUGAAGACAAGAAAUCUGAAGUGAGCAUGCAACCUGGGACCACGAAACAGGGUGGGACGCGGUAAUCCUUCCCGUCAAUCUGUGCAACUUGACCCCAGGGACCCCCAGUAAAAAAGAAUUUUUUCUUCCAAGUGCCACCACCACCAGUUGGAAGAUCAGUUAUGGGUUUUUUGGUCUUGGUACUAGAUUGGAAGUAAUACCAGCCGGCAUCUUUAGGGCUGCUCUUUAGCUAGUUCAGGUGCUUCACCUCGUCAACUGUUGGCUCGCUUUGACAACAUCUGUCCCACAAUAUGAACAGACUAGAAAGUACCCGCCUCCCAUUGGGGUUCAGUUGACCAGGAGCUAAAUUCAACCCAUUGAGUAUUCGAGCAAAGUAGGGCUGUAUGGGGCACCUCAGCCCAAAUUUAAAACUAUCUAGAAAUAGAGUAACAUAUCCCCUAGGAGGCCGGUUGGGGGUAUCCUUCUUUCCUGGGACCCUAAGAGGUAUCUCAUCGGGAAUUCCAUACCUAAUCCGGAGAUUAGUGAGCUCGUCUACCGUGGUCGUGCAUGUGAUGAAAUCAAUAGCGUAGUGCUGUGAUAGAGCUUUACCCCCUACUGUGCUCUUGUUAUCUGGUCGCGAUGUUCCUGGUGGAGAUGUUUCACCAGAAUCAUCCUCCUGGUCUUCACUUAAGGUGUCUUCCGAACCAGAAGAACCCUCGUCGUCGCUAUUACCGGUUGAGGAGGUUAUUGGGGGGGGGACAUCCUCCUAGCACUAGUUCCAACACUAGAUCUAAUGGGUUCUAAGGGGAUCUCGGGGUCAAAGGCAGGACCGACGAGCAGACUAGGCAAGAAGCCUAACUCAUCGUCAUCAAUCUCAAUAACUUUCUCUUUGCCUUUUGACAUUCCCUAAACUAUAACCAGAGCAGUAUCACCAAACACUACCCAAACAAGACAGAGAGAAAAGAAAUUGUCUACAACUAUUCAAGACCAAGGAGAUAGAAAUAAUACCUGAAGUUGUAGCUCAGUCAAAGAGAGACAGGGAUAUAAGCUUUCUAUGCCGAAAAUCCUUCACCGGAGAGACAUAUAUGGAGCAAAUGACGAGUUUCUCUUUUGGGGGUUUUUCGAUUUUCCUAAUGAGGAACAAACGCUUGGGCUACCAGCAUUUAACGGCACUAAUCCAAAGAGUUUCGUAACCAUCGGUUUGAAAUUCAAAUGGAGGGAUAGAUUUCUGCACAUCACCUCAUCCGUAAGUAAAUGCGACACGACUCUUGGCAGCCUUUGCCUACCCCGCACGAGCCAGAACCGUUGAGUUUCUACUGUCGGCUCACUAUGUUACCCAACACCAGAAACUGGGGGACCAGUGUUUGGGGGAUAUACUUUGACGAGACCAGCCGUGAUGAGCAGAGAUCUGGUAGCAGGGGUACGCGAACAGGUAUAUCUUACAGAAGUCUGGUAGCAUGGUAAUAGGAGCAGGAAUAUUCUGCUCGUCCACGAAUACGCCGUCCACGAAUAGGUCUCCUGUCUGAAGCAUAAAACCAUUCCUGCUAGGGGUUGAGGCGAGGAGACCCGGUCAACGACAGUUGGCGAGAUGGGCUCUCAAACUCGAGAAUCAAGGCACGAAGGCCAUGCAGCCACCCACGAUUACGGAAACGGAGCAUCCAUCUUCGAGAGGUGGGAAGAUAACGGGCGUGAAUAGAGGGAAGGUCUGAACUCAGGAGAAGCCUAUAAAAGGGUAGCCCAGGAACACCAAACCUUCAUUUCUGACUUGAGCGUCGGAGGGUUUACGCCGGGAAAACAACCGACGUGCUCUGACUUGUUUCUGUGUACGCAGGGAUUUUUGGAGAAGGAGUCAUACGAGGAGAGAUCCUGAUCGUGGUCGAGUUGAUCGAGCAGAGAUCCUGGUCGUAGUCAAGAGGGUAAUCAGAAUCUCGCAUCAACAGAAAGGUCCAUCCGUCGCUUGGAUUGCUGAAUCGCUCUUUUGGAUAAAUUUUCCGUGCUUUUAACAAAAGAAAAUUAUAGAGAUUGAACAAUUAGCAACAUACAGAAAGUUAAAAUUACUAACAAAUGAGCAAUUAUACUUUUCCAGCAAGUGAUUUCUGCUUUCUUAGACUGUUGAAACGAUUAAUAUGAAACGAGCGAUUGAACAAUUAGAAAGACACAAUGCCCAGCCUGGACUUUUUUUUUUUUUUUUUGGUAGUUUCAAAUGAUGGAUUAUAGAAAGGAUAGAAUGAAAAAUAAGGAUAAAUUGGGAACUAAAUGGGUACACUAAUAAGAAAUAAGAAUAAUUUAUUUUUAAUUGGUCUGUUAAAAGAUGGAGUCUAAUGAAAUAAAAUGAGGAGUUUAAAUAUCACUUUUUCCAUAGAGUUGGCCAACUAGCACUCUUCUAAUUUUUAAUUUUUUUUCUAUCAUUAAAAUUUAAAAUAGUAUUCUCUUCUUUGUUUUAUUUUGCAAUCUUGUUAUGUAUACGCAUAUUUUAAAUCCUAAUUUGACUUAAGUUAUACAGAUUAGAUAAAAUGUUUUUCAGGAAUAAUUGAUUCCCAUGCCCUGAACGUGUUUGAUAAAAUGCCCAUAUAGGAACUCACAAAAUGAACAAGUAAAUGCUGAUGGAAAUCACAACUUUUUCCCCCUCUGGUCAAUAAGAUAAAACAGUACUUGGCUGAGCCUAAGCAGCUAAAAUAACAGCUUGAUUAAUGCUUUUCGCAGCAAGGAACCUACGAAAAAAGCCUUAAAUUAAUUGCUUCCGUCCAGACUCUUGCUUAGUUUACUGAUCACCAUCAUUGUGGUAAUUUUGGCAAAGUGAUUGUAGUCAAUAGCUUUCCUCUGGUUUCUCCCUGAUUUUGUACUAACUUUGGUGUCCGAGACCGCAACUGGUUUCCUGACAACUUGAAACGGGAUUGAUUGAGGUUUUGGAGGCGGCUUUUUAUCGGCUUUAAUUUGAACUUCUUUAAGGAUUCAAGCGAUUUCUUCUUCAAAUUGUCUCAAUCUUUCACUAUCAAACUCAAACAGCAAAUCUUUGUUGUCAUUAAGAUCUUCAUCAAUGAUCCUUUGAAUAAUUUCUUUCGGUUUCUGGAAUAUUGAUCUAAUUAGUGCUUCACCUUCUUCUUUUUUCAAGCUCUUAUCCUGGGCAGUUGUGCUCUGCCUACUCCCGUGGCCUCAAGCAUAGGAUCUACACUAACAGUUGCAUGUUUUCAUUUCUUCAAGUGCUGCAAGAAUAUCCCAUCUCCUUUUUUGAAGUCAAGGUUCUAUUCUCCAAAGCUUCUCUUCAGCAUCUCUCUUCUUUUUCGGCUUGUCUGCUUCCUUAUCCUCCACACGCCGAGGUUCCAAUACAACUUAACCGACUCUUCUCAGGAUUUGGGAGGCACUAGGGCUUUUCUUCUCUUGUCGAACAGGAUCAAAUAUAAACGGUUAAUGUUGAAGCGUCUUUGGUAGGCACCGAUACAGCGAUCAAUAAUUUAGACAUAGAGAGUAAUUGUUUAGGAAUUGUGUAUUAUUCCCAUGUCCAUAACAUGUUUGAUAAAAUGCCCAAGAAGGAACCAUAUGUCCAACACUCCAACCUGUUGCGUUGAACAGAGAUGAUGCAUCUGUUACUCCAACUCUAUGAUUUCCCAAGAAAACAAUCAAUAUGUGAAUGUUUAGGUGCAGAUAGCACAGGCUAGUAGCUUGUAAGAACCAGGCAAAAAGCAGAACAAUUUCAAUUCUUUGAAACAGAGAGCAGUUAAGUAAAUUCAUAAUUUCAUAACAUCUUUUAUAAUUUGCAAACUGUAAUACUUUUAUGUGAAUUGUUGUCAGUGUAGUUCAACAAAGUGUCUCAGACUCAUGGAACAAGAAUGUUGACAAGCUUAGCAAGCAAUGAAUAGUAGAACUGAUCGACAGGGUUGGCAUUAGGUAUAGGGGAACAAGACAGUCGCCUAAGGCCUCAUAUUUUAAGAAGACCUCAUUUUUUGAGUAUUUUCUUAAUAAUUCUCUAAUUAAUAAAAAAAUUUAAUGCGUAUUUUAAGAAAUUAAAAAGUUUAUUAGAUAUCUCUCUAUUCUUCAUUAUCCUACAAUUAAAAAUUAUUUUUUAUUAAAAAAUCUAUAUUUGGGAACCUUAAUUUUAAAGAAAUAUAAUUAAUAAAAAUUAUGCAUUGACAUGGACCUUUAUUUUUUAUGUCUUUGUUCUUUUUUAAGUUGCAGGAAGUGUCGAAACCAAUACCGCAUUUAAGCAUUGUUGUUCCAAGAAGUGAAAUUCCAAUGUGUUUCAGGUAUCAGAAUGAAGGUUCUUCAAUAGCUGUCACAACGCCUUUAUUUUGGCGUAAAAGGAAUGAGGUGGUGGGAUAUGCUAUUUGCUGUGUUUUUAAUGUCCGUAAACAUUCACCUGGUAUCAAAAGUUUGCGCUCAUACCCCACACAUCAGUUGAGCUGCCAUAAGAAAGAUUCUUAUAUCAGUAGUUAUAUUGAUUUUAGGGAAAAGUUCGGUCAAGCGGGGUCAGACCAUAUUUGGCUUUUAUAUUUGUCUCGUGAAGAAGACUAUUUGCGCAAAUGGAAUUUUGAAUCUCAGGAUUUUGUGUUGUCAUUUCAGUCUGAUUCAAGCCCAGGAUUGGAGGUGAAGAGGUGUGGUUUCCAUCGAGUUUAUAAGCACGAAGUGGCGAAGUUCGACCAUGCAACAAACCUAUAGACUCGGUCUAUUGAUUAUAAUCUGAAUGGAAACGUUUGGUCUCGGUUUAUUGAUCAUCUGCAUGAAUUGUGUCAAAAUCGAGCUCAGCUCAACAAUGUAUGUACGGGGUCGGUUAAUUGAUUAUCUGGAUGAAAACCAAGGGGAGGAUUUCGACCAAACAACAAACCAAUGGACUUGGUUGGUUUCUUGAUCAUCUGAUUGAAUUUUUUCCAGAUGCAGGAAAGUUCAACCAAGCAUGUUAUUUGUUUUUUUAUUAUAUCCAAAUGCAAAGAGGAGUCCGAGACCUCUGGAGUCUGCGAAGAGCUCUCAAAAUGAAGGGAGUAAGGCCCAGCAGUCGAUACGAUUUCGUAGACAUAAUCUUUAUGAAGAUUUUUUUUUCCUUUGUUUAAUUGCUUGUUAUUUAAUUUUUUUUUGAAACUUUGGCUGAAAAUUUUAAAUUUUAUGAAGUUAAAAUUGUAAUUAUUAUUUUUGGAAAAAAGUUGUGUGCCAUUUGUUGUGACUUCUAUUUGCUAUCACAAUUUGUUUUUUUAAAAAAAUGAUUAUUAUUUUAUUUAUUAAUUUAAAAAUAAAAAAAUUAUACAAUUUUGGCUUCCUCAAUUUAAAAUUUAAUUUAUAAAAUUUAUAUGAAAGAAAAUAAAUUAAUAAAUGUAAUUAAAUUCAAAACCAAUAAACUAAAUUAUUGAACUUUAUUAUCCAUAAAAACAUCCAGUACUUCUAAAUUUCGAAAACAUACAAUUCAAACUUUACAAUACAUUAGUUAAAUCAAUAUUUCAAAGUCAAGCCAAUGUAGGGAUGGCAAUGGGGCAGAUAUGGGUUGGAUCUACUCUGCUCCGGAUCCAAAUCCAUAAUAAAAAUAAAGAUCCGUAUCUGCUCCAGAUCCGUCAUGAAUUUAUAUUUUUCGCUCCAUAUCCAGAUCCAAAAAAGAAAUAAAUAUCUAUAUCUGCUCCAAAUCCAAAAAAAAAAAAUUAAAAUCCAAAUCUGCUCUAGAUCCGUUAUGAAUUCUAAAAUUCAGUAAUAAAAAAGUAAUAAUUUUUUAGAUUGAAAAUUGAAGGGUAAAAUGUAUUGAUAACAAAUAAAUCAUAUAAUUUUUCUCAAAAAUAUAAUAAAUAUUGUAGCUUAUACUUUUACACCAAAACAACAAAUAAGAAAGAUAAUAAAAUAUCAUUCCGAAGUAAUUGCAGGAGUAAGAUCAAUCUAAUAUUCUAUUGUCUCCUUCAUCAUUCUAAUAUCCACGAUACACCUACCCUCAUUCCUACAACAUUAGAUAAUGACAUAUAAAUUAAAUAUGGUUUAUAUUCAGUCCUUUAUUAUUUUUAUUAUGACCAUAUUUGACUAAAUAUAUGAAUAACUAUAUUCCUUAAAAAUUAUUUGGCCAAUAUAAUAAAAUAAAUUGCCAGGUUAUAUUACUUGGCUUGCAAUUUGAAUAUUGCAUAUACAUGCUUUGGGGCUGGCUGACCUUUAAAUUUACAAAACUAACCUUUAAGUUUUAAGAGUUUAAAUACAUGGUAAAUACUACUAAUAUGUUAUGAAUAAAAUUUAUUAUCAUUAUAAUUUCACAAUUGUUAAGAAACUUUUAAAAUAACAUAAAAUUAAAAUAUGAGUGGAUAUGGAUAUGGAUUUAGAUAUUAAGAUAGAUCCAAAUCUGCUCCAGAUCCAUCUUAGAUCCGCACAUCAAUAUCCAAAUCCGAUCCAAAUCCAUUUUAAACCGAUCUAAAUCCAAUCCGAUUGGAUUUGGAUCACGUGGAUCUUGGAUCCGAUCCAAUCCAUUGCCAUCCUUAAGCCAAUGGCCAACAAAGGCCAAUCAAAAAUCUAAGUAAUGUACUCAGCAUUCAGCAAUAUCCAGCACCAAAGCCAUGCAAAAUGUAGUCCUUUUCCAGCAGCAGCAAAGCCAAGUAAAACGUAUCCCAUUCCAUCAAUUGAAAAUAUUAAGUGAAAAAUAGGCAUUUAUUCAUGGAAAUAAUAAGAACAAUGUCUUCAUAAAGGAAAAAGAUACAAGUAAAUAAUAGAAUAUGAAAAUAUUUAGUGAAAAAUAAGCCAAGACCCCUUUUUUCCAUUCUCUGAAGUAAGGCAUUAAAAAAGAUUAAAGAAAUUAUGAUUGUUUCCGCACUUGGAGCAGGUAGAGACAAACUCUGGUCAUUUACUGUUGCCUUGGCACCAUUUGAAUAUGCCCUGCUUUUUUUUUUUUUGAACAGUCUUUAAGCAAGUUGAGAUUCAUGAGACUUAGCAAUUCCAUAAGCCUGAUCAGAACACCAGAUUUCUCAGGGGUUCCAAAUUUAAAGGACCUGGAUCUUGGAGGAUGUACAAGAUUGCGUAACAUUCACCCUUCAUUGCUACUUCAUAAGAAAGCUUAUUUUAUUGAACCUUAAAGACUUCAGUAAUCUUACUACUCUUCCGAGCAAGAUGAAGAUGAAAUCCCUAAGAAAACUUGUACUUUCUGGUUGCUCUAAGCUGAAGAACUUUCUGGAGAUUGUGGGAACUGCGGAAUGUCUGUUGGACCUUUUUCUUGAUGGAACAGAUAUUAUGGAACUACCACCAUCAAUCCGGUUUCUUUUUGGACUUACUUUGUUGGAUUUGGAAAACUGCACCAAUCUUGUGGUACUUCCAAGUACUAUAAAGGGUUUAACAUCUCUUGAAAUGCUGAAUCUCUCUGGCUGCUCCAAAUCUAAAAAUGUUUUAGAGAGUUCUGAAAAAGUAGAAAGCUUUGAGGAGCUUGAUUUGACUGGAGCGGCUUCAAGGAACCGAGUGUGGUCCAUAUUUUCUAUGAAGAAUUUUGAAGCACUGUCUUUUCUUGGUUCCAAAUUAUCACAAUCAUCAACGUCACGUUAUUUGCGCUUCCCCAUCAAUUGGUUUCAAUCAAGGAGUUCACGUCCUUUAUCUUUGAAGUUGCCUUCUCUGUCAAAUUUGUGUUCAUUAAGGAAAUUGGAUCUCAGUGACAGUAAUUUGGGGGAAGGAGCAAUCCCCAGUGAUAUUGGCAACUUAUGCUCAUUAAAAGAGUUAUGUUUGAGUAGAAACAGUUUUGUUUCGCUACUGGCAAGCAUUCUUAAGCUUCAAGAACUGGAGUUGGAAGAUUGCAGAAGGCUUCAAUUUUUGCCACAACUUCCACCCAACAUAGAGCACGUUUGAGUAAAUGGCUGUAUUUCGUUGGGAUCAUUAGCAGCUGAAUUGAAAUUAUGCAAGUCAGAGUACACGUUAAUUAGAUGUAUGGACUGCUUGAGAAUGCUCGGUACCAAUAAUCUGGCAUUUUCAUUACUAAAAGAGUACCUCGAGGUCAGCCUCUCACUUUAUAUCUAUCAGCUGUUUAGGCAAUGGCAUAUUUUUAUUUUUAUAGUUAUUAUAAUUAUUUAUUUUUUUUAUUUUUGGGUUUCAGGCAAUGUCAAAUUCACGAUUUAGCAUUGUUGUUCCGGGAAGAGAAAUUCCAGAGUGGUUCAUGUGUCAGAAUAAUGGUUCCUCAAUAACACACGGAUGGCCUUCAUAUAAGUAUAAAAAGAAUAAGGUGGUGGAAUAUUGCAUUUGCUGUGUUUUUCGUGUCCAUAAUCAUCUACCUCCUGCCAGAGGGAGAAUACACCUCAACGCAUAUCAGUUGAAGUUCCGUAUGAAAGAUGGAGGAUAUUUUAUUGAUUUUGGAAAGAAAUUCGGUCAGUGUGGGUCAGACCAUCUCUGGCUACUCUAUUUUUCUAUUCAAUACUGCAAUGACCAGAAUUGGCAUCUUGAGUCAGAUCUUGUUGAGUUGUCAUUUUGGCCUGACACGGGCCCAAGAUUGGAGGUGAUAAGGUGUGGUUUCCAUCCAGUUUAUAUGCAUCCAGUGAAGGAGUACAACCGAACAACGUACCAAUGGAAUCGUGUUACUGCUUACAAUCUGAAUGGAUGCCAUCAGAAUUUUGAUGGAUCAAAGCCAAGUCUUAUUGAAUACGUUGGGUCGGAAGCCAGAGGAAGCGACUGUUGUGAUGAUGAGGAACAGCAACAACGGCCUAAAGAGUUAGAGAACUCAAAUAAAAGGUGAAGCUUACGUAUUAUUCUCUGGAUUUGUCAGCCAGUGUGCAUUUGAACACAAUUUCAGUUUAUGAAUUUUGUCAAGAGUUGAAUUUUGCGAUUUCUCAUUAGUUGAAAAGUAAUGAAAGAGGGGAAAAAAAAACUUACAAGACUGAAAUGAAUCCUCUGUUUUUUUGAUUUUUUAUAAAUAUAGUACACAUUUAACUGAAAACCAUUAAUUUUACAACAACAGUACCUUUAUUUUAUUUGCAUCAAAGGCAUGAAAAUGACUCGCUGAGGGGUUUUGAUCUUGAAUGAGAUGAGGAGUUAACUAUGAGGUAAUGACUCACAAUCUUACAUUCCCUACUUAUUGCACGAAAGAUGCCGGAUGCAGAGCUAGUUUUCGGUAUACUUGAAGGGGCUGCGUAAUGAUUGAUUUAUAAAGGAAAAUGGAAUGUAAUAAUAAAUGUAAGAUUAAAAUUUUUCUAGUGGUGUUUAGAAGAUUUUCAAUGUUUAAACAGCUAAGCUAGCCUUACCAUAAGGAUCAUAUCAUAUAUUUGAUAUAAUAUCGUUUAUUUUUUUUUCUGUUUCAUUAAUCUUAUUUUAAGUUACAGUGUAUACAAAAUUUCCUGGAGGAUGUUCAGACGGCAGUUUUGUCAGCUAUUUAAUAAACUAAAGAAGCACAUCUUUUUCUUGAGAUAACGAGUGCCGUGCGAGGAUGAAAUUUUAUAAUAUUUAUUAAAUUCUUUGAAAUUUGUCAGUUUUUCUUUUACCCCCCAAGGAAUCUUCUAUUGAAACUUUUGAUUGGGCAAAAGAUGUGAAGCCUAUCACCUACUAAAUAACAAGAAGAGCAGACAAAGGAAAUAUGUCAAAGAAAAUAUGGAGGGGUUGGUUUGUUCCAUGUAUCUUCUUUGUCAUAAUAUUUUUUUAUUCAAUUAAAGUCUAAAUAUUUUUAUUUUUUGGCAAGACACUUUUGAUCUAACCUGCCGUUGGCAUGUAAAAGAAAAGAAAUAAUUAAUGUGAUUUCUGCGAAUUUUCAGGGACUUAAUCAUGAAUAUUAAAAGAGGCUCUUCAACUGUCACAGCUUCUUUCUCUUAUUGGCCGCAUGAUGUGUUCUUAAGCUUUAGAGGCGAAUAUGUCUGCAAGAACUUCAUGGAUCAUCUCCAUGCUGCUUUGAAUCAAAAUGGAAUUAAUGUUUUCGGGGAUGACAAAAAACUUGAGAGAGGAAAAGAUUGGUAUGGUUAAAUUGGAGUUAGUGUGAACGUAGUAGCAAAUCAAUUUCAUAGUAUAUAUAAAUUACUCCAAACUAUGCAAUAUUCAUUUCAUCAAAUUGAAGUCAUAUAAUUAAGUAACAUGCUAUAGUUACGUCAGAAACAAUUGGAACGAGAAAAUUCAAACCCAACACUACUACAAAAUUAUUUAAUUUCUUCUGCUAUUUUUUUCUCAAUUAUUAAUAACCAAUUAAACACAUCAUCUCCACUGACCAGCUUAGCCAUUAGAUCUAUUGGCUGAAUUAGAAAAGGACAUUGUUUGCAGUACCUUGAAACUGUAGCUGGACCCUAAUUUAUAUAUAUAUAUAUAAUAUUAAUACAGUACUUAAUUACAUUUCUGUUUCGUGUAUAAUUUCCUGGAAGAUGGUCCAACAGCAGCAAUAUUUUUAUAUUUUUAUUAUUUGAUCAUAUCAUCAUAUCAACAACAGCAAUAUUACUUAAAGUAUCAUCAUAUCAUAUGUUUGAUCUUAUCUCAAUUAUAUUUAUUUUUUUAUUAUUUCAUUUGUCGUAUUUUAGUUUCUUAGUAUUUAUUUUACAUAUAAAUAAUUCAUAAAUAUUUGCAUUUCUGUUUCACACAUACUUUCCUAGAAGAUAUUCCAACAGCAGAUUAAACAAACAAAAUGAACUGUUGUGUCACCUACUCAAGAACAAGAAGAAGAGACAGAAAAUAAAUAAAUAAAUAAAUACAAUAAAGAAAAUGAUCAGUGGGGAGGUUGGUUUAUUCCACGUAUCUUCUCUGUCAAGACUACUUUAAUUGUUUCAUUAAAUAGUCUAAAUUAUUAUUAUUAUUUAACUAUAUUUGAAAAAAAAAAGUUUCGGUGUUUAGAUUAUUGAAGCUUUUGGUAUCUUUGACUAUGUCUUUGAUUCCAUUCUCCAUCGUAGAUCAUAGUCACUCUUUAUAAUUAUCUUUUGCAAAAACUUUUGAGGAGACUUGCAACCGAAAAUGAAGGAAUUAAUUAGAAGGCAUGAAACCCUCUUGUUGAUUUCUUUGAAACAAACUUAAUUGGAAUCCAAAGUAAAGAAAGUUAGCGAAAUUACAAAAUUGCUAAGGUGCUUUACAAAAUUCGUGAUUUCCAAGCAUUGACAGAUAAUGCAUUAACUAAUGCAGAAAUGAUCAAAUUACAAGCCUCACAGGUUGCUAUGUUUCUCUUGAAGGAUGAUUCAAAUUCCCUAUGUUUGUUAGUUAAGUGGCUGACGUGGACUCCACUUACAAGUUUUAUCUGAGUUGAAUCUCUUGACCACUGCUUGUAUAAAAAUCUGAAAAAUAACUUACAACUUCUGAAGUUUGUAACCAAAGAUGCCUCCAAUUAUUUCUGAGAGAAAUGGACAGCUUUUGAAAGGAAUUUAGAUCUAUGAAAAAUAAAUGUAGGCAAUUAAAAAUCAAAAAUUAAUUUUCUGGAAGUACUGUUUACUGUUACUGUUUACUGCAACUGUUCACAAUUACUGUUUACGAUUACUGUUCAUCCGCAUAAAAAAUAUUAAUUUUCCAAAAACACAAUAAAAAGUAAAAUAAAUGACACGAAGAUUUUUACGUGGUUUGGAUUAAUCAAUCCUACAUCCACGAGGCCACGCCCAGAUGAAAAGCAAUUCACUAAGUUAAAAUGUUACAACCUAUGGAUUUACCAAACUUAAGACUCUGACUUACAGUUUAUCAUCAUACAGUUUACUUAACCUUAGACUGAAUUUGGUUCUCCUGAAUAAUUGCUACCCCUCUUGAUCCACGAUCCUCAAGGCACUUCGCAAAGUGAUCAAUAGCAAUUCUUCAAUUCUUCUACGUCUAGUGAUCCAAGAUCCACAUAGAUUCUUCACAGAGAUGAAAAGAAGAUAAGAAAACAAAUCAGAGAUAAGAAAACAAAUCAACACAACAUUAUGCGCCAAAUCCGGAUUCUCUAGGGAGGAGGCCGAAUUUUGCUUCUCUGCAUUAUGCUCUGUGUCGUGCAUAUAUAUCUUCAAUUAUGAAAUACUUCUCUUUAUAUAGGCACUAGGGUUUCACCAAAAUAGAAAGUCUUAAAAGACUUGGAUUCUUUCCAAAUAAGAGUUUCUUUCCUCUUAUAAUUCUCAUGAAUCUGAAUAGGAAUAAAUCUGAUCUUCUUGUCUUGCUUUCUCUCAAGAAAUAUCUAGAGCAUUUAAUGAACUUCCUGUUUGAACCAACUUCUUGCUCUAAAUAGAUCUCAUGCGUCAAGUAUAGAAUCCCACCAUUCAUUGACUUGCUAAAUUAGACAUCUAAUUAAAUUAGGAAACAAAUAUUCCUAAUAAAUUGGAAUCUCACUAAAUUAGGGAAUUAAUAAAUUAAUCCCUAUUACAAUAUAUGCAAUAAACAAACUUCUAAUUUAACUAGACUUGUCAUAAAAUACCAACUCUAUAAAUAAUGACCUUAACAACUUUAAACCUUUCUUCUCAAGCUUUAAGCAACUUCAAAGAAAAAUGUCAAGCCUUCAACCCUUACUUUCCAAUCUUUACUUAUUUUAAUGAGAAAUACGUCAAUGCUAAUUCGCAUAUUUUGAUGUUUGAUUAAUUAUUGAUAUCAACCGUUGGAUUCCAUUCCAUUUAAUGGAAUCCAAUGGUUUCAACAUGGGUAUUGAAGAGUGGGCGCUUCGCUUAAUCGGUUAUUUGAAAUCUUAUAAAAAUUUAAUAGAAAGAUUUACUAAAUGCAUACGACUAUUUUUAAAACUCACAAAACUUUUGAAAAUAAAUUUAUCAAACAUCUAAUUAAUUAUCUUUACAGAUGAUUAUUUAUACCACACAGUUAAUGACAAUUAAAACUACAACAUUAUUAAUUUGAUCCAACAUCUCCUAAGGACUCAAACGAAGUUUUACUAAUGAAAGGUUUCUAAUAAAAGGUUUACCAUUCCUAUAGAUUGCCGGCAAUUUAAAUAUUUUUAUCAAUUACUGAUAUCAACCGUUGGAUUCCAUUCCAUUUUAAUGAAAUCCAAUGGUUUCAACGUGGCUAAUGGGUAAUCAUAUUGAGUUGUCGUUUAAAUCCCCCUCAAUUCGUGAAUUGAAGGUGAAGAGGUGUGGCUUCCAUCCAGUUUAUGUUCAUGAAGUGGAGGAGUUUGACCAAACGACAAAGCAAUGGACUCACUUUACCUCUUAUGAUCUGAAUGAAUCCCAUCAUAAUUUUGUUGGAUCAAAUAUGGAAGUAGCCACAACAUCAAAGCGAAGCCUUGCAGAAAAUGGAGUGGCAGCUGAAGCCAGUGGCAGUGGUUGCUGUGAUGAUGAUGACGAACCACCACGUAAAAGAUUUAAACAACUCAAAUGAAGGGUAAAGCCUGGUGUAACAGUGAGAGUACGCAUCCCAAUUUCAAUUUAUGUUCUUUAAAUUUGCAUAUGGUAUUUCAUUUACUUUUUAUUUGUCCAUUUAUUGUAUCUACUUUGGCAAUUUAUUUUCGUGUUAAAUUGAAGCAUUGAAUUUUGUGAUUUCUCAUGAGUUGAAAAUUAAAGAAAGAGGGAAAAUUAAUCCUUUGUUUUUUAUACAAAGAUCAUAUCAUAUAUUUGGCCAAAAAGAUUUUUGGCAAAAAAAUAUUGUUCAUGGCUGUCUUCAGUGUGAACAUUUGUGAUUUUUAUCUCUUUUAUUUUGAUGUUGGAAUUUUUUUGGUCUGAAUUUAACUAUGCUUAUUUAAUUUAGGUUUUUUUACUUUUGUUGAACCGUGUUGAUUCUUUUUAUGUUGGAUUAUUGACACCCCUCUAAUCUUUUCAUAAAACCUUAUUAUUAUUAUUUUUUCCAAUUAUUCUUAUUUUUUAUUCCAAAAAUGUCCCUUUUUAAUCACUCAUCUAAUUUUUAAUCUUAUUUUCUUAUCGAAGUUGAGGUCUAGCUUCACAGCUAAGCUUUUCUAACACCUAGGUUCUCGUCUUGAUCUUUAAUGGAUGCGUGAGUUAAUUUAAAAAUGUCUUUUAUUAUUUUCUUGUUGAUUCUUUUCAAGGAGUUGGAUUAUUGCCACACCUCUAAUAUUCUCAUAAGACUCUUGUUUUUUUUUUUAAUUAUUCUUUCUUUUAAGGGAAAACGACAUGUACACCCCUAGGUUUGAAGAAAUGGUCACCAACACCCCUUUUUGACUAUUAUGCCAUUUUAAAAAGUUUUAAAUUUUUAAUAAAUUGAAAUAGUACAUAAAUAAUGUAAUCUAUGCAAUAGACUAAGAAUAUUAAAAUAACUUAAUAUUUUAAUAAAUUUUAAUAUGUAUAUUGUUAUAUUUAUUUACUAAUAUAUAUUUAUUUAUUUUAGAUAUUUUAAAUAAAUAUUUGCAUUAAAUAUACUUUACAAUAAAACAAUCUCACAUACUAAUGUUAUUAUUAUUUUACAUAAUAUUCAAAAUAAUUUAAAUUUUAAUACACUUGUUUUAAUAUUAUGAUUCUAUUUAUUAUAAAAUUUAAUGUUAUAUAAUAAAAUAUAUCUAAUAGAUUGUAAAAUAUUAAAAUAUUUUCUAAGUAUUGAAAUUAUUUUACAAUGUAUAUAUUAUUACAUUUAUUGGAGGAAUUAAUUAGAAAGCAUGAAAUCCUCUCAUUGAUUUCUUUGAAACAAACAAAAUUGAAAUUAUCUUUAUUGAGAGGAAUUAUCUUUGGCAAAGUAAAUUUUCAUCAUCUUUCAGUGCGUCCAACACGCUCAAAGCAUUACGUUUUCUCGCAGUUUUGUAUUCCAACAUUGCUUCCCAUGAAUGUUUUGUUGCGGAAGUGUGAGAUCCAGCAAUUACCAAUAUUACGAUGACUAUAACUUUUGGAGAAAUAUAAAUGUGACAAACAAAUACAAAAAAAAUAUGACACAAUAAUUUACGUGGUUCGGCGUAAUGCCUUUGUCCAUGAGCAAAGACUGUGAGAUAAUUUUACUAAUAAUAAGAAUUUACAAAAGUAGGAAAAAUUCACAAAAUCCACAACCCCAAUACACCCAAAUAGAACCUCAUUAAAACACUCAAGUGGAAACUCUCUCAAAGAACUCACUUGCAAUUGCUCUCUACUUCUCUCAAAUUGUAAUGCUUUACAAAUGCAUUCUACUACUCUAUUUAUAGGCAAAGCUUACAAUAUGAAUGCAUGAAAAAAAAAAAAAAUUUGCCAUUUUCAAUUUUAAUGGCUUUGGUGUGACUUUUAGUGAAGAGAUCAUGCUAGCACAUGCAAUUGGAUCACGCUAGCGCAACAUUGGUGUGCUUGAAAUUUGCAUGCUAGCUGGCUCAUGCAAGCAUGCUUGACUUUUCAACAUGUUUGUCUUACAUUAUUAUGUAUUAAGUGUUUUUUUUCUUUUUUUCUUUUUUUUGGAUGUGAUAGAUUAAGUGUUUCUAAUCACUCAAAUAGUCAAUAUUAGAGGAGAUUAUGUUCUCUUCUUUGCUGAUUUUGAUUAUUUAUGUACAGUUUUUUUGGUACUUGUUGAGUUGGAACUCAAUGUGAGUACACAUUUUUUUCCCCAACAACACAAAAAAACACAAUUGCUUCUUCAACUUCUUCUCUUAUUCAUAUGCUGAAAAAAAGAAGAACAUUGAACAAUCCAUUGAAGAAAGAAGGCAUUUAUAUUGUGAUCAAAAGGAGGUUUUCCACUUGUGAUUUCCUUUAAGCCAUUAACGUGAUCCAACAUUCGAUCAUUCCGCUACAAGACUCGUGAAGAAAGGUAGGGUCUUGAAUCCUUUUAUUUUCUUUUAAUUUAAGAGGCAUUUACUCAUAAAAAUCCUUUGCUUUUCAUCAAAACAAAUAUAUUUGCCUUAUUAGCUUAAGUUCUCUUUAAGCAAAGCACUUCAUUGGAAUUCAUUAACUUACAAAAAACCUCUCUAUUUAAGAUUUGCUCAGGCACACUCUUCCGUCAGGAUCUGAAAAGUCAAAUUUUCUAAUAUAGUUUGGGAUUUGUGGUAUGAUAUUUUCUUUUCUUUAAAGAAAGGAUAACAUAAAAUUGUGUAAGAUCAAUUAAAGUAGAAAUUUGAUUCAUACGUAACUAUAACUUAAGUGAUCACAUAAUAGUUGAUUUCUUUUUACAAAUUCGACAUGCUUAUUUCUUUUUUGUAUAAUUUUUAUUUUAUUUUAUUUUUACUAUAGUAAGCCGAAAAUUGAUAUUAUAUUUUAAAAAUAAAAAUAAAAAUAUUAUUAAUAAAAAUAAACUAAAUAUAUUAUAUUUUAAAAAUAAAAAUAAAUAAAAAUAUAUUACUAAUAUAAAUAAUAUAAAUUUAUUAUUCUUGACUAAUAUAAAUUUAAAAAUAAAUAUAAAUCAGUUAAGGGUUAGUGACGUGUCCAAGUUUGUUAACCGUGGUAGAGCGAAGAGUUAGAGAGGGUUUAUUGAGCUCACGCUCUUCCUUGUCAUUUCCUCGGUGAAUUUUUAUGGGUUUAAAUACUUGAACCUCGGAAUUGAGGCUACAAUGCUUAGUGCACAAUGUUGAAUUGAGGAUUUUAGGAAGACAGACAAAUAUCUAUAUGAAUAUGAUCGAUCUCAGCUUGAUUUGGGCUCAGAACAAACGAUAAAUAGACAAAGGAAUGAUUAUCUGGAAUUUGCAGGCCAGGUUCAAGAGAGGAGUUGUUGAGGAAUUAUGGUAUAAUUCUCGUGCCUAGGACGUGUUCGAUAAUAUGCCUACCAACGAAUGUGCAUCCCACCUGAUGUGUUGCACCAACUCUAUGGUUUCCCAAGCAAAAGCAAUCAAUCAACAAGGUCAAUUCGUGAAGGUUUGUCCUGCGUGAGUCAUAGCUAGUGAGCAGAUUCUGAGAGUCUUUAGUCUUUAACAGAAUUUUACCACAAACACAGUGCAAACCCAGUGUUUAUUUAAUCAAUUAUUUCUUUUCUAGCGGCUAACAUUUUUUCAAAUUUCUAAAUAAAAAUAUACAUGACAGAAUUUGAUUAUUUGUUGUUUCGUGACUGAUGUGGUAGAACGAAGGAAUUGUAUAAUUUCUUGAGUUUUAGACAUAAAACAGAGUCGGGCCAUAGAAUGAACGAAAAAAAUAUCAUCACAUUUGUUGGAAUGAUGCUGUGCUUUAUUCAAAAUUAUUUCUUCCACUUGCGAAGCAAUCAAUAAUAGUGUUAAUUCUUGAACCUGUGAAAAGCAAUUAAUUUUCUUCAUUUGUUUACAAGCAAUCUUCCAUAACCAUUGUGCUUGGCUGUGAAAUACCCCAUUUGUGGCUGAACAUAGAAUCUGUUUUUUGUUGCUUUUUGCGAUCUUUGGCUUAAUUUACAAUUCAUGGCAUGUCUGAAAAUGGGUCGAUGAAUAUGCUAAAUAUGGACUCAGAUCUAGAUCAGAUUUAUCCACGAAACAAUCAAGAGGAUUCAACAUUUGAUAUUUAUUUUUCCUUUCUCCACCCCCAUGUUUAAUUUUGGUCGGAGGACUUGGUUGAUAGGAAUUGACAACUAUUGAUUUUCCUUUUUUUUGUUAAACAACAGACCACAAUGUCAAUUUGAAGACUUUGUUGAUAAGAAUUGACAACUGUUGGUUCUUAUUAUUUGUUUUUGUUUAAUAGAAGAUGCCUUGGAAUUCCGCAUCAUUGACAUGUAGUUGAUAUUUAAAACUACAACUAUCGGAAUUCUUAUUAAGAAAAUUACUAUGCUGCUUGCAACAUAAUCAAAGUUGUAAGUUUUAUGCCAUGCAGUUCUCUUUAUUUUCAUUUAUGUUUUUGAAUUUUCAGAAUAAAUAUGGAGAAGAAGAUCAUUAAUUUCCAAAGCUGAGAAGAAAAUAUUUUCAGAAUUAUACUACAAUGACUAUAGGGAGAUCCUGAAAAUGAGAUUCUUGAUGUUCUUCAAAUAAGUUUUGAUGGGUCAAAAGAAACAGAGAAGAAAAUAUUUCUCGAUAUUGCAUGUUUCUGUGAAGGGAAGUAUAGAGAUUAUGUGAAAAAAAUUCUCAAAUAUUGUGAUUUUGACCCAAUUAUCGAAAUAGUUGGUCCUAUUGAAAAAUCUCUAUUAACUGUAGAUGAUUUCAGCGGACUGUGGAUGCAUGAGUAGCUACAAGAAAUGGGGUAGACAAAUUGUUAGGAGGCAAUCCCCUCAGGAGCCUGGAAACUGCAAUAGAUUGUGGAAGGAAGCAGAUAUAUGCCAUGUAUUAUCACAAAGCACAAGUAAAUGUUCAGUUAGGUUGAAAACUUGCAAUUUUGGGAUCAUGAUCACUUAUUUAACUAGUUAAACCUUUGCAUAGUUUUAUCAAUAUUUUCUUUCUUUCAUUUUUUUUUUUUUGGUUCCCACUUAUUUUUUGUUAUAAUGUUUAGGAAACUGAUGUAGUUGAAGCAUCAUAUUUGAUCGCUUUAACAACAAAGAGAUGCAUGUCAGUGCUAAUGCCUUUUCUAAUAGGACCAAUCAGACUUCACAAGAGUACCAAAUUUAGGGGAGCUGAUUUCUGAAAGAUUUACAAGGUUGCAGGAGAUUCACUCAUUUUUUCUGCGUCAAAGAAGCUGAUUUUGUUGAAUUUGAAAGGUUGUACAAGUCUUUCAACUCUUCCAGGCAAGAUCUUUAUGAAAUCUCUGAAGACACUUGUUCUUUCUGGUUGCUGGAAAUUGAAGAAAUUUCUAGACGUUGUGGGAAGUUCUUUCGGAUGGAACUGAUAUUAAAGAACUGCCAUUAUCAAUUGAACUUCUAUUUGGACUUGCUCAGUUAACUCUGAAUGGCUGCAAAAAUCUCGAGUGUCUUCCAAGGACCAUAAGUGCUCUAAAAUAUCUAUCAACUUUGAAUCUCUCCAGCCCUUUGAAAUUCAGAGAGUUCCCAGAGAAAACUUCAAGCAGGGAUCAGCUCUUGGAGCUUCAUUUGGAAGGAACUGCUAUAAGAGGAUUGCCAGCAUCUAUUGAACUUCUUUCUGGCAAUGUCUUGUUGAAUUUGAAAGAUUGUAAAAAUCUCAAGAGUCUUCCAAGUACCAUAAAUGGUUUGAGAUUGCUUAGAACAUUGUAUCUCUCUGGCUGCUCCAAACUAAAAAAUGUGCCAGAGACCUUGGGGAAAGUUGAAAGCUUGGAAGUUAGAUUGUCUUGUUAGAAUCAGGCAAAAAUGCAGAAUGACUUCAACUGUGUGGAACAGAGUGCAGUGGAGACAGUAACAAAGUUAGCAAAAGCAGAAUCGCUAAGGUACUUUACAAAAUUAAUAAUUUCCUUUAUAACAUGCAGUACCGUAUUACUUCUAUGUGCAUUCCUAACAUUAUCUUCGACAGAAAGAUUCAGAUUCAUGGAAGAAGAAUGUUGAUAAGGGCAUCAAGCUAUCCACAACAGCAAUAUCAGCUUGCUCACUUGCCUGCCAUAGGCUGAUUCAAACCUCAAGAGCCAUGCCAAGGGUUGAAUCAAAUAACAGCAAAUUCACAUCUUAGGUGGCCUUUUCUUCCAGCUUAGUCACUGCAUCAUUUUUUAUAGCAGGUUCAUUCUAUAAUAAUCUCAUAGGCACAUAUCAUGAACUUUGUUUUAUCAUGCUUGCAUACUUUAUUUACUUCUGCACAGUGAUAUACACAUUCACUAUCAAUUUAAGUAGAAAUUGAUUUUUGAAUAUGCUCUUAUCCUUUACUAAUCAUAUAAAAAGCUCAUACGUCAGGGUAUAUGACUAUUUACAGCUGUCUUGCGGAUGGAUUCGUAACCUUACUUAAGUAAUAUUAUCAACAAUUUUUGGAAUUGAUGAUAUCUAUUCAUCAAUUGCAUACAACUGCAGCAUUUAUUUGAUUUUAGAACCUGGUCUUAGAGUCCAUAAUGCAUUGACAAAUACAGAAGUGAUCAAAUUACUAGCCUCUGGAGUUGCUAUUUAUGUUAUUAUUGAAGGAUGAUUCAAAUUCUUUAUGUUUGUUAGUUUUUGUUUGGGCGGGAAAUUUAAGUUUUAUCUGAGUUGACUCUAUUGACCACUGCUCGUAUCAAAAAAAUCUGAAAAAUAACUUACAACUUGUGAGGCUUGUAACCAAAAGAUGCCUAAAACCAAUUAUUUCUAAGAGAAGUGGACAGCCGUAAACCUUUCUUCCCGAGCCUUAAACAACUUCAAAGAAAAAUGUCAAGCUUUCAACCUUUAUUUUCCAAUCUUUACUUAUUUUAAUGAGAAAAUACUACAAUUUAAAAAAAUUUGAAAGAUUGUACAGGACUUAUUCCAAAAGAAUAUUUUAUUCAUUUUUCCCUAAAAAAUGCAAUUACAUUUGAAAUCCUUUCUUUGAUGUGUAGAUUACUGAAGCUAGCUUUUGUCAACAUCAAAUAGACCAUGUCUUUUCUACACUAAAGACCAAAAUCAUUCUUCAUUAUUCCUUUCGGCACAUGCUUUAGACUAAAAUUGUUGUUUGAGAAAUUAAUUAGAACACAUGAAAAUCCUUUCAUUGAUUUCUUUGAACAAACUUAAUUGGAAAUUCAAGUAAAAAAUGUCGAGCCUUUAACCUUUACUUCCCCAUCUUUACUUCUGUUAACAAGAAAAUUCUACAAUUUAAAUAAAAAAAUUCUUAAAAGAUUAUAAUGGAAUUUUUACAAAAGAGUAAAUUCUUAAAAUAUUUUAAUGGAAUUAUUCCACAAGAAUAAAUUCUUAAAAGAUUAAAGUGGAACUCACUUUGCCCUAUAAAAUGCAAUUACAUUGAAGACACCAUUAAUAACAUGCUUUUGUCAACAUCAUGUCGACCAUAUCUUUAAUCCCAUGCGCCACUAAAGACCAGAAUCAUUCUUCAUAAUUACUUUCGGCAUGCACUUUUUAUUAAACUUUUUGUCUUUGAGGAAUUAAUUAGAACACAUAAUAAUGAAUGUACAAUAAAAAAAAAAAUACUUUUGUUGUGAUUUUCACGGACGAAUUAAAAAAAAAAAGGAUUAUAAAUGUAUUUAAACAGUCCAUUAGCCGGGUCCAGCUACUUUUUUUAACAACUUUUACAAGGCAUUUCCGACUUUCGGAGAACUUUUUUUUUUUUUUUUUUUUUAACGUUUGGAUUUGAUAGAAUCUGGAUUUGGACAAUGAUAGGAGUGGUACGAUACAUACCUCAGCUUAGGAUCAAGCUUCGGGUUUGAUAGCAGGUUCGUUCUAUAAUAAUCUCAUAUGCACAUAUCUUAAUACUUAUUUUAUGGGAGAUUCCCAAUUUUCUUAUGGUGCAAUCAAUAUUUACUAUUUGUCCCUUAUUGCUUUUACAAUCUCUCUUUUGCAUGACUACUAUAAAUUUAAGUGAAAUUUAUAAGAAUAAAUUAUUCUAAAAGAAUAAUUUAAUCAAUUGAGUUGUGAUUCAGAAUAAUUUAAUCAAUUAUUCUAAAACAUUUUUGCGCGAAUCUUGAAAUGCUAAAAGCAAAUUCCCCUUUUUAAGUCCAAUUUUGAGUAGUUUUACCGCCAUUAUUAAUCUUAGAACUUUUUGUACAGCUAAGUGGUACCAAUUACAUCGAAAGUGUAAUACUUGUGCGUUGCCUUCAUUGGUAAAAAACGAAGGUAAAACUUGCAUCCUUUUUAACUGUUACUAAUAAUUUGUACGUGCUUCUCUCUUCCGCAAUUUCAUGAAAGUAUGUAAUGAACCCAAGGGCAAAUGACAAUGAAAUUUCUUACGGACAAGCAUCCUCGAAUCUACAGAUCAUCCACAAAUCUCAGCGAAUGAAUUUUUAGAUCGUCGUUACCCCAUGCAAUACAUAUCAAAUGGUACUGACGAUCAAUCAUUUUGUAUUGAGCUCCUUGCAGCAAACGAUCACUUGAAAAUUAAUCACACAUAUCUUCCCGCAAUGCAUAAUUGAAGCUACCAUUUGCAUUUUGUGAAAACGCCCUUCGCAGCCACAUCUCAGAUCUUUCUUUAUUCACAAAAUAUACAACUUCAAAGAUUAAAAUUUUUCUUUAUUCACAAACAUACAACUUCAAAGAUUAAAAUUUUUCUUUAUUCACAAACAUACAACUUCAAAGAUGUUAAGCAGUCUCUAACAUCUGUUGAGUUUGCAUUAAGUACCAUCAAUUAAAGUAUGCACCAACCAAAAAACAAGACAUGAAUAUAUUUGUGAAAUCAAUAUAUCAAACUCAAUUGGGAAAACACAAACCCAUCCUCCCUUAUUUCCACAAGAAUAAAUUCUAAAAAGAUUAAAGCGAAAUUUUUAUAAAAGAAUAUUUUAUUCACUUUGCCGUAUAAAAUGCAAUUACAUUGAAGACUCACUAAAUAAAACGCUUAAAAAAAUCCUUGCUUUUGUCAAUAUCAUGUCGACCAUAUCUUUGAUUCCAUGCGCCAGUAAAAACCAUAAUCAUUCUUCAUAAUUACUUUCGGCAUACACUUUGGAUUAAACUUUUUGUUUUCACCACCAGUUAAGUAACAUUACAAAUUAAAUCAAUUUUAGGUCUGACAAAAAGCUGCAAAUUGAAGAAAAAGGGCACAUACUAUCUUAGAGGCUAGACUUAGCUCCAAUUAUAAUUUUUUCUGAGACUCGAGUUUUAGAUUCGAGCUCUACUUUACUUGCAUGCCACAAAUUUGAAAAAAAAUGUGCAUACUAAUUUUUUUUGGAGAAAAAUGGAAUUGAAUAAUAAACGUACAGUAAAAAAUUUACUUGUGUUGUGAUUUACACAGAUGGAUCAAAAACAAUGAUUGGCGGAUUGAAUAAUGAGUGUAAAAUAAAAUUAAAAAAAUUUACUGUUGUUGUGAUUUUCACGGACGAGGGGAUUAUAUAGAAUCUGGAUUUAGACAAUGAUAGGAGUUGUACAAUACAAACCUCAGCUUAGGAUCAAGCUUCGGGUUUGAUAGCGGGUUCGUUCUAUAAUAAUCUCCUAUGCACAUAUAUUAAAAUUUAUUUUAUCAUUCAUUAUAGCAAAGCUUUUCUAUUUCGCAUAAGUAUUAUAAAUUUAAGUAGAAAUUUCUUUUUUAAUAUGCUCUUAUCCUUUAUUAAUCACGUCAAAAGUUGUGAGAGUAAAUGUUCGAAUAGUCUAUAUAUUUUUGGUUAAAUAUAUGUUUAUUUUUUAUAUUUCGAAAAAUAUCUUAAGAGACCCUACUUAUUGAAUAUAUGUACUACUGCCCUUUGUUUUUCUUAUGUUUUAUAAUAAUGCCCUUAUUACAAUUUAGAGACAUUAAUUAAUUAAUCUAUGAAAAAUGUUAAUUAACAAAUUUAACCAUAGUUAUUUAUUAGCAAUAUAUAUAUAUAUAUAAAGCUGGGACUUGAGGAGGUGAUGUGGCAUCACCAUUUCUCAUCUUUGUAUAUUCUUUAUUAUCUAAUAAAUAGAAAAAUUUUCUUUUAGAUUUGGCUUUUCAUCUUCUCAUAAUUAAUUUGAUUGUUAUUACACAAUAACAAUUAUGUAAAGAUUUUAAUGAGGCAUAUUCUUUGUAAUGAACAUCCAAGGGGGAGUGUUAUGAAUUUAUUAAAAUAAAUGUAGAUGUUCAUAACAUUUAUCUCUUAGUCUCCCCACUAUCUCCCAUUAGCAAUCUUUGGCUUCCCUAUAACUCCUACUAUCUGACAAGGAAUUAUAAUCCAUAAUUUUUCAUUAAUUUCAUUGAGUGAUUAUGUAACUAUAAAAGGAGAGCUCAUCUUUUUGUUUUGUACACACACAAUUGGAAUGAAUAAAAUCACUCUAUAAUAUAUUCUCUCAUUUUAUUCUUUAUCUUGCGUUGCUUCUUUAUUUGUAUUGCUGGCAAAUAGUUUUUUUUUUUUUUUUUUUAUAAGGCUGCCUCAUCUUAAAAAAAAACCAAUUCAUAUUUUUUAUCAGUUUUAUCAAGUGUAAAGUAAAAAAAAAGAUAAUAUUAAAUUCUUUUUUUAAAGCCGCGUGAAAUGCGGUUCUAUUUUCUAGUUAACUAAUAAUUAUCAGUUUGAAUGAACUGGUAUUUUUCAUACUCUUAUGGCAAUCUUCUAAUGAUUUAAAAUAAAAUUAAUACUAGCUAACUUAAAGCAAUAUUUAAUACCCUUGCGAUUAUAGUCCCUGUAAUAAUUAUUUAAAAAAUUAAUCUACCAAAUUAAUUCCAAAAGUAAAAUAAAAAAUUUAUAUUUAUUUUUACUUUAACUUUCUUUAUAGAUAAAUUAAUUUACAUCCUCAAGAAUAUUGUUGCAAGUGUAUUCCUAUAAAAGUAAAGAAAAAACAAGUGCAUAAGUGUAAUAUACUUAACAACAGUGAUCUCUUGAGACACUUUUUUAAAAUAUAAAAACUAAACAGAUACUUAAACAAAAAUAUAUAGAUUAAACAAAUAUUUACCCAAAAUUGAGACAUCAACCUGUAUAAUUAUUUACAGCUGCCUUGCGGAUAGAUUCAUAACCUUAACAAUUUUUUGAUUGCAACGUAGAGUAGAUGCCUUCUCGACCGUCGGAUGCAUGUGUGAAGAAUCCAAAACGGUAACCCAUAAUAGUGAGACACGUGUGAUGAAGAUUCCGUCCAAUUGUCCUGAUGAUGAGACGGUUUGGAUAUUGGAAGCUGCAUUCCCGUUGUUGGUAACAAUUUAUGUUAAAUAUGUUCGGUAAUGCAACACGUAAAAUCGUAAAAAUAUAUGAUGAAGCAACAUUUUACUUAUUUCAACCUUUACUUACUUCAAUAACAAGAUUCUAUAACUUUAAAAAACAAAAAAAAAAAUCUUAAAGAUUAUGACGGAAUUCUUCCGAAAGAAUAAAUUCUUAAAAGAUUUUAGUGGAAUUUUUCCAAAAGAAUAAAUUCUUAAAAUGAUUAUUGUGGAAUUUUUCUAAAAGAAUAUUUUAUUCACUUUGAGCUAUAAAAUGCAAUUACAUUGAGGCCACCCUUGAUAAAAUACUAAAAGAAAUCCUUGCUUUCCUCAACAUCACGUCGACCAUAUCUUUGAUUCCAUGCACCACUAAAGACCAUGAUCAUUCUUCAGAAUUACUUUCGGCAUACAUUUUUUAUUAUACUUUUUGUUUUUUGAGAAAUUAAUUAGAACACAAAAAAUUUCUCUCAUUGAUUUCUUUGAAAGAAAGCUAGGUCCUCUUUCUUAUUGAGGUACUAUAAUUUUUAAGUUUAAAUUAUUAAAAAAAUUAUAAUUAUAAAAUAAAAAUUAAUAGUAUGUAAUAAAUAUAAUUUUAAAUAAUAAUUUUCACAAAAUUAAUAAAAAUCUAAUAUAUUUUUCAGCAUACAACUUAAGUUUUAAGAUAUAGUUGUGAGUAUUUAUCAAACACGUUGGUGUUGUAAUUUAAAAGUUACAGCUGUCCAACCUCAACUUCGAAUAUGGCCUUAAUUAGAAAUUCAAGUAAAAAUUUACCAUCUUUUAUUGCUUCCAAUAAGCUCAAACAUGCAAGUUAAUUUUCUUACAUUUUAAUUUUACUUGUAUCUCAGCGUUUGCUUUGCAAGAAUAAAUGUCUUACAUAUUUAUGUCUUAUUUUUUUCAUAUAUAAAAUUAAAUUUGAAUUAAUUUAAGAGGAAAUCUUGGUUUUCUGCUCCUUGAAUUUGCUGGUUGUGUGCUGAUUAUGAUUAUUUAAGAGCCAUUUAUUCAUAACAUUUCAUUUCAAAUAAAACUAAAAUGUCCAAUGUAUUAAAAUUUGUCAAAAGUUUAUGCUAAAAAUCAUUAGGAGAAAAAUGAUUAUUUUAGUCAUUUUGCGUCCCCCGACAGAUUUUGAGGGAGAUUGGAAUCUUGUGUAAUUUGCUGUACAGAGUUAUGAUGCAUCUUUAACGACUAUUCUGUUGACUGAACUUGAUUGACCUCCGAAUGCGACCUCAUGUAGGUCCGUCCGCUGAAUACGUGUUCUUUAAAGGAUCAACUCGACCCGUAUUUGCCCCGAUAUUGACCCGCGUUUGGUUUGACCGCAGGAUGUAUGUGACAUGUCUUGUUGGCCGUUGAUCCGCGUUGUGUGAGGGUACUGGAUGGUUGACGUUGUACCUAGACAUUAUUUUGAUUAUAUUGAACGCGGUCCAAGGGUUCUAAAGCUGCCACGUACACUGCUACUCCGAACCUUUGAUUUAAUUCAAUUUUGGUGGAUCCAACGGCCAUUUCCCUCAUCUCUUUAAAAUGUAAAAGCAUCAUUUUAAGCACUACAGGCUGUCGAUUUCGAGCGAGCUUACAAGUGUAUGGGAAAAAUUUAAAGUAGGAAAACUACGAGACUGUAGUUUGAUAUAAUUUUUCACUAUAUUAAUGAGAUUACAAUACAAAUUACUCUCUAAAUAAUGCUAGAGGCUACCAACAUCUAGAAUCUCAUUAUUUUUAGCUUAUAGUAAUCCCCGAAGAACUAUCUCUCUAACAAGUGGGUAUCUCAAAUAAUAGCCAACAAGAGGAUAAAAUAAAAAUCAAGACUAGUAGGAUUAUAGAGGGCGAUGCCAGGAAUUUACCCUCAAAAUUUAAGAGAAAAUGGAGUUAAUUUCGUCUUUUAAUCACCCAAUUAAAGAUUUAAAUAACUAUUCCCUUCUACUGGCUUUCUCUCUCUCUCUCUUGCCGCUUUUUCUUCUCUGCUCGUCCUUUUUAUUAAGUGAAAACUAGGGCUACUGCUUGCUUUUAUAGCCAAAUUACUUGGCGAUUUUCAUCGAAGUCCAAGGCUUAGUAAUAAUUACAAACCAAGCAAACUUAUUUAAAUUUUGGGCCCCAAAUGAGAUGGACCCAACAAGGAAGAAUUUAGUGACUUCUUACUUUUAUGUCCUUAAAAUUUACUUUUAAACCCUAGAUUUUUGAGAAAUACUUUUCUGAAGGGUUAGAAGCUAAUGUUUUAGAUUGGAUUUUUUUCAAACAUCAAGAAUUAAUUAGCAUUUAUUUUCUUCUCUUGUCUUUAGCUCCACCAAGUUCGUUGAUACAAGGUCUUUGAGCUUGAAGGUGUUAAAUUUAAGACGGAUUCUCUCACACCGAUUAUCAUUUUACCCUUAAAUUUUUCUCCUCAGCAAAUUUUGAUGUUUAACUCAUGUAGGAAAAAAAAUUGUGAGGACUGUGCGGAUUUUUUUUUUAAUUAAAAAACACUCUAAGGUGGGGGUUAGGCAGGACCCCCAUACCAAUAGAUUAAUAAAAUUAAAGAAAAUUCAUAUGGAGGGGGAGACAUAUUCCAAAACCUCUAAGCACGGGAACAAAUACACUCAACAAUUAGAAAAAUAACAAAAGCUUAGAAGAUACGAGUAAUUAACGCAACCGGCUACAGAAUAGCAUACAAUUCUUGGGCCAGUAACUAAUGUGAAACCUUUCUUAGAACCGGAGGCAUACAACCAGGCAAUACUAAAGUCAUCAACAUCACGCCCUCUAGUACCCUUAGGCCCAAAUGCAAAAUAUUCAUUAGUUGCAAGAUUCUCAUCAAAGCUAAACUCCUCAUCAGACUGAAAAGGGAUGUCCGUAGAAUGGCAAUUGAAGCCCACGACCAUGGAGCAAAUAUCCUCUACAACAGCUUGAAAAAAAAGUAGCGCCAAUGGAAGCCCUUUAAACACCCGGAUAAUCUAAAAAAUAAAGAGGAGGGUUAGAGACCUUAGAUGUCUGAACUCUUUUCAUAAAAACUGGAUCAUACCCAUCUUCUGUAGUAUCCUGAUAAAUAGGCGGCUAAGCAUCUACCGAAACAUCCUUGCCAGCACCAGGCCUCAAUGGCUUAACAUCUUCACGAUCCCCCUUUAAAUGCACAAUAGCAUCAUAUAUAGGCACCUUGCCUUUAUCACGAACAACAACACCUUGCACCUGACCAACAGGCUGCUGGGGCUCCUAGAGCCCAGGAUUAGCAACAAAACAAGCAUCAGCAGCUUGCCAAGAUGCUUACACGAGACACAAUAUAAAGGAACACACUAAAAAUUGACAAUCUUGCCAGCAACUGCCAUCACCCUCACCAGUCCAAAGUUUGGGCAACAACGACCGCAAAACAUCAUAUUCAAUCAGAAUUCUAGUGAUUAAGGGCCGAUUAACAAUAGUAGUAGCAUGGUCCACCCGUAGAGGCUUACCAAUAGCAUUAGCAGUAGAAAAUAAGGCAUCUUUGUAAUGAUUAAAAUGCAUUAGAAAAUACGACAAAGAAACCCAAACAGGAACAAAAGGAGAUUCCUCAGAGCACCAAAAUAACGUCUAUGAGACGUAGCUACAUGAGACUCAAACCCAAGACCUAAAUCUUGGUAAGGAUGCCCACCUAAAUCCACUUGGAAAAUGUUCAAAUGUAUUUUAGAUAACGUAUUUCAGUUUGUGAGGCUUAACACAAUAGAAUGUAGAUUCGAGAUAUUUACAGGUGCGAAGCUUUGUGAGUGUUGUUGAUCCACUUUAACUUACAUAUUUUCAUAGUGAAUUGUUCUGUCUACAAGUGGACAUAAUAACAUGUUGAGAUUUUUAUCCUAAAUCGUGAGGAUCAAAGGUUUCUUCGUAAAAAAAUCUUCGUGUUGCGGAUAUUCAUUUAUUUUGCAUAUUUAUUUUCAUUACCAUAAAUUGAUUUUUAAAUUUAUUCUAUUGAAUUAUCCUUACUAACUAGGAAAGUAAAUCAUUAACUUUAAAGAGAUUAUUAUUAUUACUAAUUAUAUUGAGAUAGCGAAAUAAAAAAUAAAAUUAAUAAUAAAAAUAUUUACUUUAAAUAUCAAUUAUUAUAUAUACACAAUAAAAAAUAAUUUAUAUGCAUAUUAUAAAUAUGUAAAUAAAUUUUAUUCAAAAUUGUGUCCACUUACAAUCAUUUACAUUCAUGUUAUUUACAAUAUUAUUAUAAUUUAAUAGUAAGAUUUACAAAACACAUACAAUUGUUUUUAAAAUUCAUAGAGCUUUUGAAAAUUGGAUCAAACGUUUAAUUGGUUAUCUUUAUAGUUGAUUAUUUCUAUAAUACAAUUAAUAGUAAUUAUUUUAAAAACUAUAAUAUUACCAAAAUGAUCCAAUAUCUUUUAAGGACCCAACUGAAAUCUAACGAAUAAAGGUUACCAUUCCUAUAGAUUGUCAAUAGUUUUAACUACUUUUAAUUAAUUAUUAAUAUCAACCAUUGGAUUCCAAUCCAUUUUAUAUUGCGUUUACUAAAUUGGAAUCGGAAUGGGUUGAAAUUAGAAUGAGUAAGAAUGGGAAUGAACUGAAAUGAGUAUGGAUAAUGGGAAUUAAAAUAAGGUUUUUACUUGAACUGCAGGAAUUAGAAUCGGAAUGAGCUGAAUUGCCAUUAAUGUAUUUACUUUGUCUUUAAAUUAGAAUAAGAAUGAGUUACAUUGUAACUUAUUACUAUAAAGUACAUAAUGAACUAUUCUCAUCAUUAUUAUUUUAUAUUUUAAUUACAGCGAUUAUUUAUUAAAAAUGAUGAUUAUUAUUAUUAAUUAUUGUUAAUAAUACAUAAUUUAAUUAUAUUUAUAUACUAAUUAUAAAAUAUAUUAAUUAAUAAUAAAUAUUAAUUAUUGUGAUUAUUUAUUAAAAAUUAUAACUAUUAACAAUUAUUGUUAAUAAUAAUUAAUAUAUUAAUUAAUAAUAAUAACUAUAUUAAUUCUUCAAUUAUAGUAAUAUUUUAUAAUUAUUAUUAAUUAAAUAUAAUUACUAUUAAUAAUUAUUGUUAAUAAUUAAUUAUAAUAAUAUAUUAAUUAAUCAUAAAUGAGGAUAAAAUGAACAUUUUGAUUUUUGGAGAGGGGUAAAAUGAUCAAUCCAUCAAAUAAGAGACUCACUACCACAUCCUCCUUAGAAUGAGUCUUCCAUUCCUCAUUUUCAAAUUGUGGUAGGGUAAAUAAUAUCAAUGAAGUCCUUCAGUUUAGUAAAAUUCUUCUGUUACCCACAUAAUUUUAGUUUUGAACAAUUUAAUCAUCCUUAGUUUUUCAACAAUUACUUCUAUGUGAAUUGCUUUCGGUGUUGUUCAACAUAAUAUUAUCAGACUCAUGGAACAAGAAUGUUGAUAAGGUUAGCAAGUAAUGAAAAGCAUAACUGGUCAAGGAAACUCAGGCUCAGAUUCUUACCAGUCCUACAAUUAACAACUGGAAAAGUUAAAUCAAAUAAUAGCAAAUUCAAAUCUUAUGUGGCCACUUCUUUUGGCUCAAUCACAGGUUCAGUUUUGAUAGUAGGUUCUCUAAUAACAUGAUCUUAAUUUUAUCAUGCUUGAAUGCUUGGCUUUACUUCUGGCACAGAUCCAUUUCCAUGCACAUUCACUUUCGCAAAGUUUCUCCGUUUUGCAGGACUACUUCAAAUUCAAGCAAAACUUACAAGCCUUAAUUGCCGAAGAAUGAUUCAAAUUCGUAAAGUCCGAAGUUUUGGUUUUGGCGGGAAAAUCAGAAGCUCAAGCUGCUAGCGCGGAUUCCACUUGUUAGGUUCAUCUCAUUUGGGGCCCCAAAGCCGAAAGUCCAAAUAAAUUUGCUUGGUUUGUAAUUAUUAUUAAGCCUUGGACUUGAGUGAAAUUUGCCAUGUAAUUUAGCUAUAAAAGCAAGUGGUAGCCCUAGUUUUCUCAUCACACAAAAGGAUGAGUGGAGAAGAAAAAGCGGCAAAAGAGAGAGAAAAGCCAGUAGAAGGUUGUAAUUUGGGAAUAGUAUUUUCAAUCUUUAAUUGGGUGAUUGGAAGUGAUUUUGACUCUGUUUUCUCCCAAAUUAUGAGGGUAAGUUCCUGGCCUCACCCUCUACAAUCCUACGGGUGUUGAUUUUUAUUUUAUCCUCUCUUUGGCUAUUAUUUGAUAUACACACUUGUUGGAGAAAUAGUAAUUAGGUUGUUACUUUAAGUUAAGAAUAAUGAGAUUCUUGAUGUUGAUAGCCUCUAGUAUUAUAUAGAAAAGAAUUUAUGCUGUAAUCCAUUAAUAUAGUGGAAGACUAAAUCGGACUAUGGUCCUGUGAUUUUUCUCGUUUUAGGUUUUCCAUGUAAAAAUUUAUACCUCUUGUAGUUGGUUUUUGCUUUGGAUUUAUUGGUUUAUUUUUCUGCCUAUUUAUUUGUGGUACACAUCUUAUUAUAAUCACACAAAGAGGGAAAGAGUUUUGUUUUUGCUAAAUUUACAAAUGUUUAUGAUAGUUCCUUUCCCAACUGAGUGGUAUCAGAGCCAUGUUGUGUGUUUUAUUACUUGUGUGGUUGAGAUGGAGGAAUCCUCGGCCUGCAUGAUUAAAGUAAAGUAAUGGAAUUAUUGUAUUUGAAAGUCUCGAAUGGAAGAUUUGUUAUACAUAAAAGACUUACAUGAACCCAUUAAAAGCGAAGAAGUUAGACACGCCGAUUUAGAUGAUAAGAAAUUGGCUCAAUUAAACCAGAAGGCUGGGGGUACUAUUAGAUCAUGGAUUGAUCAGAGUGUGUAGCACCAUGUCACGAAGAAAUCCAAGGCUGAUGUUCUUUGGAGAAAAUUAGACACAACUUAUGAGCAGCCGACAACACAAAAUAAAGUCAAUCUGAUGAAAAGACUUGUUAAUUUGAAAUACAAGAGAGGCGCAAUAUAACUGAACACACUAAUGAGUUUCAGUGAUUUGUUGAUCAGUUGACUACUAUGAAAAUUAUUCUAGAUGAUGAGUUACAAGCAUUAUUGUUGCUUAGUUCUUUGCUUGGCAGUUGGGAGAAUUAGUGGUUUCAGUGAAUAAUUCAGUGUCGAACAGAAAAUUAACCUUGGAUAUAGUUACAGAUAGGUUGCGGAAUGAAGAAUCUAGAAGAAAAAGUGUUGAAGCACUUUCUUCUAAACCAGAUGCACUUGUUUAAUAAAAGCAAGAAAGGUAAAGGAGAAGCCAAAGUAGAAAUUCCCACCAGCAGAAUAAUGAUAGGCCCAUAGGAAGAUCUAAGUCCUAGAGGAGAAACAUAAAGUGCUUUCAUUGUCAGAAAAUGGGUCACGUUAAAAGGGAGUGUAGAUUGUGGAAAAGAGAACAGGCGAAAGAAAAGGGUGAUACUUAGAAAAAUGACAAAGAAAACACUACAGCCAUAGUUGACGGUGAUUUAGGUAUUGUUUAUGAUGAAAACUCAAUAAAUCUCACUUGCCAUUCCAGUGAUUGGGUGAUUGAUUCUAGUGCUUCACUUCAUAUUACUGCACAUCGUGAUUACUUUACAUCUUAUGUUAAUGGUGAUUACGACCAUGUUCGGAUGGGAAAUGAAGGGGCAUCCAAGAUUGUAUGCAUAAGAGAUAUUUGCUUGGAGACCAGCACUAGUUGUAAGUUGUUGCUUACAGAUGUCAGACAUGUACUCGAUAUUCACCUCAAUUUGAUCUCUACAGGCAAAUUUAAUGAUGAUGGUUAUAUUAACGAAUUUGGUGAAGGAAAAUGGAAGCUCACCAAAGGCUCUCUAGUGUUAGUUAAGGGGAGGAAAGUAAAAACUCUAUAUAUGAUAGAAGCUAAGAUAAAGAAAGAAUAUGUGAAUGUGACUGUAAAAGAUUUUAACAUUGAGACAUGGCAUAAAAGACUUGGUCACAUUAGAGAGAAAGGGUUAGAAACUCUUGUCAGAAAAGGAUUUCUACACAGCUUCACAGGUAUGUCCUUCAAGACUUAUGUUCAUUGUUUAGCUGGAAAGACACACAGCGUAGCUUUUAAAAGUUUUUCUCCAUCUAGAAAGUCGCAAAUCCUUAAUUUGAUUUACACUGAUAUUUGCAUGAUGCAAAGUAGAUCAAUAUGAGGUGCACUUUAUUUUGUGACUUUUAUUGAUAACUAUUUUAGAAAAGUGUGGGCUUUUGCUUUAAAAUCUAAAGAUUAGGUGCUUGAUAUAUUUAAGUUCUUCCAUACUUAUGUUGAGAGAGGGACAAGAAGAAAGUUAAAAUGCGUUAGGGCAGAUAAUGGUGGUGAGUACAAAUGGCCAUUUGAGCAGUAUUGCAGAUCCCAUGGGAUCAGAUUUGAGAAGACUGUACCAAAAACCCUACAGCAGAAUGGUGUUGUAGAAAGGAUGAACAGAACAAUUGAAGAGAGGGUCAGAUAUAUGCUUUCUGAUGCGAAGCUUCCUAAAUCCUUCUUGGCAGAGGCUAUGCGUACUGUAGUUGACUUGAUUAACCUUUCUCCUUCAGCUCCAUUAGAGGGUGAUGUACCUGAGCGAGUUUGGACGGGGAAAGAUGUUUCUUAUAAACAUUUGAUAGUGUUUGGUUGCAGAGCAUAUGCUCACAUCCCUAAAAACGAGAGUUUGAAGUUUGAUGAUAAAGCCAAGGAAUGCAUUUUUUUAGGCUAUGGGCAUGAAGAAUUUGGGUAUAGAUUAUGGGAUCCAGUGGCAAGGAAAUUGAUCAGAAGUAGAGAUGUUGUGUUCCUUGAAGAUUAGAUAGUUGGUGAUGUAGUGAUGAGUGAUAAGUCUCAGUCAUCUCCAGAGAUUCUUAUUAUUCCAACUUCAGUUUCUCCACUUAUGAUUCAUGAUGAUCAUAGGGGAACUAAAGAGGAUAAUAAUGAUGGUCCAGCAAAAACAGUUGACCAGGCACCUCUAGAACCACCAACACCACCAGUUGAGCCAUAAUUGAGAAAAUUUAUCAGAGAACGGUGACCUUCUACUAGAUAUCCUCCACAUAAGUAUGUGAUGCUUACAGAUGUAAGGGAGCCAAAAUGUUUUGAAAAAGCCAUGUCUCACCAGCAUAAUAGUGAGUGGGUUAAAACCAUACAAGAAGAGAUGAAAUCCUUGAAUGAGAACCACACUUAUGACUUAGUGAAGCUUCCUAAGGGAAAGAGAGCACUGAAGAACAAGUGGGUUUAUAGGUUGAAGAUUGAAAACAACUCACAGCAGUGAUAUAAGGCUAAAUUGGUUGUGAAGGGUUUUGGUCAGAAGAAAGGUAGGUAUUGAUUUUGAAGAAAUACUUUCUCCUAUGGUAAAGAUGUCUUCUAUCGGAGUUGUUCUGGGACUAGCAAUUAGCUUGAACUUGGAGAUUUAACAGCUCGAUGUAAAGAUAACUUUCUUACACGGUGACUUGGAGGAGGAAAUAUACAUAGAGCAACCUGAAGGAUUCAGUGUCAAAGGUAAAGAAGAACUUGUGUGCAAGUUGAAGAAAAGUUUGUAUUGACUGAAACAAGCACCAAGACAAUUGUAUAAGAAGUUGGAUUCUUUCAUGGAGAAUCGUGAUUUCAACAAGACUAUGUGCGAUCAUUGUGUUUUUGUGAAGAGGUUUAGUGAUAAUGGUUUUAUUAUCCUUUUGCUUUACGUGGAUGACAUGUUAAUUGUUGGCCAGGAUGCUAGUAAGAUUGGCAAUCUGAUGAAGAAGCUUAGCAAGUCGUUUGCAAUGAAGUACUUGGGACCGACAAAAUAGAUUCUUGGCAUGAGAAAGGCGACGAGUGCUUGUUGCGAAUCCAAACUAAUUGCUCAACUUACAUGUUUAUGAUAUUUGUAACUAGCUAAUUGCUUCACUAUCUUUCAAAUUAUUUCUUUUUUUCUUUUGAAAGUGUUAAUUUUUUUUCCGCAUUGAAAUUAAGACCAAAGACAGUGUUUUAACCCAAAUCUAUUUUAGAAAAGUAUUACAUACUGUGAGAACACUUAAUUAUUUAUUUUUUAAACUCUUGGGUAAGUCUAAUCCAACCCCGUACUUGCAUGGAACACUUUGUUUCGUAUACAAAUACAAUUAGUUGUUAGUAAUAAGUUUCGGCCAAUUUGCUGUAAUUCUUUUCCUAACAAUUGUCUUUACCGGCCUUUUACCACUCUGGUUACUCUCAUGACCUACAUUAAUGGUGCUUUUACUCAUGGGACUUAAGAAUCAAAAUUCAGAAUUAGAAUGAUCCGUAGUGUGUACUUCUUAGAAUAGAAGAGGGAAUGGAAAUGAACUAGAGGGGCUCCUACGUUUCUGGAAAAUUUGUGAAAUUUGUUCAAACCUUUUGUGAAAUUUGUUCAUGGAAUUCCUAACUAGUUACCGCCAACAGCAGAGGUGGAUUACUAGCAAUAAGCAUACAAAUUAGAGUCAGCAAUUUUUAUAAUUUAUACAUAUGGCUAGUAAAUAAAAAGUAAAAUAAAUCAAUCAAUAUAAAAGUGGUAAAUUGAUGUUUUAAAAUUAAAAAUUAAAAAUACUUGUAAAAAUAAUAUAAAACUUAUAAAACAACAUUAAACUUUAACUAGACUAGAAAAUAGUUGAUUUAUUUAUAAAUUAUGCAAAAAAAUUCACUAAUCAAGCAAAAAAAAUCACUCAUUAACUGAAAAAAAAAACUGUAUUUAAAUAAUUAGAAUAAAUUUUAUUGAAUUGGUUUAACCAUGAAUUCUAUAUUUAUCCUUGGAAAUUUAUAAUUUUUUUCAUUUUCUAUCAUAAUAUUUGUUUACUACACAGAAAAAUUAAUUUUUUUUAAAAUGUAGAUCAAGCCAAAAUAAAAUAAAAGUUAUUUUUAUAUUACUAGACAUAUAUGGUAUAUGAAUAAAAUUAGAAUUAAUUUUCAGUUUUAUACAUACUUUAUCUAGUUUUAAACUUUACUUCUUAUACUUAAAGAUCAUUUAGGGUUAUUGCCGAAUAAGUUUAGAAGGAUGCAAAAUUACCUUAUCUUAUAAAUAACUUUAAAAAAACAUAAAAAGAGUUUUAUUCUCUCAAAUACAAGCUUUUAGCGCGGCAUGCAAAAUACACCCCGUUUAAAUCUAAUCACACCUCUCUAAUUUUUUUCUUUUUUUCGCCACUAUGAGGUAAUGAAGUAGUUAAAAAGUAUAACCUUUAGAAUUUAGAUUCCUUUCGCUUUUUUGCUUUUUUCACCCCCACUUUCUGAGAUGACCAAGACUUGCUUUUGGAAUACAUAUAAAUUAAUCUGGGGCAGCUGGAAGUUGCAUUUUCUUUUCCAAAAGAAACAUAUUUGCCUGAGAUUAACUUCUUUCCUUUGAAUCAAGACACUUCAUUGGAGUUGAUCAGAUCAAUCAGGUGGCUUCGUUCAACACACUUAAAGCUGUAAGUUUUAUUUUAUACAUUUCUCUUUUAUCCUCAGAAUUAAUUUGCACAUCCUGGAUGUUUAAAAAAGGAAAUAAAUAAAAUUGGAAGAAAGCUUUGAAUGGUAAUUUAAUUUGUAUUGUAUCAACUCCUUAAUUUGCUUCAUUUUGAGGCUCUAAUUAAGAUUUACUUAAGUAAAAGUCGGCAAACACGCUCUCCAAUCAUCAUCUGAAAAACUUUUUUAUUGUAUUUUGGAAGUAAAUGAGAGGCUGUCAAUUAGUUUGUUUAGUUAAGAAGAAGAUCAUUAAUUUGUUGUUCAAUAAUUUUAUGUUAAAAGAAAUUAUUAAAGUAAUUAUGUUACAUUAUUUUUCUCUUUCUCUCUAUUUUCUCUUUUUUAACACUAAUAAUUAAUAAUUUUUAUCUCCUUGAAUUUCGUAAGUCUCGAUGAAUCUUCAGGUUUGUAAAUUUUUUCUUUAGAUCUCGAUAAAUAACAUUUGACAAUAUUUGUUGAUCAGGCUGUGUUAUAAACAACGCAGAUUUUAUAAGUUAAAUCAAUUUUCACUGGAAGCUUUUAAACAGUAAUUACAGUUUAGCAUAAUUUUUUUUAAGUGUAUGGAUUUUGCAUCUUUCUAUGAUAAAGAACUUUAAUUUUUCUUUCUGUAAGGGUGGUCAUCCAACCCCCCCACUAUUGAUUAGUUUAAAAAAAAUCAAACCAACCAAUCAAAUAAAUAUGUUCAACCCAACCCAAUCUUAUCCUUAAAUCAUUGUGCUGGGUCAAUCGAAUUGAUUAAAACUAAAAAUGAAACAAGUUCAAACAUAAAAGUUGAAAAAAAAAAAAAGCUAUUUGCUACUUAAAAUCAAAUUCAAACAGUAAAAAGCAUAUUGAUUCCCACCUGGCUGGACUCCAUUAAAGUUUCAGUAAUAAAGAUCAUUAUGUUUACCAUUAAUUCCUAUAGAUUGCUGAUAAUUUUAAUAUUUUUAAUUAGUUAUUAAUAUCAACCGUUGGAUUCCGCUCCAUUUUAAUGGAAAUAUGGAAUCCAAUGGUUUCAACACGGCUAAUGGGCAGAAUGGCAAAGAUGCGUAUACAAUUGAAAAGCCUGAUAAUUUUCGUUUAGAUUCCUUGAAGCUUCCAGGAAGUUCGAUGCUAAGUUCAUCGUGUGAGUAAGCAGUGACAACAUUUAUUGAUUAUUAAAGAGGCCACUUUUUGACAACAACACAACUCCUAUUGCUUAAUUUAUUUUUUCCCAAAGGAUAUUUACAUGAAUAAAUUCUUUGAAUCAAACACUGCAUCGGAGUUGUGGUAAUAAUAAUAAUAAUACUGCAUUGGAAUUCAUUUAAGGGCUUCCUGCAAUACACUCAAAAGCUGUAAGUUCUAUCUCAUAAAUCUCUCUCUUUUAUUUUCAGAAUUAAUUUUGCACAUCUUGAUGUAAAAGAAAAAAAUGUAAAAAUUGAAAGAAAUCUUUGAAUGUUAAUUUCGUACAAACUCUCUGCUUUCUUUUAGAGGCUAUAAUCAAGAUUUGCUUAAGCAGAGAUUGGUGUGCACACUCCCCGAUUAGCAUCUAGAAAAAAUUUAUAUUACAUUUUGGGGUUUAUCAUGUGUAAAGAAUUUAGAUCUAUUUUAAUCAGCAUAAACAAAUUAAAACGGUAGAUAUAUUAAUUUUUCUAAUUAAUUAAUCCUGAAAUUACUGUUCACGGAUUACUGUUUAUACAAUAUUGUUCAUGCAAUACUAUUUAGACUCACUAUUCAUACGAGUUACUGUGUAGGUUGUCAAAAAAAGUAGAAUUUAUAUAUAAUUUAUAAAAUUUUCAUUUUUGUGAUGCCCAUAAUUUUGAAUGAAUCUUAUUGUUUGCAUAGUAUUGUGCGUUCACUGGAUUUCACUUGAUUUAUUCUAAAUUUUCAGGAACAAAUUAAUAUAAUGGCUUUCACGAGCUGCCAAGAUGUCUCUCAUAGGAAAUACGAUGCCUUCUUAAGCUUUAGAGGAGAAGACACCCGUCAAACGUUCAUAAGUCAUCUCUAUACUGCUUUGAACGAUAAAGGAAUUUAUGUAUUCAGGGAUGACAAACAACUUGAGAAAGGAGGAUCCAUUUCACCAAAUCUCCUUAAAGCAAUUGAAGAAUCAAGAAUUUCAAUUAUUGUUCUCUCAAGAAACUAUGCUUCUUCCACUUGGUGCUUGGAUGAACUUGUCAAGAUUGUUGAAUACAAAGAUAGAGAGGAUCAAAUUUUUCCAAUUUUCUAUGAUGUGGAACCAACUGUUGUAAGGAAACAGACAACAAGUUUUGGAGAAGCUUUUACCAAACACGAAGAAUUUUUCAGGGAUAAUAUAGAAAAAGUACAAAAGUGGAGACACGCUUUAAAAGUGGUGGCCAAUAAAUCAGGUUGGGAAUUGAAGGACAGGUAAUCAUUCUUAUUCUCAAAUAUUAUUAUUAUUAUUAUUAUUUUGUUCUGCAUGAUUAGUAUUCAUGAUUCAACAUUGUUUUCAAUUUAACAGCUUCUGUUUAAUAUGUAUAUAUAUCAUAUGAUGUGUCGUUAUUAAAGUAGUAGUGCUAUAAAUGCAUUAAUAUUUGCAAAUGAAUAGAUAUGGAUGUUGAUACUAUAAAUUAUUGUGUUCUGAACUAUUGAAGACUAUACAUAUGUAUCUUGUGUUGCUUUGUGCUCUAUUAAUCACAUCUAAAAAAUAAAAAUAAAACAUUACUCUUAGAUUGACUCUUUAGUAACUGUUAAUAAUAACAAUGACAAUAAUCGCAAGCCCAAUGAUACCAUCAAUAUCAUUACAUAUUUAGCUAAUUGUAGUGCUACACAUCUCAAAUUUUUUAUUUCAAAAAACCAUCCCAAAAUGAUGUGACGUCCAUCAAUUAGUUCUUGAAAUAAUAUAAUUAACUCACUCGAAUCUUCUAAAGAAUUAUCAACCACUUAUUAAAUGACACAUCAUUUGGGACAUUUAUCAUCAUCAUCUAAUUGAUUUCAUGUGAGCAAUAAUUGUUCUUAUAAAAAAUUGAUAUAAAUUCUCUUUUAAUCUAAUUUAUCCUCCUACAGAAAGAAAUAAUAUGUACAUGAGAAGAAAACAGCAAAAGAAAUUGAAUUUUCUCAUUCUUGUUGUUUCUAACCCACGCGAUAAUAUAUGUUACUUGCUUAUACGACUUCAAUUUGAUGAAAUGAAUAUUAUAUAGUUUGGAUUGUAUGCAUAAUAUGGAAUUGAUUUGUUACUAUGUUUACACAAACUUUAAUUUAACAACAGUAAUCUUCUCUUGUUGUUUUCAAUUUGCAGCAAUGAGUCAGAAUUUAUUGAGGAAAUUGUCAAUGUGAUAUCAAGUAAAAUUCGUACAGAGUCAGAGAUUCUUAAGGAGCUAGUAGGAAUAGAAUCACGCUUGGAGAAACUGAAGUUUCUUAUGGGUGCAGGGUGCAAUGAUGUUCGUAUGAUAGGGAUAUGGGGUAUGGGAGGUCUAGGAAAGACAACUCUUGCAAGAGUUGUUUAUGACUUGAUCUCCCACGAGUUUGAUGGUAGUAGUUUUCUUGCUGAUGUUAAAGAAAAAUAUGAUAAAGAAGGCAGUGUAAUCUCUUUGCAAAAGCAGCUCAUUUCUGAUUUACUGAAGCUUGCGGAUAAUAACAUACGAAAUGUCUAUGACGGUAUUAACAUGAUAGGACGUAGGUUGCGACAAAAAAAGGUCCUUCUCGUGAUCGAUGAUGUCGCUCAUGUUGAGCAACUACGAAGAUUAGCUGGAAAGCGCGAUUGGUUUGGCCCGGGCAGCAGAAUCAUAAUAACAACGAGGGAUGAACAUUUGUUGAAGUUGCAUCGAGUCGAGGAAGUUUUUAAGCUUGAGGCACUAACUUAUGAUGAGGCAUUCCAACUCUUUUGUUUGAAAGCUUUUGAAACCCAGAAGCCCAGGGAAGAAUAUGUUCAUCUAUCUCAACUUGUUGUAAAUUAUGCUGGUGGUCUUCCAUUAGCUCUCAAGGUUUUGGGUUCUUUUUUGUUUGGUAGACCUGUGGACGAGUGGACAAGUACCUUGGAAAGACUAAAAAGAGAACCUGAAAAUGAGAUUCUAGAUAUACUCCAGAUAAGUUUUGAUGGCUUGAAGGAAGCAGAGAAGGAAAUAUUUCUCGAUGUUGCGUGUUUCUUUAAAGGGGAGAAGAGAGAUUACGUGUCAAAAAUUCUCGAUAGCUGUGGUUUUGAACCGGUAAUUGGCAUUGGUAUUCUUAUUGAAAAAUCUCUAUUAACAAUAUGUGAGAGCGACAGACUAUGGAUGCAUGAUUUGUUACUAGAAAUGGGUCGACAAAUUGUUAGGAGGCAGUCCCCACGGGAGCCUGGAAAACGCAGCAGAUUGUGGGAGGAAGCAGACCUAUGCCAUGUAUUGUCACAAAACACAGUAAGUGACUAAUAAAGGGGAUCGGAAAAUUUUUUUUCUUUUACCCAGUAAAAUCUCUAAUGAACUAUUUUGUUGAUAAUAUUUAGGGAACUGAAGUAGUUGAAGGAAUAAUACUUGAUGAUUAUUACUUUCUCCAAGAUAAGGUUUAUUUAAGUGCUAGUCCGAAAGCAUUUUCAAAGAUGACCAACCUACGAUUGCUCAAAAUCUGUGGUCUGCAACUUCCUCAAGGCCUUGAACACCUCUCUAACAAGUUGCGGUUACUUGAUUGGCAUGGAUAUCCUUGGAAAUCUUUGCCAUCAAAUUUGGAAUUGGAUAAAACUGUGGAGUUUAAAAUGUGUUACAGCUGCAUUGAAGAAUUAUGGAAAGGAAUCAAAGUAAGAUCAAUGUUUUGUCACUAAUUUUUUUUUUUAGUGAAUAAUUGUUGAUGACAAUUUUAUUAUUAUAGCUGUAUAUAAAUUAAGAAAUAUCAUUUCAGCUCCUUUUUGUUUUCAACAGCCUUUAAACAUGUUGAAAGUCAUGGAACUCAGCCAUUCAGAGAAUCUGAUUAAGACUCCAGACUUCACAGAGGUCCCAAAUUUGGAGGAGUUGGAUGUUGAAGGAUGUACAAGGUUGCGUGAGAUUCACCCAUCUUUACUGCUUCACAAUAAGCUGAUUUUGUUGAACUUGAAAGGUUGUACAAGUCUUACAACUCUUCCGGGAAAGAUUUUUAUGAAAUCGCUUAAAACACUUGUUCUUUCUGGUUGCUUGAAAUUGAGGAAAUUUCCACACGUUGCGGGAAGUAUGGAGUGUCUGCGGGAACUUCUUUUGGAUGGAACUGAUAUCAAAGAACUGCCACUAUCAAUUGAACUUCUAUCUGGACUUGUUCAGUUGACUUUGAAUGACUGCAAAAGUCUCGUGAGACUUCCCAGCAAUAUAAACGGUUUGAAAUCACUAAAAACUUUGAAUCUCUCUGGCUGCUCCAAACUUGAAAAUGUGCCAGAGACGCUUGGGCAAGUAGAAAGUUUGGAAGAACUUGAUAUAAGCGGAACAGCUAUAAGACGACCUCCAUCCUCCAUUUUUCUUAUGGACAAUCUUAGAACACUCUCUUUUUUUGGGUGCAAUGGGCCACCAUCAGCUGCAUCAUGGCAUUUGUUCCUUCCCUUCAAUUUGAUGGGAAAGAGUUCAUGUCCUGUGGAUUUAAUGUUGCCUUCUCUGUCAGGUUUGUGCUCUUUAACAAAAUUAGAUCUCAGUGACUGUGGUCUAGGGGAAGGAGCAAUCCCGAGUGAUAUUGGCAACUUACACUCAUUAAACGAGUUGUAUCUGAGUAAAAACAAAUUUGUUACGCUGCCAGCAAGUAUUAACGGUCUUUUAAAUCUUAAAAACCUAGAGUUGGAAGAUUGUAAAAGGCUUCAAUCUCUGCCACAACUUCCAUCUAGCAUAAACGUAGUUACAGUGAAUGGUUGUUCUUCAUUGGUGACAUUAUCUGGUGCUUUAAAACUAGGUAAGUCCGACCACACAAUGAUUAAUUGUAUAGAUAGCUUGAAAUUGCCCGGGAACAACAGUUUUGCAAUUUCGAUGCUACGAGAGUACCUUGAGGUCAGUCUCUCACUCCGUUUCUUCCAGCUAUGCCAAGAUUAUGCCUGAGAAUUAAGCAAUGGUAUGGACCUGUUCAUUUUUUGUUUUUCUGUUGCAGGCAGUGUCAGAUCCAAGCCAUAAAUUUAGCAUUGUUGUUCCAGGAAGUGAAAUUCCAGAGUGGUUCGUGUAUCAGAAUGAGGGUUCUUCAAUAACAGUCACAAGGCCUUCAUAUUUGUAUAAUAUGAAUAAGGUUGUGGGAUAUGCUAUUUGCUGUGUUUUUCAUGUCCCUAACCAUUCAACUGGUACCUAUUUAUGGCGUUCGUAUUCCCAAGUUGAGUUACACUGCUCCAUGGAUGGUUCUAAUGUCAGUCAUUUUAUUCGUUCUAGAGGGAACUUCGGUCAUGCUGGGUCAGACCAUCUUUGGCUAUUCUAUUUGUCUCGACAAGAAUGCUACAAUGAUAAGUGGAAUUUUGAAUCUAAUCAUUUUAAGUUGUCAUUUAUUGAAGAAGGUCUAUAUCGGCGAGGUACUGAUUUGAACGUGAAGAGGUGUGGCUUCCACCCAGUUUAUAUGCACGAAGUUGAGGAGUUGGACCAAGCAACAAAGCAGUGGACUCAUUUUACUUCUUAUAAUCUGUAUGAAUCCCCUCACGAUUUUGUUGGAUCUAAUAUGGAAGUAGCCACAACAUCAAAGCGAGGCCUUGCAGAAAAUGCUGGGACAGCUGAAGCCAGUGGCAGUGGCUGCUGCGAUGAAGAUGAGGAACCACCACCUAAAAGAUUUAGACAAUUCAAAUGAAGGGCAAAGCCUAGUGUAACAGUGUAAGUACACAUCCCAAUUUCAAUUUAUGCUAUUUAAAUUUGCACAUGGUAUUUCAUUUAGUUUUUAUUUAUUCUAAUCUUGCAAUUUAUUUUCACGUUAAAUUACUAGAAAUGCUCUACUUGGAUUCAGAAGUUGGUCAGAAUCAGAAUGUGUUGCUCGACCAAAUUGAAGCUUUGUAUUUUGGGAUUUCUCACGAGUUGAAAAUUAAAAAAAGAAGGAAAGUUAGUCCUCUGUCUUGCAUUCUUACUUGUUUCUCCGUUUCAUUGCAGCAUUCUGUCAUUUUGUAUCCAUUAUUAAACGUCCGAGUUUUUGGGUACACUUGAAAGGGCUGAGGACUGGGGUCAUAAUUGAUGAAUUGCAUACAAAUUGCUAUGAGUGAACAAUAAAAUAAGUAUCUCAUUGCAAUCUGGUUAAAUAUAUUCUUUUAUUAUUAUUAUUAUUAUUUUCACUCUUUUGGCGUACAGCUUCUACUGUUCUUUCUAUUUGAGUAGGCCAACUAAGCUUAUUCUAAAUUAUACAGCACGUGAAGCUGAUAUGGAUUUUCGCUUGUUGAGAUUCUUAUUGAAUUUGCAUAGAUUUUACCCUAGAAUAACACUAGCACCUUCUGAUUUGACAUUUCAAAUUAAAGCAAUUUUAAGUCUCACAAAAAGCUGCGAAUUAAAGAAACUGUACAAAUUAUAACAAUUUAUAGAGAAAAAUGAAAUUGAAUGACAAAUGAACUUUGAUGAAGUAAAAUUAUCAUUUAUGUAUGAAGAUCAUAUCACAUAUUUUUCUGUACAAGGAUCAUAUCACAUAUUUGACCAAAAAGACUUUUGACCCAAAAAAAAAUAUGUUCAUGGUUGUCUUCAUUGUGAACAUUUGUGAUUCUUAUCCCUUUUAUUUUGAUGUUGGAACUUUUUUGGGCCUUCAUGAGUUCGUUGAAUUUAGCUGUGCUUAUUUAAUUUGAGUUUUUUUGACUUUUGUUCUUUUUACGCUGGAUUAUUGACCCCCCGAUCUUUUCAUAAAACCUUUUUUUAUUACUUUUUUUUUCUAGUUAUUCUUAUUGGUAACUCCCAAAAUAUCCCUUUUUUAAUCACUCAUCUAAUUUUUAAUAUUAUUUUCUUAUCAAAGUUGAGGUCUAACUUCACCGCUAAGCUUUUCUAAGACUUAAGUUUUAGGUUCUUGUUUCAAUAGAUGUGUGAGUUAAUUGUAAAAAUAUUUUUUAUUAUUUUCUUGUUAAUUCUUUUCACGGAGUCGCAUUAUUGACACCCCUCUUAUAUCCUUGUAAGACCUCUUUUUUUUUUAAAAAAAAAAGAUUAUUCUUACUUUUAAUUUAAAAAAUGUCCUUUUUUUAUACACUCUUCUAAUUUCUUUCUUUCUUUCUUUUUUUAGCAGUGUUGUUAAUUUCAAAUCAAUCCUACAAACGAAUUAAAAAAUUUUAUCGGUGAUGAAUUUUUUAAUGUUAAUCAUUGACUUAAAUUUAAAAUACUUUAAAUUAUAAUUUAUUGAAUUAAAUUACACAUAUUUUAAAUUAUAAUAUAAUUGUACGUAAUCUGUAAUUAAAAAAAAUUAUUCAAUCAAUAAGAACUACAAAAAGAAUAAUAGAAUAUUUUAAAUUUAAGAAAAUUUAAUUUCAAUACGCAGGAAGUCAUGACAAAUUAAAAAAAAAAAAGGGACGUUAAUGAAUACAGUUAAUUUGCAGGAAAAAAGAUCUAAUUGGUUGACUAAUUGUUAUUUAUCCUUAUAUAUAGUUGUAUUUGAAGUUGGGUUUUUUUAAGAAUGACAAAGGGGUGCUCAUAGGUUCACUCUUUCUACAAGUGUGCUCGACAGCUAUUCAAUUUAUUGAUUCUAAGUUCUGAACAGCUUGUAAUCCAUAAUCAAGAAGAGUCAAGUUUUUGACACCCCGAAAGUCUCUAAAAUAAUCUCAUACGCGCAUAUCUUUAUCAUAAUUUUACUUAUUUAUUUUUUUGAUAUGAUGAGGCUCUAAAAAGAGCUAGAAUAAAACAGAACGCGGGUAAGCCACCCCAUACAAGUCAUGGUACAAAAGAGGAGUCACACCAGGUGGGGGAUUAGCAGGAUGAUGAACACCUAGAGGAAGAGAUAGAGCAUAAUUAGCGAGAUAGUCUGCUGUGAAAUCUGCCUCACGGUAGACAUCGUUAAUGAUAAUGUUGUUCCAAUUACGCUGGAUAACCUCCUCGAUAGGCUGAAGAAGGGAAGUGUACUCAUUGUCAGUAUCCACAGGCUUCCUAACCAGUUCAGUGACACAUAGGCUAUCAAUUUCCACCACCAGCCACUUUAUCCCAUGCUCCCAUGCCAGUUUUAGACCAUGAUAUAAACCCCAUAACUCAGCCACCGUAACAGAGCAAUGCCCUAUAUUCAUUCCGAAGCCAAAGAUCCAAGCCCCUUUGUGAUCACGAAUUACUCCAGCACUUGAUGCUUCUGUUCGCUUACAAGCUCCGUCAGUGUUCAACUUGCAUCAUGGCCAAGUUGGGGCAUCUCCAUGCAGUCCAUUUGUUUACUCUCCCGAUGUCGUGACUAGGCCUGUAUUAUUUAUGCAGUUGAUUUUCUCUGCUCUGGUUCGAAUGUCAUGAAGCAUACUCAGGUUGUCAACAGAGGUAUGCUUAAAUUGAAAUUGAUUGCGUCAGAACCAGAGACGCCGACUAGCGAUUUAUUUUUUAUUUGUAGACAUAAUUUUGAUAUGUAUAACAUUAUAUUACUACUGUGCUUACAUUCCUGUUUCGUACGUAAUGUAUAACAUUACAGCAAUAAUGUUUUAGAUGGUUUUCUCAUCUGGUCAAAUGACUAGCCUACCAUAAACAAUAUUGUUUACUUAGUAUCAUCAUAUCAUAUAUUUGAUCUUAUCUUAUCUCAUUUAUAUUUAUAUUAUUUCAUUUGUCUUAUUUUAGUUACUUAGUAUGUACUGUACAUAUAAAUAAUUCAUAAAUAUAAUAUUACCUGUAUAUUUACAUUUCUGUACUUUCCUGGAAGAUGCUCCAACAGCAAAUUGAAUAAACAAAAUGAAAUGUUGUGUCAUCUACUAAACAACAAGAAGGAGAGACAGAGUAAAAAAAAAAAAAAACACAAUAGAGAAAAUGAUAAGCGGAGAGGUUGGUUUAUUCCAUGUAUCUUAUUUGUCAUAAAUACUUAUUGUUUCAUUAAGUAAUAUAAAUUAUUAUUUAACUAUACUUGAAGAAAAGUCUCUGUGUUUAGAUGAUCGAAGCUUUUGUUACCUUUGAUAAUGUCUUUGAUUCCAUUCUCCACCGUUGACCAUAGUCACUCUUUAUAAUUAUCUUUUGCAAAUACUCUUGAGUCUUUUCUUUCUUUCUUUCUUUCUUUUUUUUUUUUUUUUUGGUUGUUGAUGGGAUGGAUUAAGUGUUUGUAAUCUCUCAAUAAUCAACUGUAAGUGAUCACAUAAUAAUUGACUUUAAGUGUUUCAUUUUGCGCUCCCCCCCCCCCCCUCCAAAUUAUACUCUUGACCAUGUAACCCCAAAUUUGGUAUUAUAUUUUAAAAAUCAAUAUAAAUAUAUUAUUAAAUGAAUUGGCAAGCUUGGAUUGAGGAUUUUAGGAAGAAAGACAAAUAUCUAUAUGAAUAUGAUCAGAUGAAUUGGCAAGCUUGAGUUAGGUUCAGAACGAACGAAAAAUAGACAAUGGAAUGAUCAUAUGGAAUUUGCAGGCCCGGCUGAAGAGGGGAGUUGUUGAGGAAUUAUGGUAUUAUUCUCAUGCCUAGGACGUGUUGGAUAAUAUGCCCACGAAGGAACGUGCAUCCCACCUGAUGUGUUGCAUCAGCUCUAUGAUUUGCCAAGCAAAAGCAAUCAAUCAACAAGGUCAGUUUGUGAAUGUUUGUCCUACACGAGUCAUAGCUAGUGAACACAUUUUGAGAUUCCUUCACUAAAUAUGUAUUGUUUUGAUUCAAUAUAGUGAGCACAAGCCCAGUGUUUAUUUAAUCAAUUACAAUUAGUUUUUCUAGCUACUAACUUUUUUGCAAUUUUCUAAAUAAAAAUAUACGUGACAGAAUCUGAUUAUUUAUUGUUGAAUGAACGAUGUGGUAGAACAAAGGAAUUGUAGAAUUUCUUGAGUUUUAGACAUAAAACAGAGUCAGGCCAUAGAACGCAUGUAUGAAGAAAUUAUCAUCUUCCGAUGAUUGAAAAUUAUCAUCACAUUUAUAGUAAUGAUGCUGUGCUUUAUUCAAAAUUAUUUCUUCCAAUAGAGAAGCAAUCAAUAAUGGUAUUAAUUCUUGAACCAGUGGAAAGCAAUUAAUUUUCUUCAUUUGUUUUCUUGCUUGGCUGUGAAACAGCCCAUUUGCGGCUGAACACAGAAUCUGUUUUUUGUUUCUUUGUUGUUUUUUGUGAAUAUUUGGCUUAAUUUACAAUUCAUGGCAUGUCUGAAAAUGGGUCGAUGAAUCUGUUAAAAUAUGGACUCAGAUCUAAAUCAGAUUUAUCCAUGAUACAAUCAAGAGGUGUUAAGAGUGCAAUUUAUGCACUAGUUUUGCAUUGUUUACUUCCCUUAAUAUCGAUAUUUUGCACUUAAUAAUAGUGAUUUACUUGUGUUUUACUUUUGUAGGUACAAUUCUAUUGAUUGGUGAUAAAAUUGAGCUACAAGAUGAUGUUUAAGGAUGAUUGUUCUCUUGGAGAAAUUAUGAGCGUCAGAAGAACUUUGUUGAUAAGGCGUGGGCGCGUGCUGUCAACUACGGACCUGUAGUUUUUAGUUUAACGUGUUUUGUAAUUUUGGUUAUUUUUGUAAUUACGAAUUUAAUAUUUCAGAUAUUAGUAUUUUAUUUUAAAUAGAAUUCUAGAGGAGAAGAGAGAGAGAGAGUAUUUAAGGGAGGAAUCUAUUGUGAAAAAGAGGGACUUUUGGGGAGAAAAGGGAGAAACCCUAGAUCUAAAUUUUUCUCUUCUCUCUAUGAAGAACUAAACCUAUUAUUCUGGUUGAAGGUUAAUGAAGCUUUGAUUCAUCACUACUGUGAGAUCUUUCUUAUGCUUUAACUGCUUUAUUAUUUUUUGGGUAUUUUUUUAUUCUCUGAAUUAUUAUCAUGAUUAUGCUUGUUAAUUAGAUAAUUGGCCACUAUUUAAUUAUCAACUUAAUCUAUUGUCAAUUAAAGGAUUCAUCGUAUGAAGAUUUUAAUGUUUGUGACAAAUAACAUAGCAGAGAGUUGUGUUGUGAGAAUAAACAAUCUAAUUUAAAUGAACCAUCGUAUGUGUUUGUAGAUUAGGAUUUGGGUCUCUCUGGUUUUUCAGGCUUUCAAUUAAUUAAAUCCUAUGAUCGUAUCUAGGGUUGUCUAUUGAUUAGGGAAAUAACCAACGGUCGUACCUUGGUUAUCGACUAGUUAAGGAGAGAUUGGCUAUUAGAGGGUCUCAGUAGCUAUAAUCAGUCUAUUCAUAAGUAGUAAUAAUUUAUAUUUGAAUCAAUGAUCAGUAGUCGAAUUAAGCUGAGUUAAUUCCUUCAACCAGAGCUUUCUCCAAUUUGAAUUACAACUUUAAUUUGCAUUCUUGUUAUUUUAAUUUGAUUUUUAUUAUUGUCAACAAUUCCCCCAUUUUAUGUUUCACAUUUUAAAAGGAUUUAAAUAAUUACCGAUCUCUGUGGACACGACCCUGCUCAAUCACUAUACACAAUUUAUUUAGAGUAUGUAUUUAUUUUUGCUGGCUUCAACAACCAUCAAAGUUUGGCGCUGUUGCCGGGGAUUGGUGUCAUUUAUUUAAUCCUUUUUACGUUUUACUUGGUGUAUGGUUCGUUCUUCUCGUACAGGUACACUUUCGUUUGAUCCUGAAAUUGAGAAGACAGCUUGCCAGCUGAGACAGCGGAUGAAGCGAGCUAAGCAACGAUCCUCAUCGCCUUUGCUUUCUGAAAUAGAUACGGUGCCUGAUUUAGUUGAAUCAUCUAGCGAUUCAAAAGAAAAAGUGAUGGAUAGAGCUGCACAUGUAGAAAGAACUCUUAGAGAGUUAGCUAAACCAGACUUGAAUUAGCAACCACUCUGCAUUCAAUAUGUAGACUUGGAGGUAAAUUUUGAAUUAAAGUCUGGUCUUAUUCAUUUAUUACCCAAGUUUCAUGGUUUUGUAGGUGAAGAUCCUCAUAAACAUCUCAAGGAGUUUCAUGUUGUGUGUUCAAGUAUGAGGCCACAACAUGGAAUUAGAUGGACUAGCUAAAGACUGGUUGUACUACUUGCCUCCUGGAUCGAUUACAACAUGGAAUGGUUUGGAGAAGCAGUUCCUUGAGAAAUACUUUCCUGCUUCAAGAGCUGCCAACAUCAGAAAAGACAUUUGUGGGAUCAGACAACUUCCUGGGGAGACUUUAUAUGAGUAUUGGGAGCGAUUUAAACAAUUGUGUGCCAGCUGUCCUCAACAUCAGAUUUCUGAUCAACUUCUUAUUCAAUAUUUUUAUGAAGGACUAUCAUUAAUGGAUAGGAGUAUGAUAGAUGCUGCUAGUGGAGGCGUGUUGGUGAACAAGACCCCUACUCAAGCAAGGGAGUUGAUCUCAAAUAUGGCUGCCAAUGCACAACAAUUUGGCAGUAGGCAAGAUUCCACUUCAAAAACGGUGAAUGAGGUAAAUAUUUCUUCUGUUGAACAACGUUUAGAUAAACUUACUUCUCUUGUGGAAAAGUUUGUUGUAGGUAAUGUGCAACAAGUGAAGACUUGUGGCAUUUGUUACAAUAUGGGUCAUUCAACUGAUAUGUGUCCUACACUUCAAGAAAAACCCGUUGAACAAGCAAUGCAGUUGGAGGAUUUCCAGGCAUGCCUCAGAGGAGGUUUUCUUCACAAUCUGAGGUGAAUCCAAAGUAAACAUUAGUGCUGUCAUCCUUAGAAGUGGGAAGGAGUUGCAAGAGCCUAGUGAGAAAGUGACAAAGCAUGUAGAAGAUGAGCUUGAAAAGAAUGAAUUGAUGCCUAAAUCUCAAGAUGCGCAACCCACCAAAGCAAAACCCCUACCUAUUGUGAUACCUCCUCCUUUUCCAAGCCGGUUUGCAAAAUCCAAGAAGGAGGAACAAGAGAAAGACAUCCUUGAGACAUUUCGCAAGGUUGAGGUAAACAUUCCUUUAUUAGAUGCUAUAAAACAAAUACCUCGAUAUACUAAAGUCCUUAAGGAACUGUGCACCUCCAAGAGAAAAUUAAGAGGAGAUGAAAAAGUUCACAUGGGGGAGAAUGUUUCAGCAGUUCUCCAAAAGAAACUACUUCAUAAGUGUAAGGAUCCAGGUAUGUUUACUAUCCCUUGUAAAAUUGGUAGUGUUAGAGUUGAAAAGGCUAUGUUAGAUCUAAGAGCUUCUAUUAAUGUCAUGCCUCGUUCCAUUUAUUCAUCUUUGAAUGUUGGUCCAUUAAAAGAAACUGGCGUGAUAAUUCAACUAACUGAUAGGUCUAAUGCAUAUCCUGAUGGAGUAUUAGAAGAUGUCUUAGUAUAAGUUAAUGAGUUGGUUUUUCCUGUCUUUUUUUAUGUAUUUGAUAUGGAAGAGGAUGACUCCUCUAAUUCUGUCCCAAUUUUGCUAGGAAGACCAUUUCUUAAGACUGCUAAGACUAAAAUGGAUGUACAUAAAGGGACUCUCACUAUGGAGUUUGAUGGAGAGGUUAUAGAAUUCAAUAUGAAUGAUGCCAUGAAAUAUCCUAGUGAGGAACAUUCGGUAUUUUCUGUGGAUGUUAUUAACCCUAUAGUGCAGGAAGUUUUUUAUAAGGAAAAAACGAAGACAUUUCAUGAUAGAAUGAUUUUGAGAAAGGAGUUCUCUGUUGGUCAAAAAGUUCUUCUUUUUCAUUCUAAGCUUAAACUUUUUCCGGGUAAAUUACGUUCUUGCUGGGUUGGACCUUUUAUUGUUACUAAUGUUUUUCCUCAUGGUGCAGUUGAGAUUCGGAGUCCGACCUCUGACAAAGUUUUUAAGGUUAAUGAUCAUCGCUUAAAACCUUUUUAUGAAGGUUUUUGAUGUAGCUGAAGUUUAAUGUUCAAAAUAUUCCGUUGAUUCUAGAGAAUACCGAAAUAAAAGAACAACUAAAUUCACGUUGAUUCAAAAGAAUACCGCGAACUUAGGGAUUUAAGACUCGUUGAUUCCGCAGAAUACCGAGAAUUAACUGUUCAAAUACUCACAAAGAGAUUUGAAAAUUGAAAUAUUAUUGAACUCAAAAUUAUGCCUGUAAAAACUACAAAACACACUUAUUUAUACUAAGUAAGACUUGUCCUAAUAUGAUUAGAAAACCUAUUUUAAUAAGACUUAUACCGAAAUUAGAAAUAUUACCCAAAUAAGCAAUACCUAAACAAUAAGACUCUAAAUAGGAAACCAAAUUAAACUAGAAUACAAAUUAAUUAAAAUAUUCCUAAAUAUUAUACAUUUAACUCUAAUUUGGAUUUCUUCAAUUUCUUGCUCUGCAUCAUUCCCGCCAAGCUGGAGAAAGUUCGUCCUUGAAUUUUGUAUGUUGUAGUCUUCAAGAACAUCUUCAUGUGCACAAGGAUUAAUUUUUAAAACAGAGCUUUGACAUAGACGAUGAACUUUAAAUUUUCCAACUUUUGUAAUAACGUCCAUCCAAUCACUCCAAUAGCGUAAAAUAAAUUCUUCUAUCAACAACUUCUCCAAUAAUGUCUUCUCGUAUUGUUCGUAUCGAACAUCAACAUAGUUGAGGAAAAACGAUUUCUUCUCAUAAUCCAUUAAUUGUUGAAAAAUAUCACAACUUUUUUUGUCUUCUUUUGGCAAAUCAAGAGAACAAUAAGAGAUUGUAUCAACAACUAUCUCUCUUUCCUCCACAAGAUCAAAAGAUGGAUGAACAAUUACCUCUUCUCGUCCCACAAUAUCAAGAUACUCAUCAAAUUUCGGCAAUUGAUCCAAAUCAAUGUCUUUGUGUUGAGAAUUUGUUGUAGACAUGAAUGGCCAAUUAAUAUUCUCCUCGGAAGGAAUAAUAUUGUCGAGGGAAACCAAGUUACCAUUUUCCUCAUUAUCCUCACAACAAAUAUCAUCAUGAACAACUUCAUCAAAUCCAUAUGCCUGCUUUAUGUGUAAAGAUUUUAUAUCUUGAAGUUUCUCUAAAUCUUGAGAAAUCAAAAGUAAAAUCCUCAACAUUCUAUUUAAAACUUCUUUCAAGACAAAAUCUUCGCGGCGAUGUUGUCGUUUCAUGAAUCAAUUUUUUUCUUCUUUUUUGUUUUCUAUCUCUUUUUUUUUUAAAUAAUGAAGCUAAACAGAAAAAAACAAAAAUGAGAAAAGAAAUGUUUGGUGGUAGAUGGGAUUAGAUAAGUAAUACCAGGUUUUGGCUCUGAUACCAAACUGAUGCAGCAGAAGUUUAAUGUUCAAAAUAUUCCGUUGAUUCUAGAGAAUACCAGAAUAAAAGAACAACUAAAUUCACGUUGAUUCAAAAGAAUACCGCGAACUUAGGGAUUUAAGACUCGUUGAUUCCGCAGAAUACCGAGAAUUAACUGUUCAAAUACUCACAAAGAGAUUUGAAAAUUGAAAUAUUAUUGAACUCAAAAUUAUGCCUGUAAAAGCUACAAAACACACUUAUUUAUACUAAGUAAGACUUAUCCUAAUAUGAUUAGAAAACCUAUUUUAAUAAGACUUAUACCUAAAUUAGAAAUAUUACCCAAAUAAGCAAUACCUAAACAAUAAGACUCUAAAUAGGAAACCAAAUUAAACUAGAAUACAAAUUAAUUAAAAUAUUCCUAAAUAUUAUAUAUUUAGCUCUAAUUUGGAUUUCUUCAAUUUCUUGCUCUACAUAAGUUUUUCAGUGAAUAUUGUGGAGGAUGUGGCUCUCGAGAGUCCCAAUUACGGAGAUUGAUGCAUAAAUGUGUCUAGCCAAAGACAUAAAACAGAGGCGCUUUUUGGGAGGCAACCCAAAUGAUUUAUUUAUUUUGGUUUUUGUUAUAUCUUCUUUUAAUUUUGAUUCAGAUUUUUUUUAAAAAAUAAUGUGUUUGCUUAUUUUGGCCAGAAGAAAAUUUUUGAUAAGGCGUGCCCACGUCUUAACUAAUAAGUACUUCUGUGAUUUUUAAAGUAAAAUGGUUUUAAGGCGUGCCCACGUGCUUAUUAGAAAAGUACUUCUGAAAUUUUUUUUGUGUCUUAAAGUGAUUCAUCAUUAAAAAAAAAAAUAUUUAUUUAUUUGAAAAUGAAAAAAAUGAAAAAAAAGGUUUUUUUCCUUUCUUUUCUUUCUUAUAUAUAUAUAUAUAUUUGAAAAAAAAACAAAAAAAAUUACUGUUUACAAAAUCCCUAAUUCACAGAAUUGGUUUUCUUCUCCAGCCUUCACCGAGCAGCCACGCAGCACCAGCAAUCCACCAUCGCGCACCAGCCCACGCAGCAGCAGCAGCAGCCGUGAGCGCAACCAGCACCAUCUCGCGCGCUCGCAGAUCCAGCCUUCACCGAGCAGCCACGCAGCAACCCACACUCGCAGAUCCAGCCUUUACCUAGCAGCACGCAGAACCAGCAUCAGCCCAGCUCUCGUGUGCAAUCAACCCUAGCGCACAGAUCCAGCAGCCCGCGCGCGCAGCAGAAUCAGUCCCAGCCCGCACACGCAACGCAACUAGCGUCACUAGCGCAGCAGAACCAGGCCCAGCAGCGCGCAUCAGAAUCAGGCCCAGCGCACAGCAUCCCGCACGCAACCAGCAUCACCAGCUCACAACCAGCAAUCCACCAUCGCGCCAAACUCCAACUGAGCAGCAAUCGUCCGCAACCAACCUACGCCCUGUAUUCCAACCAGGUGAAUCGAAAUUCGUGAGUGAAAUUAUUGUAACAAUGCCAAAGAGGAAAGCAUCAACUUCCAAGUCAUCUAAAAAGACACCUGGCGCAAAGAAAUCCAAGAUUGCCGCUCCCACUACGGUUCCAUGGAACACAGUUUCAAAUUCACGCCAAGCCGUGAGACAAAGAUCGAAACAUGGAAAAGGCAUGAGUGUUUUGCCACUUGCGGAAUCCAAUCUCGGAGGGUGCCUCGCAUUCACGACUCAACAAGAGAAAGAAAGGUAUAAAGAUAUUUCCAAGCGAAAAAUACUUCCAGCUAAGUAUAUUCAUUACCCGACUCUUGAAAAAUUGAAUAUUAAGGAUAAUUUUGAUUCUUUGAUAGAUAAGAUUGGUUUGCGUAAGUUUGUUGAUGUUGAUUGUUUGGGUUAUGUUGAGUUGAUUAGGGAGUUCUAUGCUACUUUUCAAUUUAAUAUACCGAAUGAUUUUACUUUGCAUAUCCCGGAUGUUAUAAAGUUUAGGUUAAUGGAACGAAAUUUUUCACACUCUAUCACGAAUUUUAACCUAGCUUUAGGAUUCAUUGAUGAUGAUUAUUCUUCUAGUGAUGCAUAUUUAGGAACAACUUGUGACUUUAGCGAAAAUUUUGAGCCUUAUGGUCUUUGGCGUAAUUUAUUUGUUGAUCACAAUGCCUAUGACCCGAGUAAAUCAAAGAGUUCUUUCUUACGUGAUCCUGUUUUGAAAUACGUGCAUCGAUUCUUGGCAUAUAAUUUUUUAGGAAAGAAAGAUCACUUAGGAGUUGGCUGGUUCGCGCUGCGUUACAGGGGCUGUGUGACGCUGGUUGCUUUGCUGGGGAUUGCGUUGCGCGUGGGACUGAUUGUGCGGGGCGCGCGGGCUGCUGGUUGCAUUACGUUGCGCGCGGCUGCUGCUGCUGCGCGAUGGUGACGACUGGAUUGAUUUGAGCUGCGCGCGGGAGCUGGAGUCGAGGAUCUGCGUUGCAGGGCGUGUUCGUCUACUGCUGCUCGGCUGCGUUGCGUGCGCGGGACUGAUGCGCUACGCCAUGGUGAUGGCUGGGGCUUGCUGCGCGCGGGCUGGUGGUUGCAGGUGGGACUGAUGCGGCUACUGCUGGUGAAAACGAUAAUCAACAGUGAAUUUUUUUUUUUGAAUUAGGGAUUUGUGAACAGUGAUUCCAAUCGUACCUAAAAGCUUAAGCUGUUAGGAGGGGCGCUACUUUAUACUUAAGUAGGUAAUCCGCCUAACACCAGGUAACGCCUUCACGUUAAUGCCACAUCACCCACAUGGAUGUUGGUAGAGUCACCACCGUGGUGGUGCGGGCCCCAGUUACAGUGACUGGGAUAUAUAUAUUAAGCCUAUUCCUCCCCCGCGGCUCGAACCCUGGCUGGCUCUGAUACCAUCUUAAGGCGCUUACCAAUCGUACCUAAAAGCUUAAGCUGUUAGGAGGGGCGCUACUUUAUACUUAAGUAGGCAAUCCGCCCAACACCAGGUAACGCCUUCAAGUUAAUGCCACAUCACCCACAUGGAUGUUGGUAGAGUCACCACCGUGGUGGUGCGGGCCCCAGUUACAGUGACUGGGAUAUAUAUAUUAAGCCCAUUCCUCCCCCGCGGCUCGAACCCUGGCUGGCUCUGAUACCAUCUUAAGGCGCUUACCAAUCGUACCUAAAAGCUUAAGCUGUUAGGAGGGGCGCUACUUUAUACUUAAGUAGGCAAUCCGCCCAACACCAGGUAACGCCUUCACGUUAAUGCCACAUCACCCACAUGGAUGUUGGUAGAGUCACCACCGUGGUGGUGUGGGCCCCAGUUACAAUGACUGGGAUAUAUAUAUUAAGGGCUCAGCAUCAAGCUUUGCAAAAUUUAAGCUUAAGCUUUUAGGUACGAUUGGUAAAAAGUCUUUAAAUGUUUGAAAUGUUGAUCGAUGGUUUGAGAGAAAAUCAAGACAUCAUCAAUAUUUGCCAAAAUCCUGACUUCAUGUCAAAUUUUGAAAAUAUGAAUGCAGAAUGCAGUUUUUGAAGCAAAUCCUUUUUAUUUAUUAUUUUAUAUAUAUAUAUAAAAGAAAGAAAAUAAGGAAAAAAAUAAUUAUUUUUUUUUUAGUGAUGAAUCACUUUUAGACACUAAAAAUUUCAAAAGUACCUUUUUAAUAAGCACGUGGGCACGCCUUAAAACUAUUUUACUUUAAAAAUUUCAGAAGUAUUUAUUAGUUAAGACGUAGGCACGCCUUAUUAAAAAUUUUCUUCUGACCAAAAUAAGCAAACACAUUAUUUAAUUUUUUUUUAUUCGAAUCAAAACUAAAAGAAGAUAAAACAAAAACCAAAAUAAACAAAUCACUUGGGUUGCCUCCCAAAAAGCGCCUUUGUUUUAUGUCUUUGGCUAGACACAUUUAUGCAUCAAUCUCCAUAAAUAGGACUCUCGAGAGCCAUUUCCUCCACAAUAUUCACCGAAAAACCUUCAUAAAAAGGUUUUAAACGAUGACCAUUAACCUUAAAGACUUUAUCAGAGGUUGGACUCCGAAUCUCAACUGCACCAUGAGAAAAAACAUUAGUAACAAUAAAAGGUCCUACCCAACGAGAACGUAAUUUACCAGGAAAAAAUUUAAGUUUAGAAUGAAAAAGAAGAACUUUUUGACUAACAGAGAACUCCUUUCUCAAAAUCAUUCUGUCAUGAAAUGUCUUCGUCUUUUCCUUGUAAAAUCGCGAACUCUCAUAGGAUUCAUUUCUAAUCUCCUCCAACUCUUGCAGCUGCAACUUCCUCUGCUUUCCCGCUUCAUCCAUCCGCAUAUUGCAUUGCUUAACCGCCCAGUAUGCUCUGUGCUCAAGUUCUACAGGUAAAUGACAAGGCUUACCAAAUACUAAACGAUAAGGAGACAUACCUAUGGGAGUUUUGUAAGCGGUGCAAUUCUCCCAUAAUGCAUCAUCUAAUCGCAAACUCCAAUCCUUUUGAUUUGGACUAACUGUCUUUUCAAGAAUAGACUUGAUUUCUCUGUUUGAUAUCUCAGCUUGUCCACUUGUCUGUGGAUGAUAGGCGGUAGACACUUGGUGGGUAACAUGAUAUCUUUUGAACAAAGCUUCCACCACUCGAUUACAGAAAUGAGUGCCUCUAUCACUUAUCAUCGCUCUUGGUACACCAAACCUGGCAAAAAUAUUAGACUUGACAAAAUCUACAACAACUUUAGCAUUGUCAGUCCGGGUGGCCUUAGCCUCUACCCACUUAGAAACGUAAUCCACUGCUAAAAGAAUGUAAGCAUUGCCAAAAGAUGAGGGAAAAUGUCCCAUAAAAUCAAUGCCCCACAUAUCAAAUAUUUCACAUACAAGAAUAGGGGUAAGUGGCAUUUGAUUUCUAUGACUUAAAUUACCAGUCUUUUGACAAUUCUCACACGACUUACAAAACAUGUAUGACAAUCCUCAAGCCGGGAAAGCUUGGAGGCGUGGACGGAGGCGAGGUUGGCCGAACCACGUAAAAAUCUCUAUGUUUGAAUCCCUCUUCCCUUAUCUUUUUAUAUUGUGAUCAACUUAAUUGUUAUUGCUUUGAAUUUGGAUUAUAUUUGCAUUAAGUUUUUCUUUAUAAAUUGAAUAGUUUUUAGAAUCCCAAUUCACCCCCCUCUUGGGUUGCAUACUUGUAUUUCAAUUGGUAUCAGAGCCUUGUUCUCUUGUUAAGACUUAAUCGUCUAGAGUAAAAGAUCCAUGGCAACCCUAAAUGACUCAACCUUUAGAGAAGGGCAAUCUACAACUUGACCACCAUUCUUUGAUGGAAAUGACUAUGCUUAUUGGAAAACUAGAAUGAGAAUCUACUUGCAAGCCUUAGAUUAUGAAAUUUGGGAAGUUGUUUGUGACGGUCCAUUCAUGCCUAUGUUUAAAGAUGAAGUAGGAGAUGAUAUUCCUAAACCAUCAAGUCAAUGGAGUGAGUUAGAAAAGAGAAAAAUGUCUCUAAACUCCAAGGCUAUGAAUCUUUGUUUUGUGCCCUUGAUAAGAAAGAAUUCCAUAGAGUAUCUAGUUGUGAAAGUGCACAAGAGAUAUGGAACAAACUUGAAGUUGUCUAUGAAGGGACAAAUCAAGUAAAAGAGUCUAAAAUCAGUAGAUACACUCGUCAAUAUGAGCUGUUCCAAAUGGAACAAAAUGAAAAUGUGUAUUCUAUGUAUACUAGAUUCACGGACAUAGUGAACACCCUAGGUGCCUUAGGGAAAACCUUCUUAAAUAGUGAGAAAGUUAAGAAAAUCAUUAGGUCACUUCCAAAAGAAUGGAGACCUAAAUGAACCGCCAUUGAAGAGGCCAAAGAUUUAAAUACUUUACCUCUUGAUGAUUUAAUUGGUUCUCUUAUUUCAUAUGAAGAGGAUUUAGCUGCAGAAAAAGGACAUGAGGAGAAGAAGAAAAGCAUUGCUCUCAAAGCUUCAAAAUAUGAGAGUGAUGGGGAAAGUGAACCGGAUGAUGAAGAGCUAGCCAUGCUAGCAAGGAGGUUCAGAAAAUUCUUCAAGAAAACCAGAGAGAGAAGAAAUUUCAGAAACUUCAAGAACUAUAGGGAGAAGAAGGAGGCAAUUACAUGCUAUGAAUGCAAGAAGCCUGGACAUAUAAGAUCGGAGUGCCCACUUAUCAACAAACUUAAGAAGAAAGCAAUGGUUGCAACUUGGGAUAAUAGUGAGGAAGAAUCAAGUGAUGAAGAAGGAUCGCAAGAAGUAUCAAACCUAGCACUCAUGGCAAUAGGAGGGGAUGAUGAUCUCAAUGAGGUAAGUGAUCCUACCUAUGAUGAAUUGUAUGAUGCUUUCAAAGAUUUGCAUAAUGAGUUAAUGAAGAUUGGUAAAAAGAACGUAUGUCUUAAAAAGGAAAUGGUAAAGCUUAAAAAUGAAAAUGAAUCUCUAAAUGCAAGAAUUGUAUGCCUAGAAGUAGGGAACAAAACAUUGCAUGAUGAAAUUGCAUUAUCAAAUGAGAAACCUAGCAUCUUACAUGAGCAUUUAGAAUCACACAUAGAUGAGUUGAAAAAUGAGAACGAAAUGCUCAAGAAAAAGAGUAAUGAAUUGAAUGAAAUUGUUUUGAAAUUUACAAAUGGGCAAAAGAUGUUGGAUAAUAUGCUUAACUCACAAAAAUGUGUUUUUGAUAAAGGAGGACUUGGGUAUAAGCCUAAUUUGAAGCAAAAGUAUUAUAAGAAUUAUUUUGUUAAAGCUACCUCCACAAAUGAUCAUAAGAUUGUAUGUUAUUAUUGUAAUCAAAAUGGUCACAUGAAAUAUAGAUGUCCCGUGAAAAGGAAUGCAUAUUAUGGUGUCAAAUGCAUUUGGGUUCCAAAAGGAACUGUUGCUAACUCUCAAGGACCCAAAAAGCUUUGGGUACCUAAAACUUGAGAUUUUUUCUUGUAGGGCUUGAAGAAGAAGAAAAAUAAAUGGUACUUGGACAGCGGUUGUUCAAGGCACAUGACCGGAAACUAUGCAUGGUUCUCAAGCUUCACCAAAAUUGAAAAUGGUGGAGACGUAUCUUUUGGAGACAACUCAAAAGGAAAAAUUCUUGGAAUUGGAAAUGUUGGUAAAGUCUCUUCAACUCUAAUUGAGAAUGUAUGUUUGGUUGAGAACUUGAAACACAACUUAAUUAGCAUUAGUCAAUUAUGUGACAAAGGUUAUAAAGUUAUCUUUGAUAAAUUUAGUUGUGUUAUUGAGAACUCAUGUGAUGGCAAAACCUUGUUUGUUGGUAAUAGAUGUGGUAAUGUUUAUACCAUUGACAUAGAAUGUGCAUCUACUCUUGAUAAAUGUUUUUCCGCAUUACAUGAUGAUAGUUGGCUAUGGCAUAGAAGAUUAGGACAUGCAAGUAUGGAUUUGAUUUUGAAAAUUUCGAAAAAUGAUUUAGUUAAAGGUCUUCCGAAAAUUGGUUUUCAAAAGGAUAAGAUUUGUGAAGCUUGUCAAUUUGGAAAAAAAUCAAAACCUCUUUCAAAAACAAAAACCAUAUCUCUACUUCAAAACCUCUUAAACUUCUUCACAUAGAUCUAUUUGGACCAUCUAGAUAUGCUAGUCUAAAUGGCAAAUAUCAUGCAUUUGUGAUAAUGGAUGAUUAUUCUAGAUAUACAUGGGUAUUAUUCUUAGCCAAUAAGGAUAAUGCUCUUGAUGCUUUUAAAGUGCUUUAUAAGAAAUUACAAAAUGAAAAAGGGUGUGACAUUAUAUGCAUUAGGAGUGAUCAUGGAGGAGAAUUUGAAAAUCAUGCAUUUGAGAACUUUUGCAAUAAUCUUGGCAUUGAGCAUCAAUUUUCAUCACCUAGGACUCCACAACAAAAUGGAGUUGUUGAGAGAAAGAAUAGGUCUAUUCAAGAAAUGGCUAGGACCAUGUUAAAUGAAAAUGCAUUACCUAAAUAUUUUUGGGCCGAAGCCGUCAACACCGCUUGCUAUGUUUUAAAUCGGGUGUUGAUUAGACCUCAUCUCAAUAAAACUCCCUAUGAGCUUUGAAAAGAUAGAAAACCCAACAUUGGCUAUUUCAAAGUUUUUGGAUGCAAAUGUUUUAUUUUAAACACAAAAGAUAAUCUUGGUAAAUUUGAUCCAAAAUCUGAUGUUGGCAUCUUUCUUGGGUAUUCAAACUCAAGUAAAGCUUAUAGAGUUUAUAAUAAAAGAACUUUAGUUGUGGAAGAAUCCAUGCAUGUUACGUUUGAUGAGUCUAAGCCCUUCUCUACGGAGAAAGGAGUUGCUAAUGAUGAUGCAGAUGGAGACUUACAAGAGGAAUCAUCAAAAGAGAUUCAAGAAAAUGCACCAUAAGAAAAUCAAGAGGAUAGACAAGAAGAACAAACCAAUACGGAGCUGGAGCAACAAGAAGGUAUUUCUCAAACACUCCCCAAGGAGUGGAGGUAUGUCUCUUCUCAUCCUAAAGAUGUAAUUUUAGGAGAUCCCUCACGAGGUGUUACAACUAGAUCAUCUCUUAAGAAUACUUGUGAGCAUAAUGCAUUUAUCUCUCAAAUUGAACCCAAAUCCUUUGCGGAUGCGGAAAAUGAUGAAUCUUGGAUUAUGGCAAUGCAAGAGGAGUUAAAUCAAUUUGAAAGAAACAAUGUGUGGGAAUUAGUUCCUAAACCGAAACAUCAAUCUGUCAUAGGCACUAAAUGGGUAUUUAGAAAUAAGAUAGAUGAAUCCGGGUUGGUUGUAAGAAAUAAAGCUAGAUUAGUGGCUCAAGGUUACAACCAAGAAGAAGGAAUUGAUUUUGAUGAAACUUUUGCACCUGUAGUAAGGUUAGAAUCCAUUAGGAUGUUGUUAGCAUAUGCAUGUCAGAAGGAUUUUAUUUUAUAUCAAAUGGAUGUCAAGAGUGCUUUCUUAAAUGGAUAUAUUAUGGAGGAAGUUUAUGUGAAACAACCUCCUGGUUUUGAAAAUGAAAAAUUUCCAAAUCAUGUUUAUAAGUUGCUUAAAGUCUUGUAUGGAUUAAAACAAGCACCUAGAGCAUGGUAUGAUAGACUUAAAAAUUUUUUGCUAGAAAAUGAUUUUUCUAUGGGUAAAGCGGAUACUACUCUAUUUGUUAAGCAUAAGAACCAAGACAUACUUAUUGUUCAAAUUUAUGUUGAUGAUAUUAUUUUUGGUUCUACUAAUGAGUUGUUGUGUAAAGAAUUUUCAUCGUGUAUGAGCAAAGAAUUUGAGAUGAGUAUGAUGGGAGAGUUGAAGUACUUCCUUGGACUUCAAAUCAAACAAAACGAGGAAGAAAUUUUCAUAAAUCAAGCCAAGUACAUAAAAGAUCUACUCAAACGAUUCGGCAUUGAUGACUCAAAGACCAAGAAUACACUAAUGAGCACAACAACCAAGCUGGACAAAGAUGAAAAAGGCAAAGAAGUUGAUAUCAAAAUGUAUCGAGGUAUGAUCGGAUCCCUACUUUAUUUGACUGCAAGUAGACCCGAUAUCAUGUUUAAUGUAUGUUUGUGUGCAAGAUUUCAGUCAUGUCCCAAGGAAUCUCAUUUGCUUGCUGUUAAAAGAAUUUUUCAUUAUUUGAGUGGAACCAUAGAUAUUGGCCUUUGGUAUCCUAGGGGAACUCAUAUAGAUUUAACAUGUUAUUCGGAUGCGGACUUUGCCGGUUAUAAAGUAGAUAGGAAGAGCACUAGUGGUACUUGCUAUAUUCUAGGACACUCUUUUGUUUCAUGGUUUAGCAAGAAACAAAAUUCUGUCGCAUUUUCAACUACCGAGGCUGAAUAUAUAGCUGCCGGAAGUUGUUGUGCACAAGCACUUUGGAUGAAACAAACACUUAGAGAUUAUGGCAUUAAUCUUGAACAAAUUCCUAUUAAGUGUGAUAAUACUAAUGCUAUAAAUCUUUCAAAGAAUCCCAUUCAACACUCUCGAACCAAGCAUAUAGAAAUAAGACAUCAUUUCUUGAGAGAUCAUGUUCAAAAGAGAGACAUUGCAUUAGAGUUUAUUUCUACGGAAAAACAACUUGCCGAUAUUUUUACAAAACCACUUUGUGAAGAACAAUUUUCCAAAAUUCGGCAUGAACUUGGGAUGAUGAAAUUUUCACAUUAACAUCUUCAUUCAUGCUAUUGAGUGUAUUAACAUUGAUUGAUCUAUGACUUGAUGCUUUAAUAUCUAUGAAAUGCUCAAUCGUAAUAUACAUGUGAUGUGUAUGUAUAAUUGAAAAUGUAUGAAUUAAUUUUGCAAUACAUAUAUAUGUUCAUGAAUUAUGCAUUGAAAUGGCACUCAAAUCAUUUUGGAUCAAUAAAAUGAUCUUGAAAUGUAUUAAUAAGUAGCCAAAUAUCAAAAUACAUGUGCAAAAUCAUAAAUUGUAGAAAACGGAUUGUCGUUAUUUCAAUAAACGGCUAACCGUUUUGGGCAGAAACAAUGGAAAGUUUUCUGGGCGCUAUCGGUUCGCCGAUAACUAUCUAUCGGCUCACCCUCCUAAUACAAAAUUUUGAGGAGACUCCCUAGACCCUAUCGGCUCGCCGUUUUGAUGAAAUAUUUUAGAGGACUCUCUGGACUCUGUCGGCUCGCCGUUUUGAUGAAAUAUUUUAGAGGACUCUCUGGACUCUGUCGGCUCGCCGUUUUCUUUAUAACGGCUCGCCGUUAUCACGCGUUAAUUGAACAGUCCUUCGUCUUCCUCCUCAUUUCAGUUUCUCUUUCUCUCUCCCUCUCACUCCAACCCGUGACUGCACCAGUUCUCUCCUCUCAAUUCCAUCACUUUUCUUGUCAUUUUUCACCAAAUUGAAGGAUUACAAAUCAUUUUCAUCAUCUCUAGCAUCUUUUAACCGAUUAAAAUUCUUCUUUUUCUUCAAAAUUUGAAAAAUCUCUUUUUAAAACCCUAGAACCAGCCGAACCUCAUUUGCUCAAAUUUGACCUAAAUUUCUUCCUUUUUCCAACCACAUUUCCACCCACAAUCACUCUCUCAUCUCUCAAACUUCAUUUCCCCCGAUCUAUUUUCCUUCUAACACAUCCAUGGCGGAACGACCACAAAGGCGUGCUCAAACCAAGCACACUGCUCCACGACGUUCUAGUCCACCCAGGUCUCCUCCUCAAGACUUCGAGAGUCUUCAUUUUUCCGAUGCCACCUCUGCUCAGCGAUUUCGUGAGAAAUUCAUGGGUAAACCCGUAACUCCCUCUUUUUCUCUUAACAUUUCGGAGUUUUCGGAUAUUACUGUUUGUGGUCACUCCAUUGCUCAAAUGCUUAGUCAUUGGAAGCAAGCUUUAAGUAUUGAAGAACCAAUUUAUGAAAAUCUAGUUCGAGUCUUUUAUUCUAACAUAGAAUUCCCCUCUACUCGUCGUGACGAGCUUCAUACAUAUGUAGGAGGAAUUCGCAUUGAACUUGAUGAACCCGAAUUAUGUAGUAUUCUAGGAAUAGCUUAUGGAGGUUUAGAUCUGUACACCGCUAGGAAAGAACUAUCUUUUAGUGAUUUUCGUCAUGUGGAUGGUGUACGGAACAUUUGUCGUCGUCGGGAUCUUUCCGAUGACAUCUGCUCUCUGUCCUUUAGGUCUCAACUCCUCCCUUUUCAGAUUCGAAUACUUCACAUUAUUCUCCAACACAUGGUCACUCCUAGACAGGGUCACACUGAUGAGGUCACUAGGCUUGAUACUGGUCUAUUAAAUUCUCUUAUCCGUAGACGCCAUGUGAGCUUAUCCUACACUAUUCUGUGUCAUAUGAUGUCCACUCCUAAAGUCUCCAAUCGAUCUCUUCUUUAUGGCAGCAUCAUUACUAAAAUCUUGAACCACUUUCGAGUUCCUAUCAUCGAGCCUGUUUUUCUCGAGACUCGUAAGCUCGGACGAGAAAUUAUUUCUGCCAUCGGAUUCUUUAAGAAGCGUGGGAAAUGGGAGAAGACCACAUCCUCUAAAAACCCAGAGGAUGAUCGUAUGUUGAAUGAUGUCUACUCCGAGGAUGAGUUACCUGAUUUCUGCCUUGGGGCUAGACCGCAUGUUCCUCGCCGAGCAACAGCUGCAUCUUAGGAUGACGAGCCUACCGAGACUGCCGUCCCUCCUGCAGCAUCGGCUGUUCCUGAGGAUCGCUUCCAGCAGCUUCUCAACAGAGUGGAUACUCUGUCCCAGCAGCAGCAGCUUCGAUAUGAUUUUGCAACCUUUCGGAAGCAAAUUUCAAAUCAGCAGAUGGAGUUACUUGCGGGCCAGCAUCGCAUUCUCGACUACUUUGGAUAUGACCCCGGCAGCUCGUCUUCACAGCCUCCAUCUUAGCUUUUCUGCCCCUCUGAUAUUCGCACAGACAUUUCUCAUUUCAUGUUAUUUGCCUUAUGCAUAUGAUGUUAUUUGUUUUGUGUUUAUGCUUCUGAUAUCUCAUGUUAGACAUGUGCACUUGAUUUAUGUUUGAGUUGGCCUUGGUAUUAUAUUGUUUAUCUUGCUCAUUAUGGAAGUGUGAAAUUGUUGGUAUGGAGAUUGGUUGAUAUGGUGGCAUAUUUAUAUGGAAGUGUUUUUUUCUUUUUAACUCUGUGUAUUGUUGAGGUAAUGCUUAUAUUUAAGGGGAGAUUCGGCCAAAGUUUUUUCAAGCAUAAGUCAUUCCUCAUGCCUCUUUCUUUUUUAUGAUGAAGGGGGAGAUAAUUGGCAUUGGCAUAAAAUUAUUUAUUUCUUCCAAUCAAUCUGUUUUAAACUUGUUUGAGAUUAAAGUUAAAUGAAUUUUUUAAGGGAGAUUAACAAGUCUUUCAAAAUCUCACUUAGGGAGAGCUCAUAUUUAGGGGGAGCAAAAUUACACAAGUAUUUUCUUGAAAAGUUUGUCAUCAUCAAAAAGGGGGAGAUUGCUAACAUAAAUAAUUCCUUAUUGAUUUUGAUGAUAACAAACAUGAUUAAGUUUGAUAAAUCUUUUGAGGACUCAACAUAUUUUUUCAUCUAUUUUUGACAAGUUUCAUAAAGUAUUGUUUAUAAAGAUUUGGAGUCAAAACAGUCAUCUUGCAAAAUAGAUCACUACAGCAAUUUUUGUGGAAAGCGGCGAUCCGAUAUGUGUAAUAAACAGCUCACCGAUUUCAAGCAGAAAUGGAGAUUAGCCUCUGGACGUAAACGGCACACCGACAUGUGUGAUAAACGGCUCGCCGAUAUCAACCAGUAGCCUCUGGACCUAAACGGCGAACCGAUAUGUUGCUAAACGGCUCGCUGAUAUCAACCAAAACUAAAGGGUAGUCUCUGGACCUAAACGGCGAACCGACAUGUGUGAUAAACAGCUCGCCGAUAUCAACCAGUAGCCUCUGGACCUAAACGGCGAUCUGACAAUUUGAAAAAUCAGCCCAACGGUCAUAUUGAUCAGUCAAACGGCGAUCCGACAUCUAGCUAACGGCGAUCCGUCCGUGUGCAGAAAGUUAAUAACGGCUAGUUUUCAACAGCAGCUAUAAAUAAGCUCAUUCAAAUUCAAACAAAAGCUUAUCACAACACGACUACUGAGCAUAUAAUUGAGAGUACAAUCUUCAUUGAGCUAUUAAAAUACAUUCUUGCUUCAUCUAUCUAUAUAUUGGGUAUCAUUGUGUAAUUUUAUAUAUUGUGAGAGGCAAAACAAUUUGUAAUCUUUUACUUUGAGUGAUUGUAAGUGUUGGGAUACACUUGGGUUAAGAGAUUGGGGAUAAUCUCUUGUUGUAAAGGUUUAUUGACACCUUGGAAGUCAAGUGUAAGCAUUUGAAGCCUUGGAGGCUUGCUUAGUGGAAUCCUCAAGCCUGGAAAGCUUGGAGGCAUGGACGUAGGCGAGGUUGGCCGAACCACGUAAAAAUCUCUGUGUUUGAAUCCCUCUUCCCUUAUCUUUUUAUAUUGUGAUCAACUUAAUUGUUAUUGCUUUAAAUUUGGAUUAUAUUUGCAUUAAGUUUUUCUUUAUAAAUUGAAUAAUUUUUAGAAUCCCAAUUCACCCCCCUCUUGGGUUGCAUACUUGUAUUUCAAGGACAUGUGAAGGUAGUCUUCUCCUGAUCCUCAGGCGCAACUGGUAUCUGAUGAAAACCUAAAUAGCUAUUAAGACAACAAAAGUGAGAUUUUCCUGCUAACCUUUCAAGCAUCUGAUCAAUAAAAGGAAUAGGAAAAUGAUCCUUUCUAGUAAGUGAAUUAAGCUUUCUAAAAUCAAUACAAACCCUCCACCCAUUCUGAACUCGGGUAGGUACUAACUCACCAUAAGAAUUCUCAAUAAUUGUUAUAUCAGUUUUCUUCGGUACUACUUGUACCAGACUUACCCAUUUGCUAUCCGAAAUUGGAUAGAUUAUACCUGCAUCAAGAAGUUUUAGAAUUUCUUUCUUCACUACUUCCAUUAUGAGUGGAUUCAAACGGAGUUGAGCUUGAAUUGAAGGUUUGGCAUCUUCCUUCAGCAGUAUUCUAUGCAUGCACGUAGACGGACUUAUCCUUUUAAUAUCUGCAAUUGUCCACCCAAUAGCCUUUUUGUAAUCCUUCAGCACUCUAAUAAGUUUCUCUUCCUCUAAAGUACUAAGCUUUGAAGAGAUGAUCACCGGAAGUGUCUCAUCCUCUCCUAGAAACAUGUACUUUAGAUAACUCGGCAAUGGUUUAAGCUUUAUUUUCGGUGCCUACAAAAUAGAUGGAAGAAGUUUUGCAUGAGAUGAAGGUAAUUCAAUAUUAGACAUAUGAUGAGUUAAAGUUCUCAAAGAAUUUAAUUCAUAAAUUGUCUCUUGCAAUAAAAUUUAAAACAAACUCAUUUUCAUCCUUUUGCAAUCUUUCGAGGCCCAAACUGUUAUUUAAAGCAGCUACCAAUGAAUCUUCAACAUUCAAAUAAAAAACUUCCUGCACUAUAGGGUUAAUAACAUCCAUAGAAAAUACCGAAUAUUCCUCACUGGGAUAUUUCAGGGCAUCAUACAUAUUGAAUUCUAUAACCUCUCCAUCAAACUCCAUAGUAAAAGUCCCUUUAUGUAUAUCCAUUUUAGUUCUAGCAGUCUUAAGAAAAGGUUUUCCUAGCAAAAUUGGGACAUAAUUAGAGGAGUUAUCCUGUUCCAUAUCAAGUACAUAAAAAUCAGCAGGAAAAACCAACUUAUUAACUUGUACUAAGACAUCCUCUAAUACCCCAUCACCAUAUGUAGUAGACCUAUCAGCUAGUUGAAUUAUCACGCCAAUUUCUUUUAAUGCACCAACAUUUAAAGAUGAAUAAAUAGAAUGAGGCAUGACAUUAAUAGAAGCUCCUAGAUCUAACAUAGCCUUUUCAACUCUAACACUACCAAUUUUGCAAGGAAUAGUAAACAUACCUGGAUCCUUGCACUUAGGAGGUAGUUUCUUUUAGAGAACUGCGGAAACAUUCACUCCCAUGUGAACUCUUUCAUCUCCUCUUAAUUUUCUCUUGGAGGUGCAUAGUUCCUUAAGGAAUUUAGCAUAUCGAGGUAUUUGUUUUAUAGCAUCUAAUAAGGGAAUAUUUACCUCAACCUUGCGAAAUGUCUCAAGGUUGUCUUUCUCUUGUUCCUCCUUCUUGGAUUUUGCAAACCGACUUGGAAAAGGAGGAGGUAUCACAAUAGGUAGGGGUUUCGCUCUGGUGGGUUGCGCAUCUUGAGAUUUAGGCAUCAAUUCAUUCUUCUCAAGCUCAUCUUCUACAUGCUUUGUCACUUUCUUACUAGGCUCUUGCAACUCCUUCCUACUUCUAAGGAUGAUGGCACUAGCAUUUUACUUUGGAUUCACCUCAGAUUGUGAAAGCAACCUCCCUGAUACUUGAGACUCUAGACGGCUCAUCGUAGUUGCCAAUUGACUCACUUGGCUCUCCAAAUUCUGAAUGCUUGUUGUGGUUGGCUACUGAAAUUGUUGAGCGUUAGUCGCAAGUGAUUUAACAAUUUCUUCAAGAGAUAUACCUGACUUGGAGUUUGAUUGUGGAGGUGCUGGUUGUCUUGGUGGAUAUUGUUGUAGGAAUCCUGACGGCCUAACUCCAUAGCUGAAGUUGGGGUGAUCCUUCCAUCCCGGAUUGUAUGUUUGUGCAUGAGGAUCAUACCUCCUCUGAGGCAUGCCUGGAAAUCCUCCAACUGCAUUGGCUUGUUCAACGGGUUCUUCUUGAAGUGUAGGAUACAUAUCAGUUGAAUGACCUAUAUUGGAACAAAUGCCACAAGUCUUUACCUGUUGCACAUUACCUAAAACAAACUUUUCCAUAAGAGAAGUAAGUUUAUCUAAACGUUGUUCAACAGAAGAAAUAUUUACCUCAUUCACCAUUCUUGAAGUGGCGUCUUGCCUGCUGCCAAAUGAUUGUGCAUUGGCAGCCAUAUUUGAGAUCAACUCCCUUACUUGAGUUAGAGUCUUGUUCACCAACACACCUCCACUAGCAGUAUCUAUCAUACUCCUAUUCAUUAAUGACAGUCCUUCGUAAAAAUAUUGAAUAAGAAGUUGAUCAGAAAUCUAAUACUGAGGACAGCUGGCACACAAUUGUUUGAAUCGCUCCCAAUACUCAUACAAAGUCUCCCCAGGAAGUUGUCUAAUCCCACAAAUAUCUUUUCUGAUGUUGGCAACUCUUGAAGCAGGAAAGUACUUCUCGAGGAACUGCUUCUUCAAACCAUUCCAUGUUGUAAUCGAUCCAGGAGGCAAGUAGUACAACCAGUCUUUAGCUAGUCCAUCUAAAGAGAAAGGAAAAGCACGCAACUUAAUCUGCUCUUCAGUCACGCCUUGUGGUCUCAUACUUGAACAUACAACAUGAAACUCCUCGAGAUGUUUAUGAGGAUCUUCACUUGCAAAACCAUGAAACUUGGGUAAUAAAUGAAUAAGACCAGACUUUAAUUCAAAAUUUACCUCCAAAUCUACAUAUUGAAUGUAGAGUGGUUGCUGAUUCAAGUCUAGUUCAGCUAACUCUCUAAGAGUUCUUUCUACAGGUGCAGCUCUAUCCAUCACUUGUUCUUCUGAAUCGCUAGAUGAUUAAACAAAAUCAGGCACCGUAUCUGUUUCAGAAAGCAAAGGUGACGAGGAUCGUUGCUUAGCUCGCUUCGUCUGCUGUCUCAGCUGGCUAGCUGUCUUCUCAAUUUGAGGAUCAAACGAAAGUGUACCUGUACGAGAAGAACGAACCAUACACUAAGUAAAACGUAAAAAGGAUUAAAUAAAUUACACCAAUCUCUGGCAACGGCGCCAAAAUUUGAUGGUUGUCGAAGCCAACAAAAAUAAAUACCUACUCUAAAUAAAUUGUGUAUAGUGAUUGAGCAGGGUCGUGUCCACAGAGAUCGGUAAUUAUUUAAAUCCUUUGAAACGUAAAACGUAAAAUGGAGGAAUUGUUGACAUUAAUAAAAAUCAAAUUAAAAUAACAAGAAUGCAAAUUAAAGUUGUAAUUCAAAUUAGAGAAAGCUCUGGUUGAAGGAAUUAACUCAGCUUGAUUCGACUACUGAUCAUUAAUUCAAAUAUAGAUUAUUAUUACUUAUGAAUAGACCGGUUAUAGCUACUGAGACCCUCUAAUAGCCAAUCUCUCCUGAACUAGUCGAUAACCAAGGUAUGACCGUUGGUUAUUUCCCUAAUCAAUAGACAACCCCAGAUAUGAUCAUAGGAUUUAAUCAAUUGACAGCCUGAAAGACUAUAGAGACCCAAAUCCUAAUCAACACAUCCGAUGAUUCAUUUAAAUUAGAUUGUUUAUUCUCAUAACACAACUCACUGCUAUGUUAUUUGUCACAAACAUUAAAAUCUUCCUACGAUGAAUCCUUUAAUUGACAAUAGAUUAAAUUGAUAAUUAAAUAGUGGCCAAUUACGUAAUUAACAAACAUAAUCAUGAAAAUAAUUCAGAGAAUAAACAAAUACUCAAAAAGCAAUAAAACAAUUAAAGCAUAAGAAAGAACUCACAGUAGUGAUGAAUCAAAGCUUCAUUAUCCUUCAACCAGAAAAAUAGGUUUAGUUCUUCAUAGAGAGAAGAUAAAAGUUUAGAUCUAGGGUUUCUUUCUUUUUCUCCAAUCUCCCCUUUUUUUCACAAUAGAUUCCUCCCUUAAAUACUCUCUAUCUCUUCUCUUUUAUACUUCUAUUUAAAAUAAAAUACUAAUAUCUGAAAUAUUAAAUUCGUAAUUACACAAAUAACCAAAAAUACAAAACACGUUAAACUAAAAACUGCAGGUCCGCAGUUGACAGCAUGCGCCCACGCCUUAUCAAUAAAGUUCUUUUGACGCUCAUAAUUUCUCCAAGAAAAUAAUCAUCCUUAAACAUCAUCUUAUAGCUCAAUUUUAUCACCAAUCAAUAGAAUUGCAUCUGUAAAAGUAAAACACAAGUAAAUAACUAUUAUUAAGUGCAAAACAUCGAUAUUAAGGGAAGUAAACAAUGAAAACUAGUGCAUAAGUUGCACUCUAACAAAUUCCCCCACUCCAAGAUGAUGCUUGUCUUCAAGCAUAUAACUCAAGAUUAAUCCCAAAUCUCCACUCAAUUCUCAUCUCAACUCAUCCAAAAAUAAUUUUAAGUAAGCAUACCUCAAGAAAUUAAGUCGAUCAACAUUCGAGAGACAAGGAUUUUUAAAGCAUAGAAUCUCAUAAGAUAGAAUAAGAACAUUCAACCACCAAGAAGAUCCAUUCAAAAUUCAAGUGCAACAAGAUUUAAUAGCCCUCUCAAUGACUUCACUCCAUGCACUCAAAGUGUUUAGGGUAUCAUUUAUACACUCAAAUCAAAUCAAAGAAUGCUAUUACCAUAAGCUUGCUCAUAUAUCACAUCUCAAUCCACAAAAUAUGAAUAAAAUGAAAAAUCUAAGGGUCUUAAAAAGGUUGUAAUGGGGUUAAAUAGGUUAAAUGAAAAUGAAAGGUCUACGAAAGAAAAAGAGAUCAAAAUGAGAAUAAUGAACUCAUUGAAUGAACUUAUGAUAUUAAAAUGCUUAUUUCUAUUCAAGUCACCAAGAAUGUAAACAUUUUUUUUCGAUCUUUUUUUUUUCUUUUUCUUUUUCUUUUUUUUUUUUUUUUUUUUUUUUUUUUUUUUUUUUUCUUUUUUUUUCUUUUUCUUUUUCUUUUUUUCUUUUUUUUUGUUUUUUUUUUCGAAUCAAACAAAAGAAACGAACCUUGCACAAUUUAAUUCAAGCAUAAUGCUUGUUGAUCUAAUUGAGAAACUUUAAUACAAGGUAGAAAAAGCAACAAAAUAUAUCCACACAAUGAGUCCAAAAAUCUCCUUAAAUUGAGGCUCAAAAAGAAGAAAAAUGGUUAAGUAGACGGAGAGAAUUAGAUGGGUAAUGGUUAAGGCUCAAACAAAGAUAGCAAAUAAAGGUCUUCGGGUAGAGAAAAAAAAACGCGAGAAUAGAAAAAUGGAAAAGGGUUUGCCCUUAUCAUUUUAAUGCAUAAAAUGCCAUAAUGUGGCUUUAACAUGCAUAACAAAGCAAGUUCUAGAAUAAACAAACUAAGAUUGAUAUUCACAUAACAAAAAUAUUAGAGCAAAGUGGUUGCUCAUAGGCUCAAAUCCUCAUAAAGUUGGUAAAUUUGCCAUCAAAUCAUGUACACUCUUCAAAUGAAUCAACCAUCAAUAGUGGUAUAGAAUGAGAAGAAGGUAUAAGUGAUAUAUAAAAGGAAAGGUAAAAAUGAUAAGAAGUGAGAAAGAUGUAUGUAGUAAUAUGAAAAGUGAAAGAUAAAAUGUGAGUGAUGAUAGAGUAUGAUAGAAUAAAAAUAGAUGUAAAUAAUUUGAUAUAGAUGGGAAAAGAGUAGUGAGAAAGAAAAGAAAAGAAAAAAUAAUAUAUGAAGCAUACUAACUCCAAAAUCAUUUAAGGAUGAGUAGAGUGAAAAUACUACUUCCAGACAUCAAUAAUGCAAAAAUCCCUCCCCCACACCAAGAACUUACAUUGUCCCUAAUGUAAGAUAAUCAAAGCUCACAUAAAAAUUAAAGCGUAAGGAUAAAAGAUUAAAGACAAAAAAAACUUUCCUGAAUUGUGAGCUUUGAUCCACAUAACGUCCAUGGGCUUGGGGGAAAUGGUGGGAUAAAUCCCACACUCUCGAAGCAAUCAAUAAUGGUAUUAAUUCUUGAACCAGUGGAAAGCAAUUAAUUUUCUUCAUUUGUUUUCUUGCUUGGCUGUGAAACAGCCCAUUUGCGGCUGAACACAGAAUCUGUUUUUUGUUUCUUUGUUGUUUUUUGUGAAUAUUUGGCUUAAUUUACAAUUCAUGGCAUGUCUGAAAAUGGGUCGAUGAAUCUGUUAAAAAUUGGACUCAGAUCUAAAUCAGAUUUAUCCAUGAUACAAUCAAGAGGAUUCAACAUUUGAUUUUUAUUUUUCUUUUCGCCACCCCCGUAUGUAAUUUUGGUUGGAGGACUUGGUUGUUAGGAAUUGACAACUACUGAAUUUUUUUUUUCCUUUAAACAACAGAGGCCGCAAUUUCAAUUUGAAGACUUCGUUUAUAAGAAUUGACAAUGGUUGAUUCUUUAAAUAGAAGAUGCCUUGGAAUUCCGCGUCGUUGACAUGUAGUUGAUAUUUAAAACAUAUUGGAUGUUAGGGCUUAGAAUGUUUGAGGUCGGAAUUCUUAUUAAGAAAAUUCCUCUGCUGCUUGCAACAUAAUCGAAGCUGUAAGUCCUAUGCUAUGCAGUUCUCUUUAUUUUCAUUUUUGUUUUUGAAUUUUCAGAAUUAAUAUGAAGAAAAACAUCAUUUAUUUCCAAAACAGAACCAUUAUCAAGUUUCAUAUUUUUGUACAGGUAAACUUUGGUCUUUGAGAAAUAUUUGCGUCUACAACUCUUGAUUAAUUUUAGUUUUAGUUUAGUUUAGUUUUAUUUUUUUUCCCCUAAGGUGGAGAUGAGAUGAGAAACCUCAUUCACUAAAAACCAAAAACUUAGUUUUGUAAAGUUUUAUUUUUUUCCCCCUAAUGCUGGUGGUCUUCCAUUAGCUCUGAAGGUUCUGGGCUCAUUUUUGUUUGGUAGAACUAUAGCUGAACAGGAAAGUGCACUACAAUGACUACAAAGAGGUCCUGAAAGUGAGAUUCUUCAUGUACUUCAAAUAAGUUUUGAUGGGUCAAAAGAAAAAGAAAAAAGAAUAUUUCUCAAUAUUGCAUGUUUCUAUGAGGGAAGUAUAGAGAUUAUAAGGGUGUUCAGAAUCUAAUCCGAUCCGCUCAAUCCGAUCCGUAUAAAUCCGAUCUGUGGAUUGGUGGAUUGGAUAUGGAUUGAAAAUUUAAAAAUCCGCAGUCGAUGGAUUGGAUAUGGAUUUACUUAUGUAAAUCCGCAAAAAUACGUGAAUCCGUCAAUAUAUAUAUAUAUAUAUAUAAUUUAAUUUAAAAAAUUAUAAAUGUGAGAUUACAUAGUUACAUAAGCACUAUAACAUAUCUUAGCCAUUACCUAAUAAUAAUAUAAAAUGAAAAAUAAUUAAAUAAUCAAAUACACAAAUAUAACUUGUAAAAAUUGUAAAACAAAAUAAAAACAAAGUCACAUGUACUAGCAAAAGUAAAGUAACAUAACGCCAAGUCACCAACAAUUUGCAAAGUCACCCAAAAACAAAAUAAUAUGACGCCAAGUCACUAACAAUUUGCAAAGUCACCCAAAAAUAAAGUAACAUGACGCCAAGUCAUCAACAAUUUGCAAACAAAAAACCCUAAGCUUCCAUGCCGUCACACACACUAGCAACACUCAAUACUGGUUGGAUAUACUCUCGACACAGAUUUGAAGGACAUCGGCCGCGCGAUUCCGGCAAGAGCAAGCCAUCUUCUUUCCCAAGUCCAUCGAGCCACUUCACAUUCACUGGUUCCAGCUGAACAAUUGCACUAUCACAACCUUCAAGAUCGCCACCCGUACAGCUUCUCCUGGUUCCCAUCAUGGACGGCUCCGUAAUCACCACUUUUCGACAAGCGCAUCAGCCCUGGUAAAGGAUCAGAUUGUGUUUGGUUUCUAAAACUUCGCCAUUUCAAUUAAUUGUGGCUUUAUUUGAAUAAUUAAUUUCGGUGUUAUAUUAACAUAUUAUUGUAACUUUAUUUGAACAAUUAAGCUUGGUGUGUUAUAUUUUGAAACUUUGAACGUGUUGUUGUAGCUUUAUUUGAAUAAUUAGUCUCGAUAUGUUAUAUUUUAAAAUUUUAAAUGUAUUAUUUUAGGUUUAUUUAAACAAUUAAUUUAUUUAAAUUUUAUUCAAUUUUAAAUUUAAUUGGUAGCAAAAUUAUUUUUAUAUUAGUUUUUUUUAUUUCAUUAGUUGGAGAGAACUAAAAAUUUUUAAUUCGAAAACUAAUGCACAAAAUGAUGGAUUGAAUAUGGAUUGAGUCAAAUCUGUAUUCAAUCCGUAGACGUGUGGAUUGGAUAUGAAUUGAGUCAAAUCCGCAUCUGAUCUGCAGAUAUAUGGAUUAGAUUUGGAUUGAAUUUUAUCAAUCCAUGGAUUGGAUUGGAUUGAAAAAUUAUAAUUCACAAAAUGAUGGAUCGGAUAUGGAUCAAUGUCCAAUCUGUAAAAUCCGAUCCGCGAACAGCCCUAAGAGAUUAUGUGAAAAAAAAUCUCAAAUAUUGUGAUUUUGACCCAAUUAUCAAAAUUGUUGGUCCUAUUGAAAAACCUCUAUUAACCGUAGAUGAUUUCAGCGGACUGUGGAUGCAUGAGUAGUUACAAGAAAUGGGGUAGACAAAUUGUUAGGAGGCAAUUCCCUCAGGAGCCUGGAAGCUGCAUUAGAUUGUGGGAGGAAGCAGAUGUUUGCCAUGUAUUAUUACAAAACACAAGUAAAUGUUCAGUUAGGUUGAAAACUUGCAAUUUUGGGAUCAUGAUCACUUAUUUAACUAGUUAACUCUUUGCAUAGUUUUAUCAAUAUUUUCUUUCUUUAAUUUUUUUCCCCACUUAUUUUUGGUUAUAAUGUUUAGGAAACUGAUGUAGUUGAAGCAUCAUAUUUGAUUGCUUUAGCAACAAUGUCAGUGAUAAAGCCUUUCUAAUGUGACCAGUCAAACUUCACAAGAGUAGCAAAUUUAGAGGAGCUGAUUUCUGAAGGAUUUACAAGUUUGCAUGAGAUUCACUCAUUUUUUCUGCUUCAAAGAAGCUGCUUUAAAAUUCUACAAUUUAAAUAAAAAAAUUCUUAAAAGAUUAUAAUGGAAUUUUUCCAAAAGAGUAAAUUCUUAGAAGAUUUUAAUGGAAUUAUUCCCCGAGAAUAAAUUCUUAAAAGAUUAAAGUGGAAUUUUUCUAAAAGAAUAUGUUAUUCACUUUGCCCUAUAAAAUGCAAUUACAUUGAAGACUCCCUAAAUAAAAUGCUUAAAGAAACCUUUGCUUUUGGCAAAAUCAUGCCGACCAUAUCUUUGAUUCCAUGCGCCACUAAAGACCGGAAUCAUCUUCAUAAUUGCUUUCGGCAUACACUUUUGAUUAAACUUUUUCUCUUUGAGAAAUCAAUUAGAACACAUAAAAAUCCUCUCACUAAUUAAUUUCUUUGAAACAAACUUAAUGAGAAAUUUAAGUAAAAAUUUAUCAUCUUUGACUGCUUCCAAUAAGCUCAGACAUGUAAGUUAAUUUUCUUACAUUUUCAAUUUUACUUGUAUCUCGGGGUUUGCUUUACAUGAAUUUAUUUGAACUGCACUAGCGCCUUCUGAUGUAAUGGCUGCUGUUUGUUCACCACCAGUUAACAUUACAAAUUAAAUCAAUUUUAGGUGUGACAAAAAAGCUGCAAAUCGAAGAAAGGCUGAAAGGGCACAUACUAUGUUAGAGGCUAGAUUUAGAUCUAAUUAUAAGGGAAGCCUUUCUAACACUCAGGUUUUAGAUUCAAGCUCUACUUUAUGUGCAUGCCACAAAUUUGAAAAAAAAUGUGCAUACUAAUUUUUUUUGGGAGAACAAUGGAAUUGAAUAAUAAAUGCACUAUAAAAAAUUUACUUGGUUGUGAUUUUCAUAGAUGGAUUAAAAAAAUAAAUUUUAUUCAAAACUAUGUCCAAUUUAAUUAUUUACAUUUUUGUCAUUUACAACCAAACAUAUAAAUUGUUUUUAAAACUCACAGAACUUUUGAAGAUUGUAUCAAACGUUUAAUUAGUUAUUUUUAUAGUUGACUAUUUUUACAAUACAAUUAGCAGUAAUUAUUUUAAAAACUAUAAUAUUAACAAAAUAAUCCAACAUCUUUUAAGGACCCAGCUGAAAUUUAACUAAUAAAGGUUUACCAUUAGUAUAGAUUGCCGGUAGUUUUAACUAUUUUUAAUUAAUUAUUCCAUUCCAUUUUAAUGGAAUCCAAUGGCUUCAACAUGGGUGAUGGGCAGAGUGGCAUGGACGCGUAAUCAAUUGAAAAGCCAGAUAUUCUUUGCUUAGAUUCCUUGAAGCUUCCGGCAAGCUCGAUGCUAACUCCAUCGUGUGAGUAAUCGAUUGAAAAGCCAGAUAAUUUUCAUUUAGAUUCCUUGAAGCUUCCAGGAAGGUUGAUGGUAACUUCAUCAUUAGAGUAAACAGAGACAAUUUUUUUGAAUUGUUAAGAAAGUCGCUGUUUGACCAAGACUUGCUUUUGGAAAUACACACAUUGCAACGCAACUGAGGCGCUGGAAACCGUGUAAUCGCUUUAAUUUUCCAAAUUAAACAAAAAAACCUCUGCCUUCCCUUGAAAGAUAGGUGCGCACGUAAAAUUCUAUCAUGUCGUAAUUAAUUGCGACAUUAAUAAGUAAUGAAUAUAAUUUUUUAUAAUUUAUACAUACAACCAGUACAUAAAAAGUAAAAUAAAUAAAUUAAUAUAAGUGUGGUUAAUUGAUAUUUUAAAAUUAAAAAUAAAAAAUACUUGUAAAAAUAAUAUAAAAUUUAUAAAUCAACGUUAAACUUUAACUAGACUAGAAAAUAGUUUAUUUCUUUAAUUUAAUUAAGAAAAAAAUCGCUAAUUAAGAAAAAAAUCGCUCAUUAAUUGAAAAAAAAUUGUAUUAAAACGACUAGAAUAAAUUUUAUUGAAUUGGUUUAACCAUGAAUUCUAUAUUUAUCCUAGGACAUUUAUAAUUUUUUUUUCAUUUUCUAUCAUAAUAUUUGUUUACUACACAAGUUACUUAAGCAAAAUUAUUAUUAUUUUUUUUAAUGUGGAUCAAGCCAAAACAAAAUAAAAGUUAUUUUUAUAUUACUACAAAUAUAUGAUAUAUCAAUAAAAUUAUAUCUAAUUUGCAGUUUUAUAAAUAAUUUAUAUAGUUUCAAACUUUACUUCUUUUACUUAAAGAUCAUUUGGGAUUACUGUCUAAGAGGUUUAUAGAGGGAUGCAAAAUUACCUUAUCUUACAAAUAACUUUAAAAAACAUAAAAAGAGUUUUAUUCUUAAUAAAAUUUUACAUAUAUCGUAUUACAUAAGCCCAAAACUAUCAUGAUUCAAUUUAGAAACAAAAUCAGUUAAAUACAUAAGGUAGUCAUUAUUAUCAUUAUAUGAAUUUAUUUAUUUUACUUUCUAUUGAGAAGCUUUAUAUUCUUAUUACAUAAUUUAUGUUUUAUUUUAUAUUUAAUGUUGAUUUAUAAGUUUUAUAUUACAUUUAUAUGUUUUAUCUAAAUAAUUAAUAUUAAUUAUAAUAUGCACAAAUAUGUUUCACUGAUUAACUUAGCUUCUUUGAAGCAACACUUCAAUGAAAUUCAACAGGUAGCUGCCUGUGCAAUUAAUACACUCAAAGCUUUAAGAUUUAUUUUAAUUUUUAUCUUAUACAUGUUUCUCUCAAAUACAAGCUUUUAGCGCGGCAUGCAAAAUACACCCCGUUUAAAUCUAAUCACACCUCUCUAAUUUGCACAUUCUGGAUGUUUAGAACAGGAAAUAUAUAAAAUUGAAAGAAAGCUUUGAAUGUUUAAAUUAAUUUGUAUCGUAUCAACUCUUUAAUUUGCUUCUCUUUGAGGCUCUAAUUAAGAUUUGCUUGAGUAAAGGUCGGCAAACACACUCUCCAAUCAGAAUCUGAAAAACUUUUUAAUUAUAUUUUGGAAGUAAAUGAGAGGCUGUUAAUUAGUUUGUUUAGUUAAGAAGAAGAUCAUUAAUUUGUUGUUCAAUAAUUUUAUGCUAAAAGAAAUGAUCAUAGUAAUUAUAUUAUAUUAUAUUAUUUUCAUUUUUGUGCUGCCCAUAAUCUUGAAUGAAUCUUAUUGUUUGCAUGGUAUUUUACGCUCACUGGAUUUCACUUGAUUUAUUCUAAAUUUUUAGGAACAAAUUAAUAUGAUGGCUUCCACGAGCUUCCAAAAUGUCUCUCAUGGGGAAUAAGAUGCCUUCUUAAGCUUUAGAGGAGAAGACACCCGUAAAAGGUUCAUAGGUCAUCUCUAUACUGCUUUGAACAAUAAAAGAAUUUAGGUAUUCAGGGAUGACAAACAACUUGAGAAAGGAGGAUCCAUUUCACCAAUCUCCUUAAACCAAUUGAAGAAUCGAGAAUUUCAAUUAUUGUUCUCUCAAAAAAUUACGCUUCUUCCACUUGGUGCUUGGAUGAACUUCCUAAGAUUGUUGAAUGCAAAAAUAGAGAGGAUCAAAAUUUUCCAAUUUUUUAUGAAGUGGAACCAACUGUUGUAAGAAAACAAACAGCAAGUUUCGGAGAAGCUUUUGCUAAACAUGAAGAAUUUUUCAGGGAUAAUAUAGAAAAAGUGCAAAAGUGGAGACACGCUUUAAAGGAGGUGGCCAAUAUAUCAGGCUGGGAAUUGAAGGAUAGGUAAUCAUUCUUUUUUUCAACUAUUAAUUUUGUUUGUUUUGCAAGAUUAGUAACUACAAAACAGAUUUUAAUAAUCAUUCAACACUAUUUUUAAUUUAACAACUUCUAUUUAAUAUAUAUGUAUAUCGUAUGAUGUGUAGUAAAAGGGUUCCUCCUGUGAAUUGAAUAUCUUUAAAUUAUACUUUUACUUUUGAAAACCUUAAUUUACCUCCCAUUUUUGUUAAUAAUACAAAAACAUUUCAUCAACUCACCCCAUUUUUCCUUCUCUUUUGAACAAAAAUAGGGUAAUUGAGGUGUUCAGAAGGGAGUGAUUUGAAGAUAUUCAAAUCUAAAUGGAGAAUAAUCUAAAUUUUAUGAAUGAAUUAAUAUUUGCAAUCAAAGAGAUAUGGACAUUGAUAUGUUGAAUUAUUGGAUUUUGAACUUUUCAUGACUAAAAGCUUUUAUGUUGUGAUGCUUUGUGCUAUCAGUUUUGCAAAAAAAAAAAAAAAGUAAAAUAAAACUUUAUUCUUAGAUUAUUGCCCAAGCUUAGGCAUAUCAAUAUAAUGAUUUAAGCUUGUGAUUAUAAUUUUAGUCCAAAUUUAUUUACUAGAUUAAUCUAUCCCCGUCCUUGCUUGCAAACUGCUCUGUUUUGUGUCAUUUUCUAUUUAUUUUAAUAUAAUUUUCUUCUAUGAAUUGACUCUUGACCUAGAUUGCCAAAUACUAAUAAUAACAAUGGCAAUAAUCGCAAUACGAAUGAUAUCAAUAUCAUUACAUAUUUAGCUAAUCUAAUUGAAUUAAAUUGUCUUUUAAACUAACUCAUCCUGUUGUAGAAAGAAAUAAUAUAUAAAUUUUGAAAUUACCAAUCACAAUGCAACCCAGUCCAAUCCAAUUCUUAUUGGGUUGGGUUUGAAUUUCUCAUUCCAAUUGUUGUUGACUGAUGUAAUAAUAUCAUAUUAUUUAAUUAUAUGACUUCAAUUUGAUGAAAUGAAUAUUGCAUAGUUGGGAUUUUUUAUUCAUAAUAUGGAAUUGCUUUGUUACUACGUUCAUACUUACUUCAAUUUAACAACACCAAUCUUUUCUUGUUGUUUUCAAUCUGCAUCAAUGAGUCAGAAUUUAUUGAGGAAAUUGUCAAUGUCAUAUCUAGUAAAAUUCGUUCAGAACCGGAGAUUCUUAAGGAGCUAGUAGGAAUCGAAUCACGCUUGGAGCAACUGAGGUUUCUUAUGGGUAUGGGGUCUAAUGAUGUUCGUAUGAUCGGGAUAUGGGGCAUGGGAGGUCUAGGAAAGACAACUCUUGCAAGGGUUUUUUAUGACUUGAUGUCUCAUGAGUUUGAUGGGAGUAGUUUUCUUGCCGAUGUUAGAGAAAAAUCUGAAAAAGAAGGCAGUGAAAUCUCUUUACAAAAGCAGCUCCUUUCUGAUUUACUGAAGCUUUCAGAUUAUAGCAUACAGAAUGUCUACGAUGGUAUUAGCAUAAUUGGAAGUAGGCUGCAACGAAAAAAAGUUCUUCUCAUAAUUGAUGAUGUGGCUGAUGUUGAACAAUUACAAAGGUUAGUUGGAAGGCGUGAUUGGUUCGGUCCAGGCAGCAAGAUUCUAAUAACAACGAGAGAUAGACAAUUGUUGGUGGCGCAUGAAGUGGAUCAAGAGCAUAUUCUUGACCUUGAUGUACUAAAUAAGGAUGAAGCUCUUCAACUCUUUAGUAUGAAAGCUUUUAAAAGCCAUUAGCCUAUGGGAGAAUAUGUGGAGCUAUCUGAACGUGUUCUGGAGUAUGCUGGUGGUCUUCCAUUAGCUCUAAAAGUUUUGGGAUCCUUUCUAAUUGGUAGAUCUGCGGAUCUAUGGAGAAGUGCCCUAGAAAGACUGAAAAAAGAUCCUUCAAAUAAGAUUAUGAGUAUACUUCAAAUAAGUUUUGAAGGACUACAAGAUUCAGAGAAGAAAAUAUUUCUGGAUGUUGCAUGUUUCUUUAAAUGGUGGGAUAGAGAUUACGUGGCAGAAAUUCUAGAGGGAUGUGGUUUUUCCCCAGUCAUUGGGAUAGAAGUUCUUAUUGAAAAGUCUCUAUUAACUGUUGAUGGUUGCAACAUACUGCAUAUGCAUGAUUUGUUACAGGAAUUGGGACAACUGAUUGUUACGAGACAAUCCCCCGAAGAACCUGGGAAAUGUAGCGGAAUAUGGAGGGAAGAAGAAGUGCGCCAGGUGUUGACAAACAAUACGGUAAGUGAAUUAUUAAAUGGAAAACUUGUUGAUGCUUGCUACUUUAUUUUUCCCAAUUAUAUCUCUGACGAAUUUUCAACAUCUUUACAUUAUUGUUUUAGGGAGGUGAAGUAGUGGAAGGAAUAAUAGAUUAUUACUCUUCCUACUUUCCUGAAGAUAAGGUUUACUUAAGUGCAAGUGCUGAAGCAUUUUCGCUGAUGACCAACCUAAGACUGCUCAAAAUCAGUAAUGUGCAACUUUCUAGAGGACUAGAAUACCUCUCUAACAGGUUGCGAUUACUUGAUUGGCGUCGGUAUCCUUUGAAAUCUUUGCCAUCAAAUUUGCAAUUGGAUGAUAUUGUUGAAUUUAAAAUGCAUUACAGCUGCAUUGAAGAAUUAUGGAAAGGAAUCAAAGUAAGAUCAAUUUUUUUUGUCACUAAUUUAUAUUUUUCAGUGAAUAAUUGUUGAUAACAAUUUUAUUAUUAUAGUAGUAUAUGAAUUAAGAAAUAUCAUUUUAUCUCCUUUUUUGUUUUCAACAGCCUUUAAACAUGUUGAGAGUCUUGGAACUCAGCCAUUCGGAGAAUCUGAUUAAGACACUAGACUUCACAAAGGUCCCAAACUUAGAGGUGUUGGAUCUUGAAGGAUGUACAAGGUUGCGUGAAAUUCACCAGUCUUUGCUACGUCACAAUAAGCUGAUCUUGUUGAAUUUGAAAGGUUGUACAAGUCUUACAACUCUUCCGGGUGAGAUUUUUAUGGAAUCUCUUAAAACGCUUGUUCUAUCUGGUUGCUCAAAAUUGAAGAAAUUUCCGGACAUUGUAGGAGGUAUGGAGUGUCUGCAGGAACUUCGUUUAGAUGGAACUGAUAUCAAAGAACUGCCAGUAUCAAUUGAACUUAUGUCUGGCCUUGUUUCGUUGAAUUUGAAAGAUUGCAGAAAUCUCGCGAGUCUUCCAAUUACAAUAGGCAGUUUAGAAUGUCUACAAACGCUCGUGCUAUCUGGUUGCUCGAAAAUAGUGAAAUUUCCAGAGACUGUGAUAAGUGUGGUAGAUCUGUCAGAGCUCUUUUUAGAUGGAACUUCUAUCACAGAAGUGCCAUCAUCUAUAGAGCUUUUGACCAAACUUCAAUGGUUGAAUUUGAAUGACUGCAGAAGUCUCGUGAGACUUCCUAGCAGUAUAAAUGGUUUGAAAUCCCUCAAAACUUUGAAUCUCUCAGGCUGCUUCAAACUUGAAAAUGUGCCUGAGACGUUUGGGCAAGUAGAAAGUCUGGAAGAACUUGAUAUAAGUGGUACAGCUAUAAGGCAACCUCCAUCGUCGAUUUUUCUUAUGAAGAAUCUUAAAGAACUAUCUUGUCGUGGGUGCAAAGGAUCACCAUCAUCUGCAUCAUGGUUUCUGCGCUCUCCUAUCAAUUUGAUGCGAUGGAGUUCAGAUCCGGUGGCUUUGAGUUUGCCGUCUUCUCUGCCAGGUUUGUGUAGUUUAACGAAAUUGGAUAUCAGUGACUAUGACCUAGGGGAAGGAGCAAUCCCAAGUAGUAUUGGCGACUUAUGCUCAUUAGAAAAGUUAUGUUUGAGUAGAAACAGUUUUGUUUCGCUACCGGCAAGCAUCUACCGUCUUUCUAAUCUUCAGGAGAUUGAAUUAGAGGAAUGCAAAAUGCUUCAAACUCUUCCUCGACUUCCAGCCAGUAUACAAUGGAUUUUGUUAGAUGGUUGUGUGUCGUUGGAGACAUUAUCAGAUGUAUUAAAAUUAAACGAGCAUCGACUCCCGUUGUUAAGCCUUGAGUGUGUGGAUUGCUUGAAAUUGACUGGCAACUAUGAUUUGGCAACAUUAAAAAUUCUGAGGUCAGUCUCUCACUCUCACCUGUUCUAACAUUAUGCCUAAAACUUAUGCAAUAGAUGUUAUGUCUUUUUAUUUUGUUUAUUUACUCACUUUUUUUUUCCGUGGGGUUGCAGAAUAUGUCACUGUCAGACAAGUACUGUAGUAGAUGGCCUCAUGUUAGUUUCUUACACUGUCUCUCACCUGUUGCUAAAAUUAUGCCUAAAAAUUAUGCAUUGGUAUGGCUUAUAAAAUACAAUUACAUUGAAGCCGCCCUUGAUAAAAUACUAAACGAAAUCAUUGCUUUCCUCAACAUCAUGUCUACCAUAUCGUUGAUUUCAUGCACCACUAAAGAAGAUCAUGAUCGUUCUUCGUAAUUGCUUUCGGCAUACACUUUUGAUUACACUUUUUGUUUUUUAGAAAUUAAUUAGAACACAAAACAUUCCUUUCAUUGAUUUCUUUGAAAGAAAGUUAGGUCUUCUUUCAUAUCGAGAUACUGUAAUUUUUUAGUUUUAAAUUAUUAAAAAAAUUUAUAAUUAUAAGAUAAAAAUUAAUAAUAUAUAAUGAAUAUAAUUUUUAAAUAAUAAUUUUUACAAAAUUAAUAAAAAUAUAAUAAAUUUUUCAUUAUACAACUUAAUUUUCAGGAUAUAAUAGUUAAUAUUUAUUAAACACUUUAGUAUUGUAGUUUAAAAAUUAUAGCUUCCCAACCUCAAUUUCAAAUAAAACCUUAAUUAGAAGUUCAAGUAAAAAUUUAUGAUCUUUAUUGCUUCCAAUAAGCUCAAAAAUGCCAGUUAAUUUUCUUACAUUUUUAAUUUUACUCAUAUCUCAGCGUUUGCUUUGCAAGAAUAUUUGUCUUACAUAUUUAUGUAUUAUUUUUUUUCACAUAUAAAAUUCAAUUGAAUGAAUUUUAAGAGGAAAGUUUGUUCUCUUGGUUUUCUGCUCCUUCAAUUUGCUGGUUGUGUGCUGAUUAUGAUUAUUUAAGAACCAUUUACUGAUAGCACUUCAUUUCAAAUAAAAUUAAAAUGUCCAAUGUAUUAAAAUUUGUGAAAACUUUAUGCUCAAAAUCAUUAGGAGAAAAAUUAUUAUUUUAUCCAUUUUGAGUCCCCCGACAGAUUUUGAGGGAGAUUGGAAUCUUGUGUAAUUUGCUGUACGGAGUUAUGAUGCAUCUUUAUCGACUUUUCUGUUGACUCAACUUGAUUGACCUCUGAUUCUGAAUGCGACCUCACGUAGGUCCGUCCGCUGAAUACGGGUUUGACCCGAUAUCAACCCGCGUUUGGUUGGACCGCAGGAUGUGUGUGACGUGUCCUGUUGGCCGUUGAUCCGCGUGUGUUAGGUUACUGGGUGGCUGACUUUGUAUCCGGACCAUCAUUUUGAUCAUGGAACGCCGUCCAAGGGUUCUGAAGCUGCCACGUACUCCACUACUUCAACCCAUUGAUUUAAUCCAAUUUGGUGGAUCCAAUAGCAAUUCCCCCAUCUCUUUGAAAUGUAAAAGCAUCAUUUUAAGCUCCACCGGCCGUCGAUUUCGAGCGAGCGUACAAGUGCUAAGGCCAAAAAAUUUUAUCUUGGAGAAGAAUUGAGUGAGUGACUUCUUAUUUUUAUGUCCUUAAAAUUUAUUUUUUAAAAUUUAUUUUUAAACCCUAGAUUUUGGAGAAAUACUUUUCUUAAGGGUUAGAAGCAAAUGUUUUAAAUUGGAAUUUUAAUGAGUGCAAACUAUGUUAUUGUCAGACAUCAAGAAUCAAAUUAGCAUUUAUUUUAUUCUCUUGUCUUUAGCUCCAUCAAGUUCGUUGAUGCAAGGUCUUUGAGAUUGAAGGUGUUAAAUUCAAGACGGAUUCUCUCACAUCCAAUAUCAAUUUACUCUUAGAUUUUUCUUGUGAGCAGAUUUUGAUGCUUGAUUCACAUAGAAAAAAAAUUGUGAGGACUAUAAGGAUUUUUUUUUAAAUUAAAAACCACCUUAAGGUGGAGUGUGGGUUUAGGCGGGAACCUUCACUAGUAAAUUAAUAAAAUAAAAUAAAAUUCAUAUGGAGAGAGACAUAUGCCAAAACCUCGAAGUAUGGGAACAAAUACAUCCAAUAACAGGAAAAAUAACAAAAGCAAUGGAAGAUAGGACUAAUUAAUGCAACCGCCUAGAGAAUCGCUUCCAAUUCUUGCGGCUAGUAACUAAUGUGAAACCUUUCUUAGAACAGAGGCAUGCGGCCCGGCAACACGAAAGUCAUCAAGAUCAUGCCCUCUAGUACCCUUAGGCUCAUAUGCAAAAUAUUCAAUAGUCACAGGAUUCCCAUCAAAGCUAAAAUUCUCAUCAAACUGAAAAAGGAUGUCUGUAGAAUGGGGUUUGAAGCCCACGAUCAUGGAGCGAAUAUCCUCUUCAGCAACUAAAAAAAAAGUAGCGUCAGUGGAAGCCCUCUGAACACUCGGAUCAUCUAAAAAAGGAGGGUUAGAGACCUCAGUGCAUCCAGCAGCAUCUCCUAAAGUAGUAGGAUCCUUCAAACCAUCAUCAGUUUGAAUUCUUUUCAUAGAAACCAGAUCAAACCCAUCUUCUGCAGUAUCCUAAUAAAUAAGUGAUUGAGCAUCUAGAGGAGCACCCUCACUACCAUUAGGCCUCAAUGGCUGAACCUCUUCGCCAUCCCCUUUGGAUGCACAGCAGCAUCAGACAUCAACAUCUUGCUUUUAUCAUGAACAACAGUAUCCUGCACCUGACUAAUAGGCUGCCAAGGUUCCCAGAGCCCAGGAUUGGCAACAAAACAAGUAUCAGCAGAGUGCCCAAGAUGUUUACACGAGGCACAAUAUAAAGGAACAUGCUUAAAAAUGACAUUCUACUAGAAACCGCCACCACCUUCAAUCCAAAGCUUGGGCAACAACGGCCACGAAACAUCCAACUCAAUUAGAACUCCAGCGACUGAGGGUCGAUUAACAGCAAUAGUAGCAUGGUCUACUCACAGAGGCUUACCAAUAGCAUUAGCAAUAAAAAAUAAGGCAUCUUUGCAAUGAAUAAAAUGCACUGGUGAAUACGGCAAAGAAACUUAGAUAGGAACAAUAGGAGAUUCCUUAGAGCACCGAAUUAAAGUCUAUAAGACUAUACUACAUGAGACUCAAACCCAAGACCUAAGUCUUGGUAAGGCUAUCCACCUAAAUCCACUUGGAAAAUGUUCAAACGUAUUUUAGAUAAUGUGUUUUAGUCUGUGAGGGUUGGCACAAUAGGAUUUAGACUUGAGAUGUUUAGGAUUGCGAAGCUUUGUAUGUGUUCUUGAUCCAUUGUAAACUCACAUUAUUUUCAUAGUAAAUUGUUUUGUCUACAAGUGGACAUAAUAAUAUAUCAAGAUUUUUGUCUUAAAUCGUGAGGAUCAAAGGUUCCCUCGUAAAAAGAUCUUCGUGUUGUGGAUGUUCAUUAUUUUGCAUAUUUAUUUUCAUUACCAUAAAUUGACUUUUUAAAUUUAUUGAUAGUGUUUAUAUUGAAUUAUCUUUAUUAACUAGGAAAUAAAAUCAUUAAUUUUAAAGAGAUUACUAUUAUUAUCAUCAAUUAUAUUGAGAUAACAAAAUAAAAAAUAAAAUUGAUAAUAUAAAAUAUUUACUUUAGUUAUCAAAUAUUAUAUAUACACACGAAAAAAUAUUUUAUAUACAUAUUUAUAAAUAUGUAAAUAAAUUUUAUUCAAAAUUAUGUCUAGCUUAAUCAUUUACAUUCUUGUCAUUUACAAUCUUAUGAUAGUUUAAUAAUAAGAUUUAUCAAGUACAUACGACUGUUUUUAAAACUUACAAAAUUUUUGAAAUUCGUAUCGAAUGUUUGAUUGAUUAUCUUUAUAGUUGAUUAUUUCUAUAAUUCAAUUAACAAUAAUUAGUUUUAAAAAACUACAAUGUUACCAAAAGAAUCCAACAUCUUUUAGGGAUCCAACUGAAAUUUAACUAAUAAAGAUUUACCAUUCUUAUAGGUUGCUAGUAGUUUUAACUAUUUUUAAUUAAUUAUUAAUAUCAACCGUUGGAUGCCAUUCCAUUUUAAUGGAAUCCAAUGGUUUCAACGUGGCUAAUGGGCAGAGUGGCUUGGACGCGUCAUCAAUUGAAAAGCCAGAUAAUCUUCGCUUAGAUUCCUUGAAGCUUCCAGCAAGUUUGAUGGUAACUCCAUCAUGUGAGUAAACAGUGACAAAUGUCUAUUAAUUAUUAAGAAAGUCACUUUUUGACCAAGACUUGCUUUUGGAAAUACAUACAUAUUUGCUGAUUGCUUUAUUUUUCGCCAAAAGAAUAUAUUUGCAUGAUUAAAUUCUUUGAAUCAAAUACUGCAUCGGAGUUCAUUUAACUAGCGUCCUACAAUACACUCAAAAGCCGUAAGUUCGAUCUUAUACAUCUCUCUCUCUUUUAUUUUCAGAAUUAAUUUGUAUAUCUUAAUGUUUAAAAACAAAUAAAUAAUGAUAAAAUUGAAAGAAAUUCUUUAAUGUUAAUUUUGUACAAACUCCUCUAAGAGGCUUUAAUCAAGAUUUGCUCAAGUAGAGAUCGGUGUACACACUCUCAAAUCGGCACUUGAAAAACAAAUACUUUACAUUUUGGGAUUUAUUAUGUAUAAUUUUAAUUUUCUUUUUGGUAAAGAGAGUAAUUGAGAAGCUGAUGGAUUAUCUGUUUAGUUUGUUUGAGAAUAAGAUCAUUAAUUUGAAUUCAGAACCAUUGUCAAGUUUAAUAACUUUUUAUUUCAAUAAAUUUUUACUUUAAAAAUAUUUGGGCCAAUUUAUUGUCAAUUAUUUUUAAUCAAAUUCACCCUCCCCGUCGAGGUCUGAAAAAAAGAAUACAAUUAUUAUAUAUUUGUCCAUUUUUAUCGGGUUGUUGAAAGGAAAUGAAAAAGUUUCAGUUUCUCUCUCAAAAUCUCUUUGCUUAUAUAUAGUUUCGAUGAUUAGUUAUUGCCUUAAUAUUUUUGUUUUUAUUUUUUUGGUGAUAAAUAUGUAACUCUGAUUUCUUUUAAGUUAUUGUAGAUAAAUCUUUUAUAAAACAACAUACAAAGAGGUACCUAUUGAACUUCUUUAUUUUCAUUAUAUAUUAACCACCAAUCACAUAUUAAAUCAUAAGAGAAUUCUAAUUCAAUCUGAUAUUGAAUAUUAUUAUUUAAAAAUUACUUCAAAAACUGUAUUUUAGCAUUUAACUGUUUAUUAAAAUAAUAAGUUAUAAUCUAGUUAGAAAUUUAAGGAAAUAGUUAUGUAAAGUCCCAAUUUUUUAAUAAAGGACGCCAAAAUCUUUUUUCAGCUAUACUGCUUUUGUAGAGAGUAACUAAAAUACAUAUAUAAUUUAAUAUUUUAAUUUUUCUAAUAGACCAAUAAUAUUAGAAUAUUUUAAAAAUAAAAUAAUUUUAAAAAAUGUAAAUUAUUAUAUUUUACUAAUAUAUUUGUAUUUAUUAUAACAAAUUUAAAUAAAUCAUUAGGUUAAAUAGAUUUUACAAUUAAAAAAAUGAUUUCAUGUAUUAAUAAUAUUAAAAUUAUUUUUAUAUAUUUAUCUUAAUAUUAUAAUUCUAUUUAUUACAAAUAUUUUUUAAUAGAUAUUGUUACAUUUAUUUAAUAUCGUAUUUAUAUUAAUUAUAAAACAUUGAAAUUAAUUUUUUUGAGUUAUUAGAGCUAAAUGGUAUCAUAGUUAAAAGAGGAUUUUAGUGUUUCUUAUUGAAAAUAUGGUGUCUACACAACCAUUUUUUUCCCAAAUCUUGGGGUGUAAGUGUCAUUUUACCUAAAUUUAAAUAAGAUAUUUAAAUCAAAUAAUAUGAAUUAAAUAUAAAUAAAUCCAAAUAAUAUGAAUUUAAUAUAAAUAAUUACACACUUUUUUUUACUUUUAUUAUAUAAAAUCAUUUUUAUUAUUUUACUUUUAUUAUGUAAAAAUAAUUUUAAUCAAUUAUUUUAUUAAUUAACACAUUUAUAAUUUACUUUUUUUAGAGAGAUUUAUAAUUUAAUUAAAUAGAAAUAGAACUACCUCAUUAAUGAAGUUUUUAUUUUAAUAAUGAAUUUAACCAAUAAAUUUAAUAAAAUAAUAUUAUAAAAAAAUUAGAUAAACAAGAUCAUGCAUAUACCGCAAUAAAUAUGGCACUGUUUUAAAGGUUAAUGUAAUAUUGCUACGCAAUAAAGCUCAAGCAAUAUAAUUAAGUAUUAUUUAUUAAUAAAUUUUUAAAUUUUAUUAGUCAAAUAAUAAAAUUGAUAAUAAUAUUAGUAUAAAAUAUUUAAAUAAACACUAUUGUACAUACUACACUAAAACAUAGUACUGCGACAUAAUGUAGUGCACCAAACACUCCCUAAGCUAGUGUAUACGACUUUGACACUUUGAGAUAAUCCAUAACUCUAGAUAAAUGUUGUUGUUUACAUAGUAUUGUUCCUAGGCAAUCAUUUCUUUUUUUUAAAAAAAAUUUCAGAACAAAUUAAUAUUGUAAUGGCUUCCUCGAGCAUACAAAAUAUGCCUCAUUGGCCAUAUGAUGCCUUUUUAAGCUUUAGAGGAGCAGACACCCGUAAAAGCUUCAUAAGUCAUCUCUAUGCAGCUUUGAAUGGAAAAGGAAUUUAUGUAUUCAAGGAUGACAAAGAACUCGAGAGAGGAACAUCCAUUUCACCUGGACUUCUUAAUGCAAUUGAAGAUUCUAGAAUUUCAAUUAUUGUUUUCUCUCAAAACUAUGCUUCCUCCACUUGGUGCUUGGAUGAACUUGUUAAGAUUGUUCAAUGCAAGAACAAAAACGAUCAUCAACAAAUGGUUUUUCCAAUUUUCUAUGAUGUUGAACCCACUGUGGUAAGGAAACAAACCGGAAGUUUUCGAGAAGCUUUUUCUAAACAUGAAGAAGCUUUUAGGGAGAAUCUAGAAAAGGUGAAAAAUUGGAGAGACGCUUUGAAAGAGGUGGCUAAUAUUUCUGGCUGGGAAUUGAAAGAGUACAGGUAGCCAUUCUUAUUAUUUUGUAUAUCAUUUUAAAUAGCUUUAAUUAGCAUACUGUUGUCAAUUAAACAACUUUUAUUCAAUAUGUGCAUGAUAUGAUGUGUACUAAUUGAAUAAUAGCUCCAUAUAAGAAUAUUUACGAACAAAAGUGGUACCAAUGGAUGCAGAUAUUUACACGAACGCACCUAAAGAUUAGCCAUAUGUAACAACAUCUUACAUUACUUCAAUUUUGUCCAACGAAUAUUGCAUAUUUUGGGCUUUUUCUAUUACUAAAUUUAUUUAAUACCGCAUUCAGACUCACUGUAAUUUAACCAUACUGAUCUUUCUUUGUUCUUUAACUGUAGGAAUGAGUCAGAAUUUAUUUGGGAUAUUGUCAAGGCGAUAUCAAGUAAAAUUCCUGUAAAAUCAGAGACUCUUAAGAAGCUGGUGGGAAUAGAUUCACGCUUGGAAGAAUUGAGGUCUCUUAUGGAUGAAGGGCCUAAUGAUGAUGUUCGUAUGAUAGGCAUUUGUGGUAUGGGAGGUUUAGGUAAGACGACUCUUGCAAGAGUUGUUUAUGACUUGAUCUCUCAUGAAUUUGAAGGGAGUAGUUUUCUUGCCGAUGUUAGAGAAAAAUUUGAAAACGAAGGCAGUGUAAUCUCUUUUCAAAGGCAACUCCUUUACGAAAUAUUGAAGCUUGAAAAAGAUAGCAUAUGGAAUGUCGGUGAUGGCAUCAACAUUUUAGGAAGCAGGCUGCAAAACAAAAAGGUUCUUCUUGUUAUCGAUGAUGUGGUUGACAUAAAGCAAUUAGAGUAUUUAGCUGGAAAGCGUGAGUGGUUUGGUUCAGGCAGUAGGAUCAUCGUAACAUCGCGAGAUGAACAUCUAUUAAGGACACAUGGAAUGGAUGAAGUAUAUAAGCCUAAUGAACUAAAUUACCAUGAUGCUCUUCAACUUUUCAACAUGAAAGCUUUUAAAAUCCAAAAGCCUCUUGAAGAAUGUGUGCAGCUGUCUGAACGUGUUCUACGGUAUGCCGGUGGUCUUCCGUUAGCUCUCGAAGUUUUGGGUUCCUUUUUGAAUGGUAGAUCCGUGGAUCAAUGGAAAAGCACCUUGGAAAGGCUACAAAUAGAGCCUCCCAAUAAGAUUAUGAGUAUACUUCAAAUAAGUUUUGACGGACUACAAGAAUUAGAGAAGAAAAUAUUUCUCGAUAUUGCAUGUUUCUUUAAAUGGAAGACUAGAGAUUAUGUAUCGAAAAUUCUAAAAGGAUGUGGUUUUUCCCCAGUCAUUGGAAUAGAAGUUCUUAUUGAAAAAUCUUUAUUAACAGUACAUGAGAAUAACAGAUUGUGGAUGCAUGAUUUGAUACAAGAAAUGGGUCACCAAAUUGUUAGGAGACAAUCCCCCGACGAGCCUGGAAAACGCAGUAGAUUGUGGAAGGAAGCAGAUGUACACCAUGUGUUGUCACAAAAUACAGUAAGUGAAUAAUAAAGGGGAUCUAAAAGUAUUUAUUUUCCAGCUCAGCUCACUUCUUUUAGCUAGUUAAAUCUCUAACGAACAAAUUUGUUUAUAAUUUUCAGGGAAGUGAAGUAGUUGAAGGAAUAAUGGUUGAUGAUUAUUUCCUUCGUGGAAAUGAUGUGCAUUUAAGUGCUAAAGCAUUUUCACUGAUGACCAACCUAAGAUUGCUCAAAAUCAGUAAUGUGCAACUUCCUGAAGGCCUAGAAUACCUCUCGAACAGGUUGCGAUUACUUGAUUGGCAUCGGUGUCCUUUGAAAUCUUUGCCAUCAAAUUUGCAAUUGGAUAAAACUGUUGAAUUUAAAAUGUGCUACAGCCGCAUUGAAGAAUUAUGGAAGGGAAUCAAAGUAAGAUCAAUUUUUUUUUUGGUCACUAAUUAUUUUCAGUGAAUAAUUGUUGAUAACAAUUUUUUUAUUAUAGUAGUACAUGAAUUAAGAAAUAUCAUUUUAGCUCCUUUUUAUUUUCAACAGCCUUUAAACAUGUUGAGAGUCAUGAAACUCAGCCAUUCGGAGAAUCUGAUUAAGACACCAGACUUCACAAAGGUCCCAAACUUAGAGGUGUUGGAUCUUGAAGGAUGUACAAGGUUACGUGAAAUUCACCCGUCUUUGCUGCUUCACAAGGAGCUGAUCUUGUUGAAUUUGAAAGGCUGUACAAGUCUUACAACUCUUCCAGGCAAGAUUUUUAUGGAAUCUCUUAAAACGCUUAUUCUAUCUGGUUGCUUGAAAUUAAAGAAAUUUCCAGACAUUGUAGGAGGUAUGGAGUGUCUGCAGGAACUUCGUUUGGAUGGAAUUGAUAUCAAAGAACUACCUUUAUCUAUUGAGCUUUUGACCAGACUUGAAUUGUUAAAUUUGAAUGACUGCAGAAGUCUCGUGAGACUUCAUAGCAAUAUAAAUGGUUUGAAAUCCCUCAAAACUUUGAAUCUCUCAGGCUGCUUCAAACUUGAAAAUGUGCCUGAGACGCUUGGGCAAGUAGAAAGUUUGGAAAAACUUGAUAUAAGUGGUACAGCUGUAAGGCAACCUCCAUCGUCGAUUUUUCUUAUGAAGAAUCUUAAAGAACUAUCUUGUCGUGGGUGCAAAGGAUCACCAUCAUCUACAUCAUGGUUUCUGCGCUUCCCUAUCAAUUUGAUGCGAUGGAGUUCAGAUCUGGUGGCUUUGAGUUUGCCGUCUUCUCUGUCAGGUUUGUGUAGUUUAACGAAAUUGGAUAUCAGUUUCUGUGAUUUAGGGGAAGGAGCAAUCCCAAGUGGUAUUGGCAACUUAUGCUCAUUAAAAUGGUUGUUUCUGAGUGGAAACAAUUUUUUUACGCUGCCGGCAAGCAUUUACUGUCUUUCUAGUCUUUUGGGCAUUGAUUUAAAGGAAUGCAAAAUGCUUCAAAAUCUGCCUCGACUUCCAGCCAGUAUACAUUGGAUAUCGUUAGACGGUUGUGUUUUGUUGGAGACAUUAUCAGAUGUAUUAAAAUUAAACAAGCAUCGACUCCCGAGCUUAUUCCUUCAAUGUGUGGAUUGCUUGAAAUUGGCUGGCAACUAUGAUUUGGCGCUUUCACUGCUGAAAGAGUACAUUAAAAAUUCUGAGGUCAGUCUUUUACUCUCACCUGUGCUAACAUUAUGCCUAAAACUUAUGCAAUAUAUGUUAUGUCUUUUUAUUUUGUUUAUUUACUCACUUUUUUUUCCGUGGGGUUGCAGAAUAUGUCACUGUCGGACAAGUACAUUAAACAGAGUGGGGUCAGUUUCUUACACUGUCUCUCACCUGUUGCUAAAAUUAUGCCUAAAAAUUAUGCAUUGGUAUGGCUUUCUAAUAUAUAUAUAUAUAUAUAUAUAUAUUUUUUUUUUUUUUUUUUGUGGGUUUCAGGACCCUGUGAGAAGGUAUAACAUUGUUGUUCCUGGAAGUGAAAUCCCAGAGUGGUUCGAGUAUCAGAAUAAUGAGGGUUCUUCAAUAACAAUAACCACGCCUCCAAAGAUGUAUAAGAAUAGUAAGCUUGUGGGAUAUGCUAUGUGCUGUGUUUUUCAUGUCCCUAAAUAUUCACUUCCUUAUUAUACACAGUCGUUUCCAUAUCCCGUACAUGUGCUGCAUGUCACGCCUAACUACCCGGUUUCUAUUGGCAUUUCGUUUGGAAAGCAAUCUGGUCAGGCUAUGUCAGACCAUCUUUUACUACACUACAUGAAAUGGGAAAAUAUCAGUGAAGUGACAUUUGAUUCGCCGUCGGGAUUGGUGCUGAAGAGGUGUGGAAUCCAUCCAAUUUAUGUGCAUCAAGGGGAUAAGUUCAACCAAACAACUGAUCCGGUUUGGAAUUUGAAUGAAUUUGGUCACGAUUGUUCAGGAUCAACAUCCUUUACGCGUGGCCGUAAUGAUGACUUAGACAGGGCAGAAGCCAGUGGAAGUUGCUGCGGGCGUGAUGCAGGAUCAACGACGUCGUCUGAGCGAAGCUUUCUAAAGCGAAGUCUUGAAGAAUAUGUUGGGGCGGCUGAAGCUAGUGGAAGUGGCUGCUGUAAUGAUGAUGAGGAACCACAACCUAAAAGAUUUAAACAACUCGAAUGAAGGGCACAGCCUAGUGAAUAUUAUUUUCUCUGAGUCUACGUGUAACAGUGUAAGUGCGCAUCUCAAUUUCAAUUUUAUUUUCUUUGCAGAUAGCAUUUCAUUUACUUUCUUUUUAUUUAUUUAUUGUAUCUGUUCUCGCUACUUAUUUCCCUGUUAAACUACCAGAAAAUGCCUGGCUUGGGUCAAAACGUUGGACAGAAUCAGAAUGUGCCUUCCAUGAAUCAAAAUUGCAUUCGUGCCCCAUCAAAUCCAAGCUUUGAAUUUUGAGAUUUGAGGUGAAAAUAAAGGACCGAAGUAAAUACUCUGCUUUGUUUUAUUACUCUGUUUUUUUCUGCAAAAGAUACCGUACAUAGAUGCGAUGAGAGCUAGUUGUUUGGUAUACUUGAAGGGGCUCGGGAUUGAUGAAUUGCAUUGCUACGAGUCAACAAUAAACUAAUACUCUGCUCAUUGCAAUCUGGUUGAAUAUAUUCUCUCUAUUUUUUUUUUGUCUUUUCCCUCCCUCGUUUGGCAUAAAGCUUUGGUUAUUCUAGCUGAGUGAGUGGCCCAGCUAAGCUUAUUGUAAAUUGUAAAUGGUACUUGAAGCGGAUACGUAUUUUCGCUUGUUGAGAUUCUUAUUGAAUUUGCCUAGAUUUUCCUUGAAUAGCUCCGGCGCCUUCUAAGUUCGAGUUAUUCACGUUGCAAACUCUGAGAUGUUAUAAAUUAAUUAUUUCAUCAGUUUUGACAAUAACAGUGCUUGGUAAAUAUUUUAAAAGCGGCUUGUUUUAUAAUUUUCUCUAUUUUGGUAACAAUUUUAAAAAGUAGGUGCUAGAUAGGAGUUGUAUUUUACAAGUAGUUUAUUAGAAAAGCCGUCAACCUUUUAAAGUUUUUAUUAUAAACUAAGAGAAACCUAUAGUGCAACUGCGGUACCGUGUUACAGUUGCACUCAGCUGUUGGAUGUUAGUGGACUCCACCAAUCCAAGUGCAUCUAACGGUUGGAUGCAACUGUGGCACGAUACCACAGUUGCACCGUAACCUGAUCCAAUAAACUAAAUAUUUUAACAAAAUGAUAAUUAUAUCAUAUUUUUCAAUAAGCCCUGAUAUAUAAAUAAAAAAUAAUUUAAACUUAUAUCUACUUUGAUUAUUAUAUACAUUGAAACAACACUAUUUAUCAAAUGGAUAUACUUUACUUCUCAAACUCAUAACAACCACAACGACAUAAUUUACGAAAUAUUGAAUUAUUUUUUUAAUUAACAAUUUAUUUUAACCGCAUAGGAAAAAUAACUUACCAUUUUAGUUACCGCAAUCUGGUCAUAUCACCUUUUUCAUGUGCAAGGAUCAAUGAUCAUAUCACGUAUUUGACCAAAAAUAUUUUCGGUAAACAAUUAUAUUGUUUAUGUCGUCUUCACUGUGAGCUAAAGCUUCAUCAAGUGCCCUUCCCAACCCUUUUAAUCUUUCAUCUUGAUGUUGGAAUCUUGUUGGUCUUUGCGGCCUUGUUGAAUUUAACCUCGCUUGUUUAAUUUGGACUUUCUGACUUUGGAAUAUUGCCCACCCCCAAUCUUUUCAUAACUUUUUUUUUAAACCCAACUUCUAGAUUCGAAUUUUAAUAAGUAUGUGUUAAUAAAAAAUAAAAUUAUGUUAUUUUAUUAUUGUUAAAAUUCAAAGUAAUAUUCUCUUUUUUUUUCCUACACAUAAAUUAAAAAAUUGUAUGCGUUCACUUGAAUUACACAUAUUUUAAAUUAUAAUUUGAGUUAAAUUGUACAGAUUGAUAAAAUGUUCUCGAGGAAUAAUUGUAUGAUUCCCUUGCUCUCAACAUGUUUGAUAAAAUGCCCGAGUAGGAACCAUGCCAUCCCAAUUCCGAGCUGAAAUGUUGAACAACGAGAUGAUGAUGAUACAUCUGCUGCGUCACCUCUACGAUUUCCCACCCAAAAGCAAUCAAUCGACAAGGU
rnacentral:lncRNA from 1 species